ACCUAUAUAUAGUUCUUCUAAACGGGAUAAUUUUGACAGUAUAUUUGGUGGAAUAACUUCUAGGUCCUCACAAUCUCUCAAAUCAAGCAACUUUAGCCAAGUCAAUUCACCUACUUCUACCGGCAACUUCUUAAUAUCAGAAUCUCUUAGGCAAAGGAUUUCUAGUUUCUUCAAGUCUCCUACAACACUUAGAUCAGGCAGGUAGCACCAACACAAACUCAGUGUUCGAAGGUUUGACAGGAGACCAAGUGAUGAAGGCAGUGACCGUAGAUCCAUGUCAGUCAAGUUUACAACUCUGACCUGUAUCAUCCUCUCGAAAAAGUUGCUUGGAAUUGUUAAUGAUGAAGAUUCCCAACGACCAGCACUUAGAAACAGAAGUUCGAGUUGAGGACAUUCCAGUACUUCAGGAAGCAAAUUAGUCUUGAUACCAUGCAAGACGAUUGAAGUGCAAUGCUUUAUUGCACUUCCGUCCGACCAUUCCCUGCAACCAUCAACCUGCUCAUUUGUAGCAGUAAACACAUUUCGUUCAGUAGAUGCAAUUGAUAUGGCGACAUCGCGAACUACAUCAUGCAUAGAAAACAACUCUUCAUCCUUGCUUUCAUGGUCAAGCAACAUACAAGAAGCUUUGAGUGUGCGCACCAAUGUAUGUACUCGAUUUCGUGCUUCUUCAAUCUUAUUCACGCCUUGAAAUAAACCCAAUCCCAUACCACACAUUAACAAGUCAUCAAUAGAUGCUAUGGCUGUAUAUCCUAUUAGCAAAAAGAUGUUCUUGAGAUCAUCCCUUCCUAGUUUAUUGUAGCUCAACUCGAUAGCUUUAAAUGCGGCUGGCUGAACAUCCUUAAAAUUCGAUGAAGAAGGCCUUCUUAGCUGUUCCAAUGCAUCCUUCCAUUCACGUAUGCUGUUGCUCCUUAAUGCCCUUGCAACCGUCACAAUGGAAACUGGUAGACCUGCACAUUCCUUUGCCACAUCCCUUGCUACCUCUUUCAAUUCAUUACCUUCAACAUAAUCACCUGCCAUCUUCGUGAAUAGACUCCAAGCUUCAUCUUCUUUUAAAAAUCCAACUGGGAAAUUUUUUCGAGACUCCAUCUCUCCAGACAAUGCUUGUUCACUCCUUGCCGUGAACAGCACUUUAAUUCCAACAUCCAACAAAUCAAGAUUUUCCCAAAUAUUAUCCAAGAUUACAAGGAUCCUCUUCUCUUUCUUCAGUCGAUCAUAGAGUCUUCUUGCCCUACCCGAUUCACUCUCCUCAUCAAAUUUUAGACCUAGUUUAUCCGCGAUUUCUCCUUGAAUCUUUCUUACGUCUCGACUCUCAGACACCUCAGAAAAAACCACCUGAUCGAAAAGCUUGUCACACUCUGCUUUUCUGGCAACUUCUUUAGCUAGCGUCGUCUUUCCGAUUCCGCCCAUUCCAUAAAUCAAAAGCAUGUUGACAUUGGGAUUUUUUAAUGCAUCAAUUAUUUCAUUCAGAAUGGACGUUCUUGAUUCAAAGGCCUCGAAGUCUUUGUUAGGCAUAAGCAAGGUAUCCUCCGGAAUGAUGCUGUAGGAAAUACUAUUAACUGGUCUAGCGUCCAGGACUUUGACAACAGCCUCCUUCUGCCUCUCUGCUUCCUUGCUAAGUCGAGGGCGGGUCUUCAAAUUAGGACAUAACCCCUUGAAACAACGCUUAUUUGCAGUGGCUUCAUCUUCUGUAAAUUUAUCUGCCUCUUCAAUGACACUGUUGGCCGUUGCAAGCCAAUUCUCAACGUUCUCUUCAAUCUCUUCUCCUUUUCUUUUAGCCUCAUCAACCUGGUGCUCUGUACUCACCCUCUCAGACUUUAGUUUCGCAACUUCAGUGUUGAGAUUCUGUAAGUUGCUCGUGUACUUACUCUCACGCAAAUAGCUAAUUUGGCGAUAUGCGGGAGGAGCCAAGCACUUUACAACUUCUAAAACAAUAGUAAGAAUGAUUUCAGCCAUCUUCAGUCCUUUGUCCUUGUCUCUCUAUCUCUUUUUUUCUGAAUUUUGGAAAAACAAUUCAACAAGUGACCACAACAAGAUGGAACAAAAUAAAAAGGAAAAAAAAUACAAAGAGUGGAUGGAGAAUAAAACAGAGACAGCGGCACAGCUAGACGCAACUAGAUAGAGAACAGAGGAAAACCAAAUAACAAGACUUAAGAUUACAACAAACAGAGGCCAAGUAUUGUUGAGAUCAGAAGAUGGAAAAUUCAAAAGAGUUGAUGGCAGAUGCUGAAUAACAAAACAACAAUGAACGCAACAAACUGAAGCAAAGUGUGUUUGUGAUCGACAGACGAAAGUAAGGAAAGUGGUUGUUGAUUGAAAAUGAAUGAAUGCAAAGAAAGACUGAUAUUGAAAAUUGAUGUCCAUAGCGAAGGAAUAAUUGAACUUUCGCUGAAUUAUUGUUUGUGCCUUCUUUUACUGUUUAUUUGUGGGUCAUGUCUUUUGGAACUAAUCAUCUUAGGUUAUGCCUUAUAGCUUUAAGGCCGGUAAACCGGUGUCCGUUGGAUUAGCAUAUAGAAAUCCAACGGUGGAUAUAUAUACUUGGAGAAUAAAAUUCAAGAGCAAAGGGAGUGCUGGGCUGCAGUUUCUUAAGGAGAUUUAUAUAUCCUCCUCAAAAAUAAAUAUUUUAAGGUAGGUAUUUAGACUAUUUCAUCAUAAAAUAAAUGUAAUUAAUUUUCAUAAAUAUUUGAUAUCAAUAUUUAUUUAUUUUUUUAAUUACUGAUGACCUUUGAAUAUUCGAUACAUAUUAUUAAUUCAAAAAAAAAAUUGUGAUUAUUUAUUAAUGUUUGCGAUUACUUGUGAUGGUAAACAAAGUAGAUAUGGUAUAUUUUGAAGUUAAAUUAAAAAAAACAGAGCUUUUACCAUUACUUGCCUUAUCAUCUUUUAAAUUAGAAUUAUUAUUCUUCUAUUUUUCAAGUUGCCAACUCAUUGUCUUUUAUUGAAUUUAACGAUCAAUGAUCAUAAAAUUGUGUAAAAAUUUUAAGUCAAAACUUUAAAUUAAAAUAAUCUUUAAGUUAUUGAGAAAUAAUAACUUAAUAUAACAAAUAUUAUAUCCUAUACUUUAUUGCUACAAAAUUACGAAACUUUAUAUUAUGUUUUCAUAUUUCACCUUUAUAGUGACGACUCAUGCUUCUUCUCUAAUAAAUGCUAAAGUAUUGGCUUGAAUUUUUUAAUUAGUACAGUAGAACCUUAAGCUAUAUAUACUAUAAUGUCCCUCUUCUCUCACAGAUUAAACCAAUCAGAUCUCAGAGUGAGUUGAUACCAUGACUUUGCAUCAUUCAUGAUCAAAGGAGCAUCAUUACUAACUAAUAUAGGCUCGAACAAUAGGCAUGAUAAUAAUUUUGUUUAUCUACAAACACUAUUUAACUCUAUCUCUUUUCUCUCCCCCACGCGAAGACUACUCCUUUCUCUUUGGCUAAUUUUUAAAAACCUCCCCUGAGGUUUGGACUUGUUGCAAGUAGAUGGCGAGAAUUUGUUUAUUUGUAAAAAACCCCCUACCGUCAAUUAACUUUAACAUUGACCGUUAGUUGACUGUGCAAAGAUAAUAUUACCCUUAACAAUAGUUUGUAGACGGAAAUAACUAAAAAAAAAUUUAAAAUUAUUGGCUAUUUUAUCCUCUUUAAAUUAUUGAUAUUUUCUUAAAGUUCCUACAAGAAAGAUAAAAUUUAAAAUUUAAAAUUUAAAAAAUCCUCUUUAAAUUAUUGAUAUUUUCUUAAAGUUCCUACAAAAAAGAUAAAAUUAAAAACUUGAAAAUGAAAUAGUUAUAAUCUUUACCCAUAAUAUUGUAAAUCUUUAGAAUUGACAAAGAUAAAAUUGUCAAAAAAUAGGGUUUGUGCUUUUCGCGCCAAUAAUUUUAAUUUUUUUUUAGUUAUUUCCGUCUAUAAACUGUUGUUAAGGGUAAUAUUAUCUUUACACAGUCAACUAACGGUCAAUAUUAAAGUUAACUGACGAUAGAGGGUUUUUUUAUAAAUAAAUAAAUUUUCGCCAUCUACUUGCAACAAGCCCAAACCUAAAGGACGUUUUUAAAAAUUACCCUUUCUCUUUUGACAUUUUUUACGCGUUUCUCUUUUCUCUUCCCCCACGUGAACACUUUUGCCUUUUGCUCGUUCACGUGAAAGUCGGUUUAGAAUUUUGAUCUUAUUUCACAAAGCUAAUUUUUUAUCACAAGCAGGAGAGAAACGGCAUUUCUUAGCAGUAGUUCAUCACUGUAGUGGCGAGCUAGUGAGGAACAAAAUUACCAACAAUUAUAAAAAAAUAAUUAUAAAAAAAGAUCACAUGCUAUAAUUAAUCAUGACCAUUGACAACAUUACUCCCACCGAGCAAAAGUUAACAGCAUCUUCUCCCACAUUUAAAAAAAAAAUAGUAUUAUAUAACCCACCAAAAGUAUAAAGAGUCUUUCUUUAUUAAAAUUAAUAAAUUACUCUUUAUAUUGAGAAAUUAAAAUUUAAAAUAAAAAUAAUUGAUAUGUUUAUUAUUUAAAAUAAAAAUAAAAAUAAAAUUUACAAAAUCAUAUAUUUUUAAAAUUAAAGAAUAAGAAUUUAAUUUCUUAUGGAGAGUGUUGGAAAUCAAGUUCUUAUUGCUUAAACUCCUAAUUUUACCUCACAAAAAUUUUAUAAGUUCACUUUUAUCCUUAAUUAAAAUAUUAUUAUGUUAUUAUUAUGGUUAUUAUUCUUAUUUUUGUAGUAGUUGCUGCUGUUGUUGUUGAUGAUGAUAAUAGUUGAUAAUAAAAUUAAUAAUAAUAAUGAAAAUAAUAACUAUAAUUUUAACAGCUACAAUAAUAAUCAUUAAUAUUAUUGUUGUCGUUCUUAUUAUUAUUAAUAAAAAAUAAUUAUUUUGAAUAAUAAUAAUCACAAUUAUUAUAACAAACAACGACAAUAAUCAACUAAUGUCAUUGUAAUAACUUGUAACAAUUCAUUUUUUAUUUCAAGACAAAGUAACCAUAUCAAUAAUAAUAUAGGUUAUUUCGAUUCUAAUUCUUACAAGUAAAAUAAAUAAUUUAUUCUGAUUCUCAUUUUUCAUUUUGAUUUUAUUCUAUUCUGAUUCCAGUUGAUUCUGAUUCCAGCCAAUUCAAAUUACCAACUAGAAAAUGCAUUGUUACUACUUUAAUAAUAACUAAUGAUUCUCCUCACAAUUCUUAUAGGAUUAUCCUUAUUUUAAAAUAAUUUUUUAUUCAUAUUUAUCAUAAAUUAAUUAAAUUAUACCAAUGAAAAUUAAAAAAAAAAGAGAAAACAUAUGUUUCGGUUUGAAUAAAAAAUUAAUAAUAAAAUAUUUUCCUUAUAUAUUUUUAAUAUUUUUAUUAUAAUAAAUAUUUAUUUUAUAUUCUUAAAAUAAAUUAUUAAGUAAACGAUUCAUUAACUCAUUUUUUUCCUUUAAAUUUUUGUUAUUAAGAAGAUUUUUGGGUAUUGACCGUGAAGGGCUCAACUGAUCGCUAAUUUUGCAGCAAUUGUCUUUUCUUUUUCUUUUUUUUAAUUGUUUUGAAAAAAAUAUUCAGACUCAUUCUGCAAAGUACCUAAGGCCAAAGCGCCGAAAGUUAGGACACCCACAUGUGCUUUUAUUCACAAAUUCUAAAAUUAGGUGGGGUGUCCAUAACGUACGUUUAAUAUAAGAGAAAUGCUAAAGGUCGGGAAUGCUGAGAGAACACUGAGAGAAACGGCAGCUUGGGCUGCCGUUUCGUGUUCUCUCACCUCCCUACUAAGAAAACGAGCCUCCACGUGUUCUCUCAGCUCCCCACUACUUCAGCUCAAGUUACUUUUGUCAAAAGUUGGCGUUUGGCCCCACACUCAAAACACUUUUGCCAAGUGAAUUGUGCCCCCCACGUGAAAGUUUGAGUUAUUUCUUUGCUCAUGACCAAGUAAAGCUAAGUUAAGUUUGAGUUCUCUCCUUACUCCUUCACUCGUUCACUUCUCCUUCGUUUCUCGUUCACUUUUUUGCUCAUCAAAAACCAUUACUUCAGCUCAUCCAAUCAGUGAAUUAGUGGCCAUUACUUCAGCUAAUUCAUUUUCCGAUCUAGAUCUUGAAGCAACACCCAAUUGGUAAUUAUCUCAGCUUAAAGAAUAAUUUUUUAUGUGUUUAUUAUUUUUUUGUUAUAUCAUAAUAAUAGAAAUGUCCUUGCAUUUACUGAUUAAAUGAUAAUGUGUUUAAUUUAUAAUUUUUUAGAAAUCUUUUUAUUUAAAUGAUAUGUUUGAUUUAUAAUUUUUUAAUUUAAAUUUUGUUUGAACAUAGAAUUAUUUUUAAUUUAAAUUGUGUUCGAUUUAUAAUUUAUUUAAUUUAAAUUUUUAGAACUUUAAUGGAUUAAAUUAUUACUGGAAAAAUGUAUAAUAAUUUAUUCUUAAUUUAAAUGUUGUUUCCACAUUGAAUUUUUUAUUUAAAUUGUGUUCGAUUUAUCAUUUUUUAAUUUAAAUUGUUAGAACUUUAAUGGAUUAAAUUAUUGCUGAAAAAAUUUAUAAUAAUUUAUUCUUAAUUUAAAUUUUGUUUCCACAUUGAAUUUUUUUAUUUAAAUUGUGAUUUAUCAUUUUUAUUUAAAUUGUGUUCGAUUUAUUUAUUUUUAUUUAAAUUGUGUUCGAUUUAUCAUUUUUUAUUUAAAUUUUUAGAAUUUUAAUGGAUUAAAUUAUUACUGGAUGGUGUUUGUAUAAAUUGAUCUUACAUUUUGCUUAAUACGAAUAUUAAUUAUUUUGUUGAAAUUGAUAAUUUGAAACAUGAAGAUGGAGUCAAAGAUGCGCAAUCGGAAAAAUAUGAGCCGACUCUUGGGAUGUUAUUUGAUAGCCAUAAGAAAAUGUGGUAAUUUUCAAUAUACUUAAGUAUCGUCAUCAUAUACUUAAUUCUUUCAUUUUCAAUCUUUAUUAUUAUUAUUUUUAAUAUUGGGUUCCAUGAGGAUAUUAUAUGCAAUUUUCCAUGACAUAAAUCAAUACAAUAAUGGCAAUAAAAAACUUAUAACAAUAACUUGAAUCUUAUAUUUAGAGGGACAGUACAAUCAUAUAUGUCUACAAACCAUACAAAAUAAAUAAUUGUACAAAUUAAAACAACUUAUAAAUAAAACUUUAAUAUAAAGCAUAACACAAUAAUCAUCAAGGGAACGGUGAACAUGGAGGAACGCAAAUGGAUGUUUACACUGUGGGCAUGUUGGAUUCCUAACAUACGAGGCCCAUCGAAGGAUGCAAGCUGCACUGCACAGAACAAAGAAAGAACGUCCAUUAAUGCUACCAUAAACGUCCAUUAAUCAUACAAGAGAUGGUAAGCUGAAAACCCCACAUAUUAACUCAUAGUCCUACAUAGAACUCUAACCUAUAAUAUGAAGAUGAUCAACGAGCCUUCAUAUAUGUCACAGUUCCAAAACCAACAAGUCAUGAGGCUGAUUAUAUUAAGGAAACCUCUAACUAUGUGACAACACAAAUAGAUUAAUUCUUGCAACAACAUUUUUAAGUUUUUCAAAAUUUUCUCCUUUUUUACCAAAACAAAUGCCUAAGAAAACCAAAAAAUAAACAAGCAGAUUGUCUCUGUAAAUUGAAUUAACAAGUUCUAUUACUAAAAAAAGGGUAACAAGGAAAGAAAAAUCCAAAAAAUAAACAUAUUGAAAGUCCAUUUCAAUUGCAUGGCACAACAUUAAAUUGAAGAAUUGACUGUACAAAAAAGAUCCAACAAUAUUUAGGUAUGAAAAGGAAAUUGAAUCCAAACCACAAAACUAAAAGCAUACUUCACUCGUGUGUACAAACUACAUGCUGAUACUCAUUUACCAUAAAAUAUUGCAGCAUCGAUUACCGAAGAAGAAAACAAUUCAAAGAAUGCCCCCAAGGCAAGCUCUAUCAAAGUUACAUAUGCAACAGACAUAGUAUUAUAGCAGAGAAACUCCAAUAAACACUCAUCAUGAUGCUUGACAAGAGAAUUAUUCAACAACUAACAACUACAGGGCCUAAGCUCAACUUAAACAUAUACUUGCAUCAAAGCCAAGUCCACACUCCAUAUAUGCUUACAUAAACCAUAUUUUCUCAAUUCUAACUGCAUUUAACUUAAUUUAUUUUGAUUUAUUUAUUCACUGGAAAUUUAUUUUGAUUGCAAAUUCUUCUAUCAUCCACUAAAAUGAUUUAAAUACUAGAUACAUAAAUACACACAUAUGACGAGUACGAAGGGUGAGAGAGAGAGAGAAGAGCUGCAGUAACAGCAAGAAAGUUAAGAUUUGUGACCUCGAAUCCAAGGCCUAUUUCAGAUGUCCCUAAACACUCUUAACUUAUGAAAGGCGCUAAUAAGUAAUCUGCACAGGAAGAUAGGGGAUAAUAACAGAAUUCGUGAUGCAUAAAUUCCAUUCCGAAUAACAUAGCAAAAAGAUGAGAGAUUUGAUUAGAACAAACCAGUAAGCGUGCUCGCAACCUUUUACAAGAGCUGUUGCCUAAAGAACUGUCUUAACCAGAGAAACUAAAAGAUCAAGAGAAAGUAAAACGGCUGGAACGAAGCGAGUUGCUGCUGGAGUGAACAAAAGGAAAGGAGUUGGAGUUAAUGUGGGAGUGCUGGAGAAGGAGUUGAAAAUAGAAAGAAAAAGGAGUUGAAAGGGAGUGCUGGAACAGAUCUGUUCUGUUGAAAGCGAAGAAGGAAGUGGAAGAAGGAGGAAAAUGAUUUGAAAAGGAGCACUUUUUCUUUUUCACAUGAGACAGAUAUCUGUUACUCACGUGGAAGGGGGGGGGGGGGGACGAAACGGCAGCACAAGCUACCGUUCUCUCAGCGUUCUUUCAGGAUUCCCGAUGUUUAGCAGCGCUCUUAAUAUAAUUGAUGGUUAGGUAAAAGUCCUUCAUUAACCCAUUAAAUUUUAAUAUUAUAUUAUUUAUUUUUAUAUUAAAAAAUAAUUAAUGUAGGAAAAUUCUUAAAAGUUAACGGAGAAGGAAGAGAAAAAGAAAAAGUGAAAACAAAAGAAAAUAUAAAGAAAAAAAAUUAAACGAGACAAAAAUCUGUGGCGUGGAUCAUUCAUAUCUUUUGCCUUUUCUUUUGUAGAGGUACAUAACAUGGACUUCCCUGCGGUGCCACAGUGACAUGGUGCCACAGUUUUUUGUCUUUAUUCUGUGAAGCCGUUGGAUGGUUAAUCAUUCAAUCCAACGGUUUAAAUUAAUUAUUGGAGGAAGGCCGCCAGAACUGACAACCUUUGUAGCCGGUUUUGGGUGAGUGUAAUACCAUCUAAUAGUGAGCGUGCAUUUCAAGAUCUUUUGAACUACGAAAUUUCGUUUCAGCGAUUUCAUUUGAAAAUCAAUCUGUAGACAGAAAGUGAACGCACGAAAUUGGUAUUACUGGAUCGCAAUUAUUGGUGGAAUAAUAUCAAACGGUUGAUGUGUACAUGAAUAUGUCCGCGCAGUCCGCGCAGUUGUAGGGAGGUGAUGGUGAAAUAAAAAAUAAAAUUCCCGGCAUGUGCAUUCGAAGGAAUUUAUGAUGCUGAAAGUCUGGGCAUAUCGAAUGAUCCGACGUAGUAGGUAAUUCGAUAUAAACUUGCAAUUUGUUUUAGUUGGAAUAUUUAUAAAAGUCGUGUUUAGGGUUAGUUGAAUAGUUGGUGGAAGAGUUCAGUAAACAAGUAGUAAUGGGGAAAAUUUUCGAUUAAGUAUGUAAACAGGGGUCGUCAAAGAAUGUGAGGUUACUAGGGAGGACUGAUUUGAGGAAUCUCACUGCACUAAUUGUCGGAUUGAAGCCACAAGAGGGACUUAAAAGUGUUCGACGAUGAAAUGAAAUUUGUUAGUAAGUAAAUAUCUUUUGUAAGUAUCAAUUAGUUAUAUGGGUAAUUGAUGAGGACAUACUUUUAUGGCAUGUUCUUAUAAUGAAAUUGUUAACUUUGUUUUAUCUUCUGGUGACCAAUAAUGUAUGGAUGAGAUGUUAGUGUUCAAUUGUUAAUUUGACUGUUGGAAUCAAUUAGGUGGUUGAUGUAGACAUGAAUGUGUUUCUUAGAAAAUCGAGAAUGUUGAUGAGCAUUUAUUGUGUGAACCCCCUCGAAAUGAGUCUAUGAAAAUGAUUGAUUAACAUUGUAGGCGGUGGCAUGGUUGUUACAGAUGAGUCUAUUUAUAGAUUGUGAUCUUAUUGUUGUGGUUUUACUAUGCCCUGUAAUUAAAUUCUGUAAAAUCAGAAUGGUGCAGUUCGUUAGAAGCACUCAUUUAUAAUUUCACUGCAGCAAUGAAGGUAGGGGAGGUUCGCAAGCGAAAAUGUAGGGACGUAAACAGCUUGAACGAAGAUAUGGAAGGCAAUCGAACAAUAGAACGUAUUAGCCAUUACGGAUUCAUCAGUUAUUUGUAAGUAUUUUUACUAUCUGAAUAAAUAAAUUUUAACAAUGACGAGUGGAUUGGAAAUGACUUGAGUUACUUUCAGUGGUGCAACUGUGCGUAGAAUGAAGGCAACAGAUGCAAACACCAGCAUUACAAGAGAGGUGCGUUAAAUGGAAAUAAAAUUUAGUGUACUGCAACACCUUUUUAAUUGGCAAUAAGGUGUAUGUCCGUGUGUUUCUAUUAACUGCUUUGCAGGUUCGAAGGGAAAUUGCGACGUCAUUUAAAAAUUUACCACCAAAGACGAAAUGGAAGUACAAAGUCCGAGUCGAACAAGCAGUGAAAGGGGAAGCAACUAACACAUAUUUUACGCGAUGUGCACCAGACAGAUUGGCAUCAGCUCUUACAAAUCUAUCUGAUGAACAAAGAGAAGCUGUAUGUGAAAUGGGUAUGGGGAGCAUGCUUGAGUUGAAUAAUGGUAGGCUGAAAAGGAAGCUUUGUGGUUGGUUGGUAGAUAGGAUUGAUGUAUGUAGGCGCGUACUAGUUUUGAAUGGUAAUGAGGUAGAGCUCAAUGCUAAUAGCUUUGGUCAUGUCAUGGGAUUAAUAGAUGGGGGCAUGCCUUUAAGAUUAGAGGGUGACAUCAAAGAAGUUGAAUCAUAUGUACAGAUGUUCAGUGCAUCAUCUAGAGGAAUCAACAUCAAGAAAUUGGCAGAAAUGUUGAGUAAUUCGACGGCAGCCAAUGAUAGAUUCAAAGUCACAUUUAUGUUGUUUACUCUAUAUACUGUUCUAUGUCCCCCUGGUGGAGUACACAUAAGUUGUAAUUUCUUAUUUUCUUUGAAAGAUGUGAACUGUAUCCAGAAGAGGAAUUGGGCCACAUUUUGUUUUCAUAAAUUUCUUGAAGGCAUUACUAGGUACAAGGAAGAGAAAUUUGCAUACAUAGGUGGCUGUCUUUUGUACUUAGAGGUGAUAUCGCAUCUUGGAAUGAUAUAGUGUCAAUAUUUUCCUUCACUUUGUUCAGUUGAGUAACUAACUAUAAUUUGCAUUGUUGUUUUUGUUAAUUCCAGAUGCUUUAUUUUAAUUCUAUAGUGUAUGGAAAAGUACAAAGAGACAGGUCUAUGUGUCCCCUGGCCUUGUGGAACGUAGAUGAGAUAAAGCGGUUGAUGAAAUGGAUAGAGAAUAAAGGUGGUUAUAGUAGCGAUGAGGUCAUCUCAAAAAGGAAUUGUAAAUUUGUGGGAUUCUAUGAAAGCAAAUAAUAUACUUACGAUGAAAAACAUGCGAUCCGUGAAUACUGCUUUUCAAUAUGUCCUUGCUUUACAUUUAUUGUAGUUGGAUGUUACGUAUAAAUUUGGUUCAACACUUUACUUAUAACUUCGUACUUGUAAAAUUGUUUUACUAGAUACGAGUCUGUGCUGCAUCUCUAAUAAAGGCCAACUCAAGGUCAGAUGGAUGCAGUAUGCCUGUGGAAAAAGAUUUUAGAGACUCGGAUGUUAGACAGAUGACAACAGCCCCGGGAAUGACGAAGAUAAAGUCAUUUAGUCAAUUGGAUAAGGCAGUAGUGAUAUCAAGUAGGCCAUCAGGAUAUAUUGAAAAAUUAAAGACAUAUGGAUCGUGCCGCAACAACCAUGGCAAUAAUGCUAAGGGGAAGCACUGGAGUGAUGCAACCAAAGGAGAGGGAGUUUGCACCAACUAUGAGAGUAAGCAAUUGUACAAAAGUGCAGCAAGUGGCAGUAUAUACCAGAAUAAUGAAAUCAAGGAAAAAGAAGUUUGUGAAGAUGCACAACAUAUGGAUUUAAUUGACGUAGCAGAUUUUGUCAUGGAGACUCAGACGUCCCCACCAUGCAGUGAAAGCUUGCAUAGUAACAUAAGGAUUGAGGUUAUCUGUAACUAAUAAAAGUUAAAUCUGAAAUUUUCAUCUUCGUUUAGUUGUUUUUUGUUAACCGAAUGUAAUUUAUGUUUUAUAAUUUUGUAAUUAUUAUGAGGAAAAUAUGUUGCAGGAGCCUGCUAUGGUGCAGAAGUGUUCAGAACCGAAUAAAAAGAUUGGGAAUGUAGUCCAUCCAAAGUCACCACUUAAUCAGAUAGGUGCUGGCAGAGCACGUUAUCAGGUUGGACCAUAUGUGAUGCAAAGACCUUUGAGUACUGAUGACGAGAUAUUGAUUAACUUAUGCAUGGAUGAAAAUUUGAAUAAGGGGUAACGUAUUACUUAUGUCGUUGAAUUAGUACUGGCAUUCAUAUAAAAAGUUACUUGAUUGUGUUUGAGCUUCGAAUAAACGGACUUAAUUGUAGGAAAUCAAUAAUUAUGGAAAAAAAUGUCUGCAUGAUAGAUUUUCCGUUGCAGGGAAAUGGUUUUUAAGACGAACUUCAAUUGCAUCGGCAGAAAUGAUAUUAUGUCUCUAUCUCCUAGAAGUACAAUCAAUGUGAAGGUACAACCACCUUCUGUUAAGUGAUGUACUUGUAUGAAUAAUACAUACACAUGUUAUACUGAUUGCUCUUGGAAUUUAAUAGGGCUUGAUGUUUUUGUUAUUUGUUUAUAUGUUGAAUUAAGUCAAUACCCCUUACAUGAAAUUGUUAAUACUCGUAAUUUUCAGAUUGUUUCUGCUGUCUCAUAAUUGUUAUCUGCGAAAGCGAGUGUAAAUGUUGGAAAUAGUAAUUUCAGCCUUUUUCUGCCAGCGUAUUCUGCUGUAAGGACUUUGUGUUAUAUUGCAAUAUUGGAAUUUUAUCCCCUAAGGGGCAGUUUAACAUAAAAUUUCGUGUGUUCAUUCAAUAAGGUGCAUUUGUUUACUAUGCAUGUAAGUUGAGAUAUUGUUCUUGCAAUUACAUUUAACUAGAGCAUUACAAAUAUUUGUUAUUCGAGUUUGGCAACCCACUAUUUCCAUUGCCUAUAAUUUUUGUUUCGGUUGUGAUAGCGUUGAUGUUCUAUAAACUAUACAGUUGCACGAUAACAUCAGUGGGGACCCCACAGACCUUACUUUUGGUAUUAAACAAUUUAUCAGUGGUGAUUUAUACCUGGCGAAUAUUGGUUCGUGUAAACAAGUAAGCAUUUUUUACUUAAGCCAUCAGCAAACCUCGUUUUUAGUUAAUUUUGAUGUUAUCUGUCAGUUUAUUUCACCCUGGUAUUGCAAUCAUCAAUAAAUUUUUGUCCCGGUGAACCAUGGUUUUACACACUGGUACUUAUUGGUUGUAUUAAUAUACAAAAUGCUGGUGGAGAUAUGGGAUCCACUGCCCACUGUAAUGAAGUCACAAAUGUUCGUUGUUGAAUGCAAACGAGCGGUGAGUUACCAUUGUAGAUGCCAAUCGAGUGUACUUUGUUGGCAAAAAAAAAAAUACUUAUAAAUGAACCAUUGUUGUUGUAAAUAAUCCUCCUUUGUUUUAAAAGGAAGUGUCAAAUAUUACUAUUGUUAUUACUGCAAUCUAUCGAUUGACGGAUGUUCCUGCAGCUAAAAUUCAUUGAGAUGGCGUUGCAACAUUGUGGCUCAAAUUGUUUAUCGGGAAGGUUAAACAUGAGCGAGUUCGUAAUCCAGCUUUGUACCAGACAGGCCAGUAUACGUAACGAAUCUGAUUGUGCACUAUAUGUUAUGUUGAUGAUGGAGAGACAUAAAAUGUGGUCGUGCCUUUCUGAGGCAGAGGUGCGUAACAUUUUUAACUGUUCAAUGCUAUAACCCAGGCCGUUAAUAUUAUUUAUGUAUCGAUUCAAUUUUUGCUGCCUUGUACUUAUUGUGUUUGUUCAUUUCAUUUAGAUAAAAUUUGAUUCAGAUAGUGAGAGGGCACGCAUUCUGAUAGAUCUCAUGACAUACAGUUUCAACUGUUUGAAGGACAAAGUUCGUUUGAAGGCUGAGAAGCAUCGAUGGCGUGUUGACGAUGAAGCCCAUUCAAUUUAUGAAGCGAUUAAAAAGAAGCGCGUACGACAGCUUCGGAGUGCGAACCAAAUAGGGCAUGGUCGCCGCCAUUAGCUGCAUUUUCUUUGACGUUCUAUUGUAUAAGUGCAUCCAUGCUUUUCGGAAAGAAAAAAUUGCUAGGUUUGACAGUUGCAGUUCAUCAUUCCAAAAAGCACAAUCAACCACUGACAAUUGUGAGUGAUAAACAACUUAUGUUUUGUUGUUGGCAUAUAACAAUAAAGUUUCCAUCGUGGAUGCCACAGUGUCUCAGUACUGAACUUAAUCAUUUAUGAGUUUACAUUGCUGUUAAUUUUUAAUUUGUCAAGACGGUUGUUCCUAGAGUAUUAUAUCAGUACAUGCUGUUAGCUGAAAUAACAUAUUCUCUGAAUUCUGCAUUUUAUAUGAUACUGAUACUUUGGCCUAGACAAGUUACUGAAAUAUUCAUUUUAUGUUGUAGUCUUGAGGAAGAUGCUUUUUGUACUAAUUGAACUCAACGAUGGAUUGAAUUAAGUUACGCAAGUUGUGCUUAUUUAAGCCUGGCAUAGGUAUAAAAAUUAUUUCUCAACUGCCUCUUAAAAUUUUUUUUUUCCAAAAUUAACGGAUAUAGUGGGAGCAAAAAAAUAGUUGUAUUAAAUCCCCAACCUCUAGAUCUUUUUGGAGUAACGCCAAUAUUCUUUUACAGAUUCCAAAUGUGGGCGUAGUUAGUUGGUGUAAAAGAUGAGGUUGCAAUGCAGUUGGAUUCACUUGCAAAGGCACUUGUGUUUAGAGUUUGGUCGGUUGAUUGACUUACUGUACUGGCUGAAAAUUGCUAGAACCAUGACUCUGAUGUAGGAGAAAAUGGUCUACCAUUUUCUCCUAUUUGGUACCGCGACAAAAUGUUCAUGUAUCGUGUGGGUUGUUGCGGCACGUGGUUUGUGUCUGCUGCAUCUGUCGCAUUUGGUCCCAUUACAUUACUACCACAAAAAAAUUCCAUGCAAUGGCUUGAACAGUCAUCCAGCUGUUGUCUUGUCCCUCCUCUUUUUUUGCACUUUCUAACAUUGUGGCCUCGCUGACCACAUCUGCUACAUUUUCGUUGUUGUGGUUGUCCCAUCUUCGUUUUUUUUUUAUUGAACCUUUGGUAAGAACAACUUCCGGAUCUUGUACCACUGUCUCUCUCCUCUCUAAAGGUUGCCUUGCUGGUUCUUUGGUCUGAGACAUUGCCUGCAACUUCAAAGUCAACUGGUGAAUAUAAGUAAUUGCCACAUUGUAUGCGGCCAAACUUGAUCCAACGAAUCUUAGCAAACUUCGACAUGCUGCAUAUAUUUGGCCAAUACGAGCCUGCUCUGUCAUGUAAUGUGAUUUAUUACAACUUAUAUCAGACAAAGUGUGAGCUUUUAUCUUUGCAGUUUUACUCCAUCGAGAAAGAAUCAUCGAACUUGGAAUUUCUGUCAUAUUCUGAGCCUUGAACACAACAAAUGAAUGCGAGCAUGGAAUUCCAAUUGUCUCAAGCAACUUGCAGGUGCAGGAUAAGGUUUUGCUAGUCUCAUUAAUCACUACUUUCACCUAUUUCCCAACCGAUCCAAACCGCCUAACCCUGUACGUUGUUGACAUUAUAUCCCGAUCACACAUUUCUGCAGUUAACAACGCUUCCUUGUCGAUUUCUUCUUGUACGAGGCGAAACAUGGCCCUUGUGAACUUUUCAGCUGCUUGCUGCUCAUACAUCUUUAAAUGUGUAACCAAAACAGGACGUCCAUCAGAACUGUUAAAGUCAUCCUUCCCCUUUGCUUCCUUUUGUCAAUCCAUUAGUCGGUCCAUCUGUUUAACAAAUUCUAUCAAUCGGAGCCUUCUAUUCACGUAAUGGUUUAGAUACGCAUUCAUUCCUUCCGACCUUUGAGUGCUUCUCAUUCCCCCAAAAAACUUUCCCCGCAAAUAAGCCUCAGCCCACAUAUGUCUAUCUUCAAACAUCUUAACAACCCAUUCAUUUGCGGCAACAUCAUGGUUAUCGACCAUCAAUUUCCAUUUUCGGUCAAAUUCUUCUUUUGUGUAAGCGUUCAUCAUGCAGCGGCGGAAUUCUGUUGUAAAUUCAGGGUUUUGAAUAUUUGUUUGAGCAUUUCGGACCAAAUGCCAGCAACACAACCUGUGUGAAGCUUCUGGAAAUGUCUUGCUUAUUGCAUUUCGCAUUGCUUUGUCCCCGUCGGUUACAACUGUCCUCAGAUCCUUGUUGUUCAUGGUUGUCAUCAAUGUCUCUAACAACCAUGUGUACGUGUGUUCUGUCUCAUCUGACAAUAGAGCAAACCCGAAUACAAUUGUUCGCUGAUGGUGAUUUAUCCCCAAAGUAACCACGAGAGGCUUCCGAUAUGCAUUGGUCUUGUAAGUUUGAUAUUUUUUUUAAGAUUUUAAAGAAAUAUCAAUAAUUGAUCCUGGUCAAAAUAUUUGUUUUAAUUACUUAUGAAAUUGUAAAUAUUUGGAAUUGUAAAGGGCGAAAAUGUCAAAUAAAUAGAGUCAGUUCCCCUUACGCAUCAUAAGUUUCAGCCCUUGUACUUUAGUUGUGUCAGUCUAUAAAUUAUUAUUGGGGGUAAUAUUAUCUUUUGAAAGUCAACAGUUAGUCAAUAAAAAAUUUUAACUUACGAUACGGGAUCUUUUACAAAUAAAAUAAUUUGAACCCAUGUACUUGCAACAGCCUCCAACCUCAGGGGAGGUUUUAAAAAUUACCGUUAAUAAACUUUAGCAUUUUAGGGUGACCCUUAAACCUUUUGGAUCCGACUGUCGUGCAAUAGUUGCACGCUACCCCAAAUUUUGUAUUUUUUCAACUCAGCGAACGGAUCAAUGGGUAAAGGGUUCAACGGCUACAAUGUGUUUAACUGGUUCUAUUAACACUUAAGUCCCUACUGUUUAUUACAAAUUCAUAAAAGCUUUACGUUUUUAAAUAUUCACAUACAUAACUUGUGUUAACAUUUUUAAAGUUUGAUCCAUUGACUUAAUUUGGUAAAAAAAAUGAUUGAUGCCUUGAUCGUGUAAAUAUAAUAAUGUAAUAUCGCAUAAAAUGUUUAAACACCUUUUAUAUUAACCUUCAUAGUUUAUAAAAUUAUAAAAUAAAAAAUGGAUUGGGCCACAUUGCAACAGUAGUACCGUGCCACAGUUGUACCUGUCGUUGGAUCUAUUUAAAUGAGUAGGGUGUGUUUGGUACAUUAUAUCAUAUUAUAUUGUAUUGUAUUAUGUAAUGCACAUGUAUUAAAUUAUAUUAUAUUCUAUUACAUUAAUAGUAUAUUAUAAUAAUUAUAAUUAUAUUAUACAACGUUUGGUAAAUGGUAUUAUCAUGUAUUGCAUUAAUCUUAAGAAUUUAGUCAACUUAUAUUAUUCUAUAUUCAUUAUUAAUUAUAUAAAAUUUUAUUUUCAUAUAAAUUAUUGUUAAAUAAAUAUAAUAUCAUAUAGAAUAAUAUUAUAUUAUAAUAUUUUAAUCUUUUAAUUUAUUAUAAUAAAAUAAUCAAAAUGAUUAAAAUAUAUUCAAUGCUUAAUUAAGGUUAAAUAAUAAAAUUAACAAAAUAUAUUGAUGACGACGACAACGACAUUAAUAUUAAUAUAAUAAUAAAUAUAAUAAAAAUAAAGAAAUUUAUUAAUAUUAAAAUUAUUCAUAUAAUAUAAACAAUAAAAUCAUAAUAAAUUCAAUAUUAUUAAUAUAAUAAUAAUGACAUUAAUAAAUAGUAAUAAAAACAGGAGGAAACAGUUAAUGUUUUACUCAAAAGACAUUUUAUGAUUUUAUCCAGAGAAAAUUACCUAUAUCUACAAAUUUGUAACUUAUGGUAUGUAUUCAGUUUUCUUAUAAAGUGAAAGGUAAUAUUGUGUAAUUUUUGGAAAAAGACAAAAUUCAGUGAUACCGUUAAACUGUUACACGGUAGGCGGACCCUUGUCAUGUGCCUUAAUAUGACACCAACUUCAAGUGGUGCAUUACUAAUCCAAGGCGUCACAUUAAUACUUGCUUGCCACUUAUUAUUUGAUGCCAUUUGGUAUAAUGUGUACUUGGUAACAGAUGUUUAAUGCUUCAUCAACAUUUUGCACGUUGUGAUGACACCAUGUUCAAUUCACUUGUUGUAACACCACCCGUUUUUUGUUUCAUCUACUCUUGUGCAUUCCUGAUUUGCAACUCCUUUUGUUCCUUAUAAAACCACAACUAUUCAUGGACACUCCAUAUUUUUUACGUGAGUCACAUACAACGUUUUACACUUACUUACUGUUACGGUUUGAGGUUGUCAAUAAGUAAUAUUACAUUUUCGUUACAGCAUCGAUUACCAAACGGGCAGGUCGCAUAAGUGGCUUUCUGUUUCAGCUAUCAUCAAUCAUUCAGGUGCAUCAACAAAGGAUAUGGGUCAUUACAUAAUAUAAAUCAGUCUGUCCAAGGGAAUUCAAGGAAACCAGUUGCAAAUGUGUUUGUUCGAAGUUACAAAAGCACAUAAAUAUAUCACAGAAAACAUAUCCAAUGGAAAUAUUACACAUUAAUUCCAGCUCCAAUGGAAGUCCCGCAGCAUAUCGAACUCUAAUGACAUGAAUCGGCCCCAAUAACACCAAACACAUCUAGUUGACUGUUUCCCUAGUAACCCGAAUGUUAACAGUAGGAGACUGUAUUCGAAAGUUGAGAAUUUUGCGACAGAGUGUUUGCAAUCUGGCGCCUUGAACACUUCCGUGGCAGUGGUAUAUGAACUUGUCCAACACUUUACUAUGCCACAGGAAGUACUCCACCAGGCGUACGUCAUCUUUUCCGUCAGUAAAUGCUUUCAUCUUUAUUUUUUUGACGCAUUCACUCAAGCAAUGGGGCACAUUUUCUGUCUCCAGCCACCCAAGUUCGUGGUCGUUUACGUCGAACCAAUCUCCCUGAUAAGUUAAAACAGGCAAACCCAUGGUUAACAUAUUGAACCUAGUUCCUGAUGACUGCACAUGACUAUUGUCUUACUGACCUUCGUUAAUAUACAAGUACGCAAGUUGUAGGUGGCAGUGAGGAUAGUAUGUAGACCUUUCCAGCCACUUCGUCGAACUUCAACAUCCAAAAAGGUGAGGUUGUCAAACCAAAUCAGGGACUGCCUUUCGCAUGCCCGCUUAAGUGCUUGUGGUUUAAUUGGUUAUUACACAAACAACAACAAUAACAACGUUCUGUCACUUUCAAGUAACAAAUAAUUAACCAACUUAAGCCCUUUUGUUGAAAUGCAAAAUUUGGCCUGAUUGUCCAAGGCUUGCUGACAUUCCUUAACAGUUCAAGCAAAACAAUACAUCUCAGCCUUAUGAUCAAUACAAAAACCUAACAGUCAUAACAGAUGAAAAAAUUGUAUAUCAAUCUCUGUCUACCUUUCUCCCUGCAGCGCCGCUCUGUCAAAAUAAUACUAUGUACAUAUCACAUUCGGAUUGAGGACAGCGGCGCAGGGAGAGUUUCAUAAAUUAUAUAAAUUUAUGACAGUACAUGUCGUCAUUCAUCAUCCAUAUGUAACAUAGGUUAACAAUAUAUAAUUCAUUUCACAUCACCAAGUUCAAACAACACACAAACCUUUAUAUCAUCUUUUUGUGGUAAUUGUUUUGCUACUCUACAAGGACUCAACCACCACCAUUGUUUUUUGUUGGUGAAAUUUAGGAUCAUGUUUCUGACAUUUGCAAUUUGACAGUGGAAAUAAUGACAAUUUAAACUACUAUAUAAUCCAUUUACAUGCAAUUACUUACUUGGCCAAUUUAAAUGUCAAACCAAUCUUAAACUAAACUUUAUACUAAUUGCAUGUGUGUGAUCACGUUGUUACAUUGAUACAAUAUGUCACAUUGCAAAUGUUACCCCUUAUAUGCUAGUUUACAACCUAAAAUUACCCGGUACUUUUUUUAAAUGAAUAUUUAGAUGCUGGUAUAGUAUGGGAAUGCUUACCAAAAGAACACCACCGGAUAGGAUCAGACGAGCUGUUUUUGCGACACCCUCAAUGAGGUUGCGAGCACGUUGUGGAUCAACUGUAUCCGAUUCCCAAUGUUGAAGAUCUAAAGUUGCUUACUGGAUGGAUUGCAUCUCAUGUACCUCAUAUUCCAUCAACAUGUUAUCAACAAUAUGGAUUAGUUGGAGAUUUGGCGCCAUAAUGACAGCACAAUGGUGGUAUGACAUCCCUCGCAACGAGGUGAAGAGAACAACAAACGUCAGUGUGUUAAGAGUUGCCGACUGAAUGAUGAAGUUCGCUGGAGGAUCAUCUGGUUGUAUCAAAAUUGUCAGACAGAGUUCCGUCAGUGAAGGGCAACUACAAAACAGCUUCUCUUUAACUCGGUUUUCAAGAUGGGUAAUACAUAUUUGAAGAAUCUUCAGUUGGGGAAAACACACACCAUCCGGAGGAUCUUAUAAGCGAAAUGCAGUGUGUAGUCGAAGAACUUCAAGCGUCAUCGAGCUGUACACAUAUGCAGGCAACUGCAUGGGUGCGUACUGGAUAAUAUCGAUUUCCAUCUCCCGAACAUUCCGCAUUAUUACCUGAGAUACCCACAAAGGAAACCGAUCACUACGUAUAGCGUUGACACUCUGAAGAGAGAACGUAUGUAUUGAUACGGGGUCCGUUCCAGCCAUCACUGAUUCUAUGAAGUUGUUAAAUUCAUCCACCAGGUCAGGAUUGUCAGCAGCAGCCCCCAUGGGACCCCCAUCAUCAAAGCAGAGGUUGCGAACUGAGGUCCAUACAUGCCUCCAUCUUCGCGAAAGACUUGAAGUGGCCACUGCAUCUUCGAGUGGCAGAAAAUUUAGGAUAUUGGACAUCACAGAAUCAGGCAAUGCACUAAUCCUGUCUUCGGGUACUUUUUUUAGCACUCUUCCCCGUCGGAUCCGCGGAACCGAACCAGUUGAUCUCCUCAUCCUUAAGGCAACUCACCUUGGCCUGUGGGACCAUUAAAUACAUUUAAAUUCAUAAUAAUCUGCUACAAAAAUCAAACCAUUUACACAGACGUUAUUUAGAUGUACAAUGUAGGUUGUUAAAUUCACUUCCACACACAUGGUCAUAGUUAACAUUUAUAAAUAAUUUAAAGGUUUAAUUAAGCAGUUACAGUAUGAAUUGCAUUCAAGCAUAGAUUUUUUAAAAAUGAAAAUUUUAUUGACUCAUCCUGAAAAUUAUAUAAUCUAUUGAGGUCGUUGAUUAAUCAAUUAGAAUCAGGUGUACAGAGAUAAAAUAAUACACACAAAAGUCCAGACAUUUCACCAAUUAGCUAAUCCUUUUAGUAUUAUUCCCCAACUUAAAACGAUAUAUCCUAAAACCUUAUCCUUUGUAAGCAUCGCGAUGAAUUUCCCUAACAUAUAUCCAACACAAGCAUUCAAUGUUUAGGUUCAGACUCAUUAACAAAGAUCCACCAUUGCUAACUUAUCGUCGUCAAAAUAAAACAAAUAUGGCACAUUCGCGAAUGAACCAAACAAUUCACCAAAAGGAUAGAAAGUAGAAGGGUUCAGCUGUCUAACGAAAUAUUAGGGGCAAUAAUGGGGAAAAAACAAAAAAAAAAUUGAUGCAUUUGUUCUGGGAACUGUCGUCGUUAUGUAGUGAGUUAAUGCUUGUUUUGUUUGGUGGUUAUGUUAUUGGCCACUGGGCUGUACAUUCCCGGGAUGUGUGACUACAUUGAUCAUUGUCACUCUCGAGAUUGCGGCUUCAGUUCAAUCCGUUAUGAAUCCUUGUGCCAUUGUGGCAACUGGCAACUGCCAUGUGAAAUUGAAAUAUUUGCUUCAGACAAUUACUCGGUGCUUCAAACAAUAAUAUUGUGGGCCCAUUGUUUAGGUCAGUCGCUUUCUCACUUCCCUUGUCUUUCUGGAUUGAACACGUUUGGAUGGUCUUUCAGUUCAACCUUUUUCAUUGCCUCAUUUGUCUCUUGUGGUGCUUGUCAACUUUAGAUCCUUCCAUACUUGGCCGGACACACAAAUUUAAUUUUUUAGAUUGCAUGGGGCCAUGGAAGUAUGAUGACUUCAUUCGGCAUGUGCGCAAUGUGACAACAAGUUUUUUCAUUUUUCAAUUAUGUCCUUUUUUAUUUAAUAUUAUUUAACCAUAAGCUUAUUAUUAUAUUUGUUCUUUUAUAAUUAAAUAAUAAAUAAAAAUAAAAUAAACAUAUUCAGUAGUUAGCAUUACAAAUUGAGACAUUUUUAUUAUUAUUUAUUUUUGUUAUUUAAUAUUAUGUACACAUACAGUUAUUAUUUAAACUAAUGCUUUCAUCAAACAAAAUAAUGCAAAAUAAUAAACAAAUCAUUAGUAACAAGUGUUAACAAAUAAAAUUAUUCUUUUAAUUUACCCAUAGGCUUACAAUUAUAAAUAAGCUUAUUUGAAAACUAAAUAAUAAACAAUUUUAAUAGUGUGUUACAUAUUAUAUAUAUAUAUAUAUAUAUAUAUAUAUAUUAUAUAAAAAACCUCAUUUUAUUUUAAUUUAGUCAUGUAGGUGCAAUGGCCAAGUCCGAAUGUUCAUAUUUGACCUUUUUUUUUUGCUGCGAGUUUAUACGUGUUAAUAUAUAUGCGAAUUAUUAUUUAUAUUAAACUAUAUGUUUCUCUUUGUACAUAUUUAUUGAUAUAUAAAUUUUAUAUGUUUCUCUUUGUACAUUUGUCCCUGCUUUAAUUUAAUCUUUAUCUGAAGGUAUUAUUAUGAAGAUUCUAUUUAACUUAAUUUUGAUUCGUGUUUUUUUUUAAUUUAUAAAUAAUACCCAAUUAAUUAUUAACUACUUGUCCUUCAGCGGAUUAUGUAGACAGACAAAAGAAGAAAAGGAAUUUAGAGAAAUUAAUGUGCAUUGAGAUAACCGCUAAUGUAGGGACGAAAGAAUUAUGCACAUGACCUUCUUAAUGCAAGUAUGAACUUGGUGAAAAUUGAGAAACUUUUUUUAUGUUAUUAUUACUUAACUUUUUGAACGUGGUUUCUAAUAAUUCGCACAUUUGCUUUUGAUCUUCUUUUGUUUUUAUAGAUCUUUAACAAUAUAAUUUUACUUCUUAUUUUCAUGACUUCUUAUUUGAUUUAUUUUAUUUUUGCAGCAUACUUCUUUAGGGUCUGCCUACCGUGCAACAGUUACACGGUACCAUUGAAUUUUGUCUUUUUCCAACAAUCAUACUACACUACCCUAUAUUUAUAAGAAAACUGAAUAUAUACUAUAAGUUACAAAUCUUUAUAUAUAGGUCCUUAUCUCUGGAUAAAAUUAUAAAAUGACUUUUGAAAAAAAAUUUAAUUGUUAUUAUUAUUAUUUAUUAAUGUCAUUCUUAUUAUUAUUAUUAUUAUUAUUAAAAUUUAUUAUUUUAAUUGUUAUGAUUUUUUUAAUUGUUAUCAUUAUUAUUAUUUAAUAAUUUUAUUACCGUCACUAUUUUUAAAAUAUAUUAAAUUUAUUACUGAAUUAUUAUUGAAUUAUUAUUUUAUUAAUAUUAAUAAAUUUAUUAAUCUUAUUAUUGUAAUUAUUAUAUUUAUAUUAAUGUUGUUGUCGUCAUCGUCGUCAUCAUCAUUAAAUUUUAUAUAUUUUUUUUGUUUUGACUAUUAAAUAAUACCACUGUCAUUAUUAUUAUUUUACCUUAAUUAAGCAUUACAUAUAUUUUAAUUAUUUUUUAUUUUUAUUAUAAUAAAUAAAAAAUAUAAAAAUAAAUUAUAAUAUAAUAUUAUUUUAUUAUAUCAUAUAAUAUUUAUUUAAAAAUAAUUAAUAUGAAAACAAUUAUUUAAUAUCAUUAAUAAUAAAUUUAAAUAUUUUUAGUUAAAUAUUAGUACAAAAUUAAUGCAGUACAGGAUAAUACCAAUUACUAAAUGUUGCAUAAUUUUAUUAUAAUUAUUAUAAUAUACUGCUUAUAUAAUAUAAUAUAAUAUAAUAUAAUAUAAUAUAAUAUAAUAUAAUAUAAUAUAAUAUAAUAUAAUAUAAUAUAAUAUAAUAUAAUAUAAUAUAAUAUAAUAUAAUAUAAUAUAAUAUAAUAUAAUAAUAAUAUAAUAUAAUAUAAUAUAAUAUAAUAUAAUACAUGUGCAUUACAUAAUACAAUAUAAUAUAGUGUGUCAAACGGACCUUUAACUUUUUGAGUGAUGAUGGUCUAGAGGGAUGUAGAGAAAGUAAAAAUAAUCCUAGUAGAUCUUUUACAAUGGUUGAUUAGCUAUCAUCACAAAGUUUAGGCUAAUACAAUAAAAGUUAACGAACUACCUUAUAUUUAAAAGAGCAUUUGGAAAUCAAUAAAUUUACUAUUCAAUUAUUUUUAAUCAAGAAUAAAUAAUAAAUGAUCAUUACAACAAGAUUCACAAGCUCAAAUAUCUUAAAAAAUGAUAAUUCUCAAGAAAUAUGAAACUCAAAUGCUUUUGAAAUAUUCUUCAAAAAAUAAACUAACUUCCUUUUAUGUUAUUCUUUAUUUAUCUUUCUAUAACUUUGUUGGGCUAUGUAUAUAUUGAUAUUUUAUAGGUAAAUUAACAUAUUGUAUGUAUAAAUAAACUAACAUGUCAACUAAUGUUAAAAACAAAAAUGUAAUAAAAAAGUAAAGUUUUGUAAUAUUAAAAUAAUAAAAUUUUACAACCUAAGACUUUUUACAUGUUUUCUUAUUUUGAAAUUUCACCUUUUUUUAUUUUAUAAUUUUCUAAAGUAUAAAGGUUAAUAACCUAUAUUCUUAAAACAUAUUCAAUUUAUUUAUUUUACAGUAAAUAUAGAUUAUAUAACAAAAAAUAUUAUUUACAUUUAUCAAAUUUUCAUGUGUUUAAAAAUUUUAUGUGAUAUUACAUUAUUAUAUUUACACCAUCAAUUAUUUUUAUGAUCAAAUUAAGUCAAUGGAUCAAACUUUAAAAAUUUUAAAACAACAAAAAUUAUGUAAGUGAAUAUUUAAAACCUUUUAGCUUUUAUGAUUUUGUAAUAAACAGUAAGGACUUAAGUGUUAAUAACUAAUUGAACACAUCCUGUCUGUUGAACACUUUAACCAUUGAUCUUUUACAAUGGCUGAGUUGAAAAAAGACAAAAAAAUGGGAUACCGUGCAACUGUUGCACGGUAGGCAGACCCACUUCUUUAUGUUAUUUUGAGGACACUACACAAUACAGCUUUGAACUUAUGAAGAGUUUAGAUGAAGUUGUUGGCAUUUUGUUUAUUUUGUAUUGUAAAAAAUAAAUUAUAUGUAAUACUAUUAUGUUAUGGACUUCAAUCACUGAAGUGGAUUUAUUUUAAUUAUAUGUUACCUGUUUUGUAGUUUGUAAUUUAUGCAUUUGUUUGAGAGCUUCCAAAUUAAUUUAAAAAUAUAUUAUGUUACAAAAUUUUAAUUACUUACAAAAACCUAAUUCACAACAUACAUCUGCAAUUUUUUAAAAGAUAUGUAAUAAAAUAGUAGAAGACAACAUUUACGGCUUGUGGUUAAAAACUUUUCAGCAACAUGCAAAUAACUCAUGUCUAAAACUGUUUUCGUAUGAAUGGUUCCACCAAUUACCUAACCAUGAAAUACUACGAUACUUUUGAUAGUAAUAUUAUGAUUAAGGUGCAUGAUACGAUUAUAUAUAGCAAAAGCCACGCAUCCCGAAAGACAAAUCGAUGCACACAUUGAACAAUUGACAAAUUUGUAAGUGGACCAAUGUACUUAACGCAAAUAACGUGAUAUUUAACACAACACAAGAACUUGUUCUAAUGAUUACAAAAACAAUAGUGGCAACAUCCAAGGGAUAUCUUGUACGUACGCUUCAUUCGUCUACCAAAAAAGACUACAAUAAAGUACAAUAUAUAUAAGUCCACAUUUUCCCUACGUUCACAUAUACUACCAACGAAAGAGGCACACCCCAAAUGUUGAUUAAUGUAACGCUUCCCUAUGAAGCAAAAUCGGGUGAUGAACUCAAGUGGCGCAUUAGGCAGUUCCAUCAGCAGUCUCCACCGUUGUUCCAACGCCGUUAGAUUGGGAUCCAUGGCAAUGAUCGCCUCCCUGCUAGAAGUCAAUAGCGUUUAUACAGACAAAAAUGAAAAGAUCAAUGCCACUAUACAUUUUAAAAAACGAUGAAUUGAUUACCCCAACACGUGGAUAAAAUAAACCUAUGCUAGUUAACGAUAAUAACGACAUCCAAUUAAUUGAAAGCUUUGCAAUCACAGAAAUGCUUCGAAGAAAUUUUUUACCGUGGCCGGAGUUGGAUUUACUAGCUUGCAUGUGCGCUUCCCAUGUCCGUCGGCCUUACACACCGUACACCUGUACUUUUGCUUCACGCCCACAACUUGGGCACGUGGUAUAAUGGGUUGUACAGCCGUGGUUGCUGCAGGGUUUUGGUCAGAAUGGGCCACCGCAUCCUUGACCACCGGGACAUCCUCUCUGGUAUGGCACAACGUCGAGGGGGGCCCAAGUGUUGGAGAGUGAGCAGCGUUAACGGAAAACCGAACUAGAACAUGGAGACUGCAACUUCCCUUUAUCAUGGACAAGUGGAUAAUGUUUUUCAACGCAUCGUCCGUGUUGACGUCCACCAUCCGACCAUCCCACGGGAGAACGACUUUAGGAUGGAAAUAAUGAACCGCAGGAGAAUCUCUAGUCUGCAGCACGAGAGCUGCAAUAUUGCAAAAUCUGAGAAGAGUGUAGUGCAUGGGCCUGAUGGAUUUAAUCAUCAUGGCUGACCCCAUGUACUCCAAGACAAAGAUGAAUGGUGGAGGCAUUAUUGGCGUUACCGUCGCCAUGUAUUAGGGAAACUGAGAUGUAGGUGCGAACUAAAAAAAAUGAUGAUCAACUGCGAUGUUCGUACUAUGUGGUUAUGUAAAGGUCAUUCGUGAAUGGUGGCAAUAUACACAUUCGUUGAUAAUAAUACGCAUUACAGAUAAAAAAUUCAUCCAACUAUUUUGAAUUUAGUGGGAAUUCUUAACCAACGUAAGUAGUCCAUAAAUAUAUGGGUAUUUUAUAUGGCCAAUGAGACAUUAGAAGGUAAUUAUUUCUGUGUUUCGUUUAAAAAUUCCAACCUUAAAUUAACUCCCGCCUUUGAAAGAGGCUGGUUAUAGGCGACAAAAAUACUUCCUACUAUUUACAUACCUUGCCGUUGAAGAUUUUGCACUGACAAACUAACAGUGACAACUACUAUACUGUUUGCAGUGCUUUUAUGGUAACUCACGAUAACGAAGCUUCCUGUGGGGUCAAAUGCGCUGAAUGUUAUUAAUUGCCAAUAUUCACAGCAGUUGCAUUCUGUCAGGGAUAUAUUUUCCAGUCAGUGUCUUCUUGAUAAAGGAACAUGAGGCGGCGGGUUGUUUCCUGUGGAUGGCCAUGCAUUUAUGUAGUGGCCGCCGCUAAGCGAGGCCGUCUGUUGCACCGGUGAAAGGACACGACACAAAGAACAUCGCUUCACCCACGUGGCCACGUUUUCACAGAGGAUGACCGUGUUAUUAGCCUUUUUUAGUUCACUUUUGGAGUGCAUUGAAUCGACUUGACUAGCUAAGUGAUAAUCUGUAAGCUACUGACUGCAGCAUCAGCCGUUGGAUACGGUUGGAUGUGAAGUGAGAAACUAAACUAUAAAAUGGGAUGGUGGGAUGAGGGGAUACGUUUGUUAUGGAAUCUGUACCAUAGACAGGUCCACAUUGAAUAUGUUCGUGCCUCUUUCUUCGAUACCCCCAACACGUGGUAUGACUUAAAUCCACACACGUUCAAAAGUUAUCACGGCAUUUACAUCUACAGCCAAAAGUUCAAACUGGUUUAUGGGAAGUAAUCUGUCAAUUGGGAAGCUUCCUGUGGCCUUGCACACAUCGGGUUCAUUGACUACAGCAGUGGAAAACGAGAAGGGUAUUGACGGAAUAUAGAAUUUAUUUGAAUUAUUUGUGAUGAGACAGAAGCAUUUGCUUAUUAGUUAAAGUGACCGUUGAUAUCUUCCCGUUGUGAACCAUUACGUGGAAAUGUCCCAGCAAUGAAUGAGAGUUUAAAUACCGCCUUCUAUCGUUUUGCAUCUAUGAGGGUGCACAAUAUUCUUCCAAGAAAACCAUUUUUCGCAUGUCUUCGUCGACCAAUAGCACCAAUAACAUGAGUAACAACCACGACGGUGGAGAUCGUCGUAGGUGGAUUAAGUUGAAAAAUUGAUAUUGCAACUGUUAUAAUGGCCGGCGAGCUGUAAUACGGAUUUCUAAAUCGUCAAAGAACCCAUGACGUCUUUUAUUUUACUGCGACACCUGCAAGUUUUUGCAUUGGUGGACUCCGGAUAACGAUGAAUGACACAGUCUUCGUGAGUAUGUGCAGGAACGGACAGGAGCCUACCGUCUCAGUCGCUUACAUGUAGUGGCUUGCUUUGUUGGGAUCAUUAUCUCGAAUAUACUGGCAAGAGCGUUGGUUGUGCUAUACUUAUGGUGGUUUUCGGUGAGGACCUCGGCCGAUCCAGGAGUGACGAGCCAGUGGUUUUAGUUUCAGCAUGGGUAGCAGUAUGGUGGGUGUUAAAGUAUAAAUAGUUUCCAUGUAUAUGUUUUAAUUUAGAGCUGAUCCAGCAAUAAACAAGUGUCACCAGUAAAUUUACAUCGUUUUUUUCCAAGUAUAUAGUCAUUGUUUUUGUGCAUCGUGGCUUGAAAGUGGGGCUACAGUGUUUGUUUUAUUCACGUUAGGCGCAAAUCAUGCUAAUCAUCGUGUUUGCUAUGAUUAGUAAGGGGAUUGUUAGGGCUAAGAAAAAUGAAAUUAUUGACCUCCCUGUCAAAUAUUGUUACUAGCUCCCAUGCACUAUAUCGUUGAAGGCAUCUAUUUUAUUGUGCAUUAAGGUAUUGAAUGUGUUGAGAAACAUACACUGUUAAUUCAAGUCAGUUCCCCUUAGUUAGGAUAGAACGAAGCAUGGUUGCAAAUUGAAAAUAUGGUCGAAAAAGACGUCCUUUUAUUAAUCCACCAGGUGACAACAUUCUGGGCGAAGGGUCAUAUUUGUAAAAACCAAGCUGACAAAACAGGAAAACGCUAUUGAUGCAAGUCUGCAACACCAACAACUCAUUUUUUAACAAUCUAGAUGCUACCCCUUAUAUGCGAUUACGAGGACAAAAAGAAAUAAAUAAUAAGACCUUCGCUACCAUUAACGAGAAAAGGAAAAUGAGUUCGCUAUGUGAGCAUUUUUGAAAUAAGUGGCAGCAUUUAGAAUUGUGCAUCUUCAGUGUGGACGUUAAUGGUAGCGCAUGCGAUUGUAGACCAACCAUGCCAAGCCGAACAUUAUGGAUGCCUCAUCAGCCUCGAUGUGAAAAGUGAAAUUUGAAAGAAAGCCGUCCCAAGUGAGAAACACAUCAACGAAUGACGACGUAAACAGCACCUGGCACGUCCGCGAUUCAAGAUUGACCGCUAUGUGGAAGUUCAUGAUCAGGUGAGAAAUCUGUUCCACCUUGAGGAAAGGCAUCGUAAAAAACAAUGUCAUUUUACAGAAAAAAAAAUAUUUGAAUAACAGGAAAAAAAAUCCACACUUCCUAAUUGGAUGUGCCCUAGAGUUUGGAAGCCGUAAAUCGCGACAAAAUUGCCGCAAUUCAGCCCUUUUAAACUGAAACAACUACCGCCGGAUAACAGAUAUCCGUAUCGAAGAUGCACGUUAUAAAUGACCCACAAAAGAGGAAUGAGGUACUGAUUUAGAAAGCGAUAAUGGAGGUGCUGGGAUGAGAAACGACUGUUUGUACACCCAAAUGAAGCUGGGUCCCUCAAAAGAUACAUUUUGUGAACUAUAAUUAAUCGUGGACCAUGAUCAAACGGUGGUGCGACUGAUAGUAUAACCCCCUAAACCGAAGCUUCACCAUAAGUACAAUAACAUGGGGGGAACUGAAAUAAUAUGUUAAUAGUCCUCAUUAACAAAGUUGAACCAUGGAGAUGUAUAUUAAGUAUAUAACAAACGUUCAAAAGUUGUAUACUCAAGUGAACAGGUUGUACAAGUUUGGAAGAGGGUCACGCGGACGAUUGGAGGGACGUUAACGCAUGUAAGAGAAGUGGACCGGCCAUGGGAUCAUAAUAUCAGCACUGAAACAUUUUACCAUAUUUCCCAAUACAUUUAUCACAGUUGUAAAAAAACUAAGCAUCAAAGCAGGAAAGCAUCGAACUGAAAAGAUCAUGUGCAUAGAGAGACGCGUCGAACCUGUGAAUGCUCCUGUUAGUUGGAGUCCCGACCGGAGACGCGACGUGCUGUACACAGCAACAACUCCGGGAAGAUGACUUCGAACUAACAGAAGGAAAAGUGAGGCGAACUUGUCAAAAGCAAUGACAAUCUUGUCACUGACUAAAAUUAUAUGUGGACGAUAACCAGCGAGUGCUAGCAUCUUAGGCCGUGUUUGGACGUGUGCAAAAAGAGGGAAAUAACUUUUGUGUAAGUUUUAAUUAAUAGUAAACACAACCGUACAUAAAUACCGUAAUUUAUCAACCGGGCAAAGCUUACCUUACAUAUAAUGUAACAAAAAACCAAUGAAUAUAAGUCAUUGAUUUUGAUAUUCCUUAAAUCCAAUGGAAAAAAUUAAUUUUAACAUAAAACAAAAUACAGGUGAAAUAUAUAUUGAUAAAAGCUUUUAUUUAUAAUCAUAUAUUUACGUAAUUUUUCAAAUACGUCCUCAUUGAGUUUUUAUAAUGAAAUGGUUUUUUCAUUAAUCUUUUCUACAUUUAUUUUUAAACUGUAAACAUUUUUUACAAUAUUUUUAUAAAGAUUUAUAUGAUUAUUAUAUUCAUAAAGAUCCACAAAUUUUGAAUAUAUUUUUGCGCUUACAUUUAUAAUUUCUUGUCUCUCUGGAGACAUAAACUAAAAUUUUCUUCUAACACAUACACACAUUCAAUCUAUUUUCGUUCUUAAAUACAUAGCAUCAAUGCCAUCACACAUAUUUUGUAAUCUAUAUUUAGUAUCAUGAAUUAUAAUAGACAUUAUAUGUAAUGAAUAUCUUAUAAAUCUAAUGAAUUAUUAAAAAGAUGGUACAAUGAAUAAAUUACCAAAACCUCUAAUAAAAAGAUUACAAUUCUUUGAUCUUAUCAAUGAUUCAAACAUGUGGAGAAAUAAUCAAUUAAAUUGAAUGUUACUAUUUUUAUUAAAUAAAUUAGAAAAUAUAAAUAUUUCUAUAAAUGAUAUAGAAAUGGUAAACAAAAUAUUAGAAAUUCAUAAUUUCAAUGAAGGAAUAUAAAAUAAAAUAAAAAGUUAAGAGAUCAAGUGAUCAACUUAGUAAAGAAUUUAAUAAAGUUAAACAAUUCAUAAAAGACUUCAACAUUAAAAAUCAUGAUAUAUUAAACCAAGAGAUUAAUAAUAUAAUGAAUAAAAAUUCAAUAGAUAUAAAAUUUAACAAGUUAUAGAUUCAAUGAAAUAAAAUAAAUAAAAUCGUUGAGCAGUUUCAUACUAACUUUGCUAUAAAUAUAAAUGAAGAACUUCAAAAAAACUUCAAAUAUUGCUGCUUGGGUGCAAACAACCUGGAGUAUAAACAAUCUGGGGUAUAAUGUAAAACAUUAAAACUUAUUGACUUUUUUAAUAAUUAUUAUCUUUUCUAAGGGUUUAAGAAUUUAUAACUGUAACAUACAACUAAUGUAACAUGAGCUUUGCCUAUCAACCGUAUUAAACAUCCAUGGAAAUGUAUUGAAUGUUAUUAGUAAUCGUGAAUUAGUUGUAGACGAUGCGUGCAUGUAGGGAAUUAUGCACAUGGCUGGAUCUAGUAGUGGUAUGAUACCAGUGAGCUACCAUAGUUUUCUCCGUAAAGAUGUAAUAAUUAGAAUAGUUUGAAAGGAAUAUUUUUUUUUUCCCAUUAUAUGAUGUAGGUCCCCCACAUCUUAUAUUUGUAUGUAAACAUAGGGCAAAACGAUAACAUCACUUCAAGCAGCCAGUUUCAUAGAUUGAUAUUUCCAAUUUUUCUUUUAAGUUGACCUUAUAUUCGCACAGUAAUACACACAAUUACGAAUCUAAUUUUUGUGAUCAUAGUAUAAAUAAGUACCCGCGAGAAAUAUGUCUUGUACAGUAAAAUUACUGUUACAAAUAACAGACAAAUUUGUCACUUCAUUAUAGGUAUAACAUAGUACACUCAAUUUAUUUCGCCCAAACUAAUUUAAUUAUAGUGAGACAUUCUUAACUGUUGCAGAAUAAAGUAAUUUCAAUUUUCAACAAAAAUGUGUAUUUUUUAUUGAAUGUAAUGUAAUAUCUAUUUCCAAUAUUAAUCUCAUGUAAUAGUUUAAAAAUUAUGACAAUUUACCAUGAAAUAUAUUAGUUAUCACAAGUUUCUCUAUUACUUGUCAUCGUAUCAUUAAAUUAAAUAGGCAACAUUAUAUUAUUUAUUAAUUAAAUCCCAAAAUAGUUAUGGUGGUUUGAUGAAUAAAUUGUAAGGAUUGUUUACUUUUCUUGUUUUGUUUAAUUGAUGCACUGCUUUCUUUCUAAUUAUUUAACUAUCGAAUGUCAUGCUAUCUAAAGUCUAUAUGUAUUCAAAUGACGGGAAUCAAGACCUCUCAACAAAUUUCGAAUAUAUAAGAUUGAAACAGCACAAUGUGAAAUACUAAUGUUCAUUUUAUCCUGUAACAAUAUGAAGAAGUUGUACAAUUUAUUAGGAAUUGACCAUAGUUGUGGAACGAAUUGUAAAGCAUAAUCUGGGAAUAGUAAGGAGAUUGUUGUGACCAAUACAACAAAAAACAAAUCAAAUACUUAGUAAAAUGUUGUUACAAAAUAAUUACGUCCACUGUUAACUUGGAAUUCACAUGAUAUUCCCCUAAGUGUAUUGAUGGUAACAUAUGUUGCACGGCUUAUAAAACCCCCGAAGUUCACAAAUUACACUGCAUAGGCGUGAGACUGGGGCCUGACAUUUUGUAUUAUUGAUACGGGCUGGGAUAAACGUCCAUGUGACAAUUACGUCGUUGGUCCUUGAAGAUUAGGAUAUUUACUGACGAAGUGAUAUCAUGGUUUCCACCCAGUAGUAGGGAUUAGUUGGUUAGAACAGGGGAGCUAUUUGCCAUGAUGGUAGGUUUUUUCAGAACGCGAGGGAGUGUUGGUAAAAGUCUGGGAAAAAGGAUAGCUCAUCGAAGCUUCGUAGCGGACAAAAGCGGCGGCCAAGUACAGUUUCCCACGCAACCACUGACAAUGAAAGGAAAGAAAUUGCAAACUUCCGGCAUUUUAAUUUAUUUUUGUGGCAGUCGUUGCUUUGGAAGGUUAAUCCAUAAAAAUAAGGUGAAAUGAUGAACGACAUUUGCGCAGGAGAGGAAAUUUCUUUCCAAAAAUUUCAUCAUAGGGAGUUUCAUAAAUCUGUGCAUGAACAGGAUCCUGUAAAGACUACAUGUGAAACCCAUAUAUCGAUUCGAAGGAAUAACUUAGGAGUGGGAGCCAACAACACCACAGAGAAGGAGAGUAUGCUAAAUACAUACUUCACAGAGUGACACCAGGUAAACAUCAAAAUUAUAUCGUGCUCAUGUUUAUUAAUGACAAGUCUGUCUCACAUAUGUUCAUUCCGCUGGGCAAUGAAAUUGCAUGUGACGGAAAUGUAAUAAUCACUUUAAAACUGCUGUAUGGGUAGUUUAUUGUAGCACGAAUCAGGUUUGCAAUCGUACGGUAGACGCAUGUUUACAUUACAAAAAAUUGUUACGUUAGCUAUUACUUACAACUUCUCUGUUGAAUAACAAUGUGCAUUUCGUUUAAAUUUGUCAUAUUAAACUUGCAUUUAAAAUGUAUAUUUGGCCACACCAUUAAUUACUUGGGAAGAUGGCCAGUUAUGUGCAUUAUUUGAAGAAACUAUCCCGCAUUUCACAGUUUAGGCCGUCAUGGAAGAGCAUCAGCAUAUCAAAUUUUUCAUUUGCUCAUGCUUGUGGUGAUUUAAUAAACAGAUAAACCAAAUUCAAAGCAAGUCAUGGAAGAGGAUCAGCAGUCUGUUGUCAAAGGUAUAAAAGAGCCAAAGAAGCGCAGGCUUAUUAGUUCUACGAAUCACGCUGACCUCUUGAACUGUUCGCCAGAAUAUGUUCGUUCCUGUAGCUCAACAAAUAGACGAACGGCUAUAUUGGAUACUGACAUGGCCAAAUUGCAAAAGGCAUUAUAGUUUAAGAAUGAAAAAUAUAAUAGAAAAAUGUCCAAGGAGUUAUUUCCCAGUACAAAAGGCAAGGACGAACUGGUAGAUCAACAAUGUCGGGUGCUUGGCAAGGGUAACCCAAGUUGCACGGAACAUCUAAAAGGGAAUAAACAAACCCCUGUGUUUCUUAAAACACGUUGGCCAACAGGGUGGUACUCGGAUGAUGAACGAGACACGUUGGCAGACGUAAACGAUGAUCAACAACAAUUAGAAGGAUACUCGUCAGAAAAAGAGAAGGACAAUUUGUACGGAUUGGUAGAAAACCAAUUAGAUGAAGAUGUGGGUGACUGGUUCAUAUUUGAUGACAGUGUACAUCAUAGACUAGUAUUAUAUCACGGCCAGCGAUUUAAAGAUGUGACCCAGUUUAGGAACACUAUUCAAGUGUAUGCAAUUCGUGAACGGUUCAAGUUGUGCAUUAUGGAAAAUCGAUCUCACAUUGUCAGUUGCGAGUGUUCUGAUCUUUCUUGCGACUGGCAGGUUAAAGCAAUCAGAGAUGUCCGUGGUAAGGGUUUUGUUAUAACAGAAUUCUCACUAAAACACAAUUGCCCUCGACUUGACCACGCAUUCCACCCUGCAUCAAAGUGGAUUUCAGCAAUGUUUCUUCAUCGAUGGAAAGAACAGACAAGUAUCACCACAACAGAGGUCAAAAAUGAUAUUGAAUCCAUGUAUAGGAUUAAAUGCCCUGAGUGGAAGGUGUUUUGUGCAGCAAACAGAGCAAAACAGAUUUUGGGCCUGGAUUAUGACGAUGGUUAUGCAAUGCUGCAUCAGUUCAAAGAAGAAAUGAAAAGGAUCGAUAGGGACAACAUCGUGCUUCUAGAAACUGAGAGCCAUGAAUCACGAAAAGAAGAAAGGUUCAAGAGGGUGUUUGUAUGCUGUGAACGUACAUCCUAUGCAUUCAAGGUGCAUUGCCGAGGUAUCCUAGCUGUUGAUGGUUGGGAAAUUAACAAUCCGUGCAAUAGUGUCAUGCUGGUGGAAGCUGGACUUGAUGGGAAUAAUGGGAUCUUAACAGUUGCCUUCUGCGAAGUUCAAGUCGAAGACUUGGAUUCUUGGGUUUUUGUUUUAAAGAAUAUCAACAGCGCGCUGCGUUUGGAGAAUGGCAAAGGUCUAUGCAUAUUGGGUGAUGGAGACAACGGUGUUGAAUACGCUGUUGAAGAAUACCUUCCUAGAGCUGUGUACCGACAGUGCUGCCACAAGAUUUUCAACGAAAUGGUCCGGAGAUUCCCCACAGCACCUAAACAGCACUUGUUCUGGUCCGCUUGCCGCACCACGAGUGCUACAAGGUUCUAUAACUAUAUGGAAUUGAUAUAUCUUGGAAGUCAACAAUGCCAUGACUGGUUGAAGAAUUCAAAUUGAGAAAGGUGGGCACUAUUUUGUAUGCCUCAUUAGGUUAAGUGUACCUGUGUCACAUUAACGAUUACUGAGAAACUUCGCACUUCCUUUGACCACUAUUUGGAGAUGAGCAUUACUAGAAGAUUUGCGGCCAUUGCACGCUCAACGGCUGAAAUUUUCGAACGUAGAAGGAUGGCUGUCUGGAAAUAGUAUAGGGAGAAAAUAACGCCCACAGUUCAGGAUAUCAUUCACAACCGUUGUAUUGAUGGUCGGUGCUUCAUCGUGCGUAAGCAGACUGGCACAAUAUUGGAACUGACUGAUAGUUGUUCAUUAUGUUAUGAGCUAAACAUGGAUGCGAUGCCAUGUAGUUGCGGAUUAUGGCAGAUCUCAGGAAUUCCAUGUGCUCAUGCUUGUAGGGGAAUCAAAUAUAUGAGGCGCAAGAUUGAAGACUAUGUGGACAACACGAUGUCUAUACAAAAUUAUAUAUCCACUUAUGCGACAUGCAUGAUGCAAUUACCUCAAGAAUAUGCUUGGAAGUGGGACGCAGGUCACACCCUGCUUCCACCCAUCAGUUUGCCUCUCAAACCAAUUUCGGCCAAAGGCACCGAUGACUUGACAUCCAACAAACAUUUACUACACACGGCUGAUCAGUACCUCACACCUACACGUAACCUUCAGGUGCAUCUUUUCCUUAUACAACUUCUAUGUAUAUUUGCACUGCACAUCCUUAAACUAAUGUCACCUUUGCGAAAACUUAUAUUAACUCCUUCACUACAGUGGACACAGGAUAAGAAUUCGAGCAACUCUUCUGAACAUUCCAGCCUCCUCAGGCUCAUAUCCACCACCAGCUCUAAUACUAUUAGUAAGGAUCCGUUACUUUUUACUAUAUUUUGCAACAAACUCAUAAGUCAUUCACAAUUCCUUAGUGUCCAUGCUUAUGACAACUGCUCUUAACUCACUAAAUGAUUUUUACCUCAACAUUCUACCAAAUUCACAACUACCAUAUGUAUAUAAUGUGCUUAAUUGCAACUAAACUAUUUUCUGUUCGGCUGGUUCUUCUUUUAUCUAUGCCUAUGCAAAUAUUGUGACAGUGACAGAACCAAUGCUGCUCCUGACAUAAACAACUUUUCAUAUUCGCAUACUGCAAUGUAUCUGUUGCUAUUACUGCCAUCUUUAACUAAUGACCAAGAGCUUCAAGCAUGUGAGGGUGAAAUAAAACUUUUGCACAUUCGACUGACACCAUCCUUGUUGGAUGGUAGUGGUAUCCAAUUACUGUUAUAAAUGUGUCGAAUAUGAUUGUGCCAUGCUGAGAAUGACGUCAAUGUGAACUUUAUAAUUGCACUGUUUCUUAAUGACUAUUACUGCCUAUUACUUAAUUUUUUAUUUUUCCUUGGUUGUUUCAACUGGGAGCCCAAUACUUAAAAUUUGUGCUCUAUAAAAAUCGUUGCACACCAGUGCAAUUUCUUUUCCUUUAAAUAUAGAAAUUGUUUAUCUACAAAAGUUUCCAUAUUUUCACACAAUAUGAUCAAUUUAUUGUAUUGCAGGCCUCUGAUAACGGUUUCAAUUGGAUGGAGGACUUGCACUUCAACUUUUGGCCUGCAGACCACCAUUUUUGGAGAAUGGCGCCAAUGGUGUAUUAUAUAUGUAUUGGUUUGUAGUGGGAUGGUGCAUGUUUUGUAUUUGGCUUCUGGGAAGAUGGUUACUGGUACAUAAAAACUUUAACUCUCAUAUAACCAACUUUUGAUAUCCACCAUAACCAACGUUUUUUGUUUGUGAAUGCCGUUUAAUUAACUACGACCAGUUUAAUCUGCAUCUAUUCCCUGUAUGCUUUUGCACUCUUUGUUUGUUUGCUUGUGUCUAAUAACUGUAAUGUCUCAACUUUUGAUGCCGUAGCGUGUUCUAAAACAUCUAAAAUGUCAGCACUAUAGCCAUUAUUCUCUUCUUACUACCGUUACCUAUAAAAUAAAUCCCGAUUUUGCAUUGUCCAUCUCCAUAAUUCCUCCAACCCUUAGAAUGGUUGUUUUGUUUUUCAGAACUAAUUGCCGUUUUUCUUCCCUUACAAACUUUCUCUCUUCCCCUAUUGAGGACCACCUACACAAAUCUGUAGUUUGGAGACAACCAUUUCCUAUUAUCUACACAAUUGUCCUGAAUAAUUAUAACUGUCACUAAAUCGCCUCCUCUAUCAAUUUCCACGGUUCUAACAUAGUAGGAUCCUAGUGAUUAUGUUCAUAUUCUUUUCAUAUGUAAUCUUCUCCAGCUUUUAUAAUUCAUACUCAUUGUAUGUGCUUCACCCAACAUUGUCGUCGCUCUUGCUUUGCAAAUUCAACGUCAACUAUUGGAGAAUAGUAAUAGGCACUGGGGACAUACCCAUUCGGUGGAGCAUAUUAUGCUUCCAUUCAGUGAACCUCUUCCACGACCUUAACAUAACCCAAACACAAUCUUGUGAAAAUCCCCCAAACCAUCCCACUCUGGAACAAUUUCAGUCGGGGUAGUUUAGAUAUAUCCCCGCCAAUCACUGAAUUGCUCGGUAAUUAAAAUGCUGACAUGAUACCCUCUUAUAUUUGGAAUAAAUAGAUAUAUAUAUUAUGCAUAUUUAGGUACCUAAUCAAUUUCGAUGCCACCAACAAAUAGGAUACGGGAAAAUAAAAAAAUAACUAUAACGAUAGAUCAUCCAAUUUUACGACUCAGUUGUGGUGGCCAAAUGUUACCAUCCUCCAAAUAUCUCAAUAGAACUGCAAAUACAUCAAACAUGCUUAUUACAGUUUUACAAGGCCAAAAAUAAAAUUUCUAGGCCUUCAACACCCCCUUCCAGUGCCUUCUCUAGAACCAUUACGAAACUUCCAAUACCUUGUCAGCAACCAUCACCAGUGAUUACAUACCUCAUUCUUCUAAAUCCUAACACAACAUAAACAAACAAAAUACAAACAUGUUUAACCAUUGUAAACGUAAUAACUAACUUAUAUAACAAUAAAAAUUUACGCUAUAUAACUAUACAGCCUCCACAUCUGUUUCAAUCUAUGAUUCCUCGUCCACAAUCUUCACUUCUGCUGUACAGGUAGAUGCCACAGGUAUUAAAUAAAUACUAAUGAGACCACAAUUAAGUCAGUAGUACUUGCGUUUAACAAAUGAAUAUUUUAUAUUACAGUGUAAACCAUAUACCUCCACAACGAGCACACAUCCAUUAUUCAACUUUCACUACACAUCAUAGCCUCAACAUGCCUUGAUGAAUACACUACUUAUUGGACUCAAUGAAUUUAAAUAAUGUUGGUAUCAAUAACACCUCCACUAAUCAAUACAUAAACCAUAACUCACUUUACUAUCUUUUACUAACCAAAGCUCCAAUGCAAUAGUCCGCGUGUAUAUACCUAUAAACAAAUGAAUGCCCCCCAUCAAUUUUCGUUUCUUCAUCGAUUAUAAAGGCAUCCUACAGAAAAUUCGAACAAUUCACUUUUCUAACUUUUCCAUGCAAUCUCUUUCAAACCAAUCCUCUAUCUAACCAUAACUUUAAAUUUAUGCAAGUCUUUUCAUCUUAAAGCCGAUAAAUGUAUUAUGCGUGGCAAACAAAGACAAUUAUAUUAUACAUAUACUUAAAGUGAAUGACCAACCAAAGCACACGCCUCACUAACAAAGUGGUUACAGAUCGAACCACUAAUAUUAUGCCAUUUUUUCCAUUUGUUCUUCGGUGACUCUGUAUGUAUGUAAUUAACCAUUAUUUUUAUGCACCCACUGUCGAUAUUUACUAAUAUACAAUAAAAAAAUUACAUCUACACAAAGUAUGAGCCACCGAAAAUCAAAAGCAUCCAUUGAAACUAUGUUUCUUUCCUUAACAAUUAACCCAUAAAUAAGGUUUAACAUGUCAAUGAUUACCCCACUGCUCAAACCCCUUUACUGUAUUUAUUUCAACCCCUAUACUAUAUUUAUUUCAACCUGAGCAAACCCAGCCAUUCACCUCUUCGCAACCUAGGCAUUUCGAACACCACAUCUUCGAAAUCAACUACAAAAACGCAUUCACAAACAUGAAGCCUACCUAUGCAUGCGAAACGACUCUUCCAGUGCCUGCAAAAAUGCCAGAUUCAUAAUACCAACAAGGCCAUCUUCAAUAAUACAGACAUCAAUAGAAUAUAAUUUCAUAAAUCGGCAGCAACAUUUUUCUUACGGCAAAAUCAAAAUCACGACCACCAAAAAACACACAUUCAUUUACGAUUUAAGGAAAGAAUCUUUACCCUUCCUUGCCUAACGAAAUUUCCGGUUAUUCCCCUCUCUCGCAAAUGUCAGAUUUGAGAUUCAAAUUUGUUUCACAUCCUAUUCUUGUAUUUUUUUUUUUUCCAUGGACUUCAAGACCUUCAUUAGACAACCGGUUUAAACGGUUGUUGUUACUACCUGCGUCCGCUCUCCAAACUUUUAUUUAAACCGUUGGAUUGAACAUACUUAUAUCCAACGGCUUAACAGAAUAAAGACAAACCACAGUGGCACGGUGCCACUGUGGCACCACAGGAUGACCCACAUAACAUAGAGUAGAUAUUUUGAAGUGAAAAGCAGAGCCUUUACUGUUGCUUGCCUUAUCAUCUUUUAAAACUAGAGUUAUUAUUCUUAUAUUUUUAAGUAGCCAACGGAUAGUAGCCAACUCAUCUGUGUUCUCUAUUAUUGAAUUUAAAGAUCAAUGAUUUGGGUCUGCCUACCGUGCAACAGUUGCACGGUAUCCCAUUUUUUGUCUUUUUUCAACUCAGCCAAUGGAUCAAUGGUUAAAGUGUUUAACGGCCAGGAUGUGUUCAAUUGGUUAUUAACACUUAAAUCCUUACUGUUUAUUACAAAAUCAUAAAAGCUAAAAGUUUUUAAAUAUUCACUUACAUAAUUUUUUUUGUUUUAAAUUUUUUAAAGUUUGAUCCAUUGACUUAAUUUGAUCAUAAAAAUAAUUGAUGGUGUAAAUAUAAUAAUGUAAUAUCACAUAAAAUUUUUAAACACAUGAAAAUUUGAUAAAUGUAAAUAAUAUUUUUUGUUAUAUAAUAUAUAUUUAAUGUAAAAUAAAUAAAUUGAAUAUGUUUUAAGAAUAUAGGUUAUUAACCUUUAUACUUUAGAAAAUUAUAAAAUAAAAAAGGUGAAAUUUCAAAAUAAGAAACAUGUAAAAAGUCUUAGGUUGUAAAAUUUUAUUAUUUUAAUAUUACAAAACUUUACUUUUUUAUUACAUUUUUGUUUUUAGCAUUAGUUGACAUGUUAGUUUAUUUAUACAUACAAUAUGUUAAUUUACCUAUAAAAUAUCAAUAUAUAUAUAGCUCAACAAAGUUAUAGAAAGAUAAAUAAAGAAUAAUAUAAAAGGAAGUUAGUUUAUUUUUGAAGAAUAUUUCAAAAGCAUUUGAGCUUCAUAUUUCUUGAGAAUUAUCAUUUUUUAAGAUAUUUGAGCUUGUGAAUCUUGUUGUAAUGAUAAUUUAUUAUUUAUUCUUGAUUAAAAAUAAUUGAAUAGUAAAUUUAUUGAUUUCCAAAUGCUCUUUUAAAUAUAGGGUAGUUGGUUCAUUUUUAUUGUAUUAGCUUAAACUUUGUGUGAUAGCUAAUCAACCAUUGUAAAAGAUCUACUAGGAUUAUUUUUACUUUCUCUACAUCCCUCUAGACCAUCACCACUCAAAAAGUUAAAGGUCCAUUUGGCACACUAUAUUAUAUUGUAUUAUGUAAUACACAUGUAUUAUAUUAUAUUAUAUUACAUUAGUAGUAUAUUAUAAUAAUUAUAAUAAAAUUAUGCAACAUUUGGUAAUUGGUAUUAUCCUGUACUACAUUAAUUUUGUACUAAUAUUAAACUAAAAUUAUUUAAAUUUAUUAUUAAUUAUAUUAAAUUAUUAUUUUCAUAUUAAUUAUUUUUAAAUAAAUAUAAUAUAAUAUAAUAUAAUAAUAUUAUAGUAUAAUUUAUUUUUAUAUUUUUUAUUUAUUAUAAUAAAAAUAAAAAAUAAUUAAAAUAUAUGUAAUGCUUAAUUAAGGCAAAAUAAUAAUAAUGACAGUGGUAUUAUUUAAUAAUCAAAACAAAAAAAUUGUAAAGUUUAAUGAUGAUGACGAUGACGACGACGACAACAUUAAUAUAAAUAUAAUAAUUAGAAUAAUAAGAUUAAUAAAUUUAUUAAUAUUAAUAAAAUAAUAAUUCAGUAAUAAUUCAGUAAUAAAUUUAAUAUAUUUUAAAAAUAGUGAUGGUAAUAAAAUCAAUAAAUAAUAAUGUAAUGAUAACUAAUUAAAGUAAUCAUAACAAUUAAAAUAAUAAAUUUUAAUAAUAACAAUAGUAAUAAUGACAUUAAUAAAUAAUAAUAAUAACAAUUAAAUUUUUUUUCAAAAGUCAUUUUAUAAUUUUAUCCAGAGAAAAGGACCUAUAUAUAAAGAUUUGUAACUUAUAGUAUCUAUUCAGUUUUCUUAUAAAUAUAGGGUAGUGUAGUGUAAUUGUUGGAAAAAGACAAAAUUCAGUGAUACCGUAUAACUGUUGCACGGUAGGUAGACCCCAAUGAUUUAUGUUAAUAAAUAUUUUGUUAACUAUCAAAGUUUUUAUUUCAAAAUUACUGCUAUAAUUCAUUAAAUUUUCAAUUUUUCCUUUUUCUAUUCACACAACAGAUUGAUUUGCCCUCCAAAAAAAUGUAUUAGAUUGUUUAAUAUUGUAACAUUAAGAAACUUAUAAUAAAUUUUUUAAGAGAUAAAUAGAGAAUGUCAGUCUCGCAUCUACUCAAAAUUAAUAAAUAUACCACUAACUCCUUAUUAUUUUUAUAAUAAUUAAUAAUUUUCUUAGCAGUAUAAUUUUAUAGUAUUAUCCUUAUUUGUAAGUACAUUUUUAUUCAUUUUUAUUAUAAAUUAAGUAAAUCAUAUCAAUAAAAAUUAAAAGAACACAAUAUGGUUUGGUGUGAAUAAAAGAUUGAAAAUAAAAAUAUUUUUCUUAUUUUUUUUGUUAUUUUUAAAUGCUUUUCUUGUAAUAAAUGUACAUUUUAUAUUCUUAAGAUGAAUUUUGAGUAAAUGACUCAUUUACUCACUUUUUCUUUAAAUUUGUGUUAGUAGGAGGAUUUUUAGAUAUAUUGAAAAUUGUAAGGUAGUAAGUAAUAAUAUAAUAAUUUUAAUAGAGAAAAAUAAUUAAUUUUAAGACAUUUCAGAAGAUAUUUCAAUAUGCGGUGGACCACAUCCUUGAGUUUUCAUUGUCUCACUCAACUAAAAGGACAAAAUAUUGAGUCAUGAAGGACUCAAUUGAUUGUUAAUUUUACAGCAAUUACCUUUUUUUUUUCUUCUUUCUUUUUUGUUCUUAAUUAUUUUGAAAUGGUAGGUAGCAAUUGCUUACAUCAAAAUAUUUAGCCUCACUCGACAAAGUAUCUGAGGCCAAAAUGCCAAAAGAUGGGACACCCACAUGUGCAUCUAAUUACAAAAUCCAAAGUUAAUGAAAAAGAAAAAAAGAAAAAGUAUAAAUGAACGGUAUUCGCCUCACUUUCAAACAUGUUCAACAUGAAUUUCCUUUUACCAAAAGUAAAUUUCCUCUCGGAUUGUCCUUAUUACAUCAAACGAAUGAUGACGACAUUCUCUGUCCGUUUCUGACUCUUUGCUUUUCUCUCUCACAUCACGAGACACCUCGUUUCUAACUAGGGUACCACCAUCAUAUUUAACUGUUGGGUCUUCCUACUAUGCAGCUGGUGUAUGCAUGAUUCCUUGUGACAUGACAUACAGUCAAUUAAAUUCUGACAUGCUUGCAAUAAAGACUAUUAAAGUGACCGGUUAUUCCGGUUGAAUUCACAAGAUCUCUUGUUUGUGCGUUUAUGUUCCAAGUUGCUUACUAUGUGUUACAAGUUCUCUAAUUAGUCUGAUAUUAUCGCAACUGUUGCUCAAUAAUGUUACAUGUUUUAUAAUAUGUCACUGGUACGAUCGCUGUCACAAAUUUAGAACAAAAAGUUUCCAAUAAAAUAAGUUAUUUAAUUAAUAAAAUAAGAAUAAAAUGAAUUUGUAAAAAAAAUUUAAAUUAAAUUUUGAAUUAUUUUGACCAAAAUUUAAUUUUUUUAAUUUGUUUAAGAAAAUGCGUUGUAAUUGUCUUGUUUUAAUUGGAAAAUCAAUGAAAAAAUUAUGUAACAGACAAAAAAAAAAAAAAGCAAAACGGUUUGUUUUGUACGGAGGCCAUAGAUUCCAAUAUUUCCUUCACGAAAACUACAAAUAAUUAUCAAAGGCAUCAAUUUCUACACUCUCACCGAGCAAUACUUUUAGGUAGCGUUUAUUUUUUGGAUUGGAGUGGGAAUCCUGAGGAGUGGGAAUCAUAGGAUUGGGAGUGUGGAGUGGGAGUGUGGAGUGGGAGUGGGAGAAUGUUGUUUACUUACACUAGAAUGGAAGUAUAUAAUGGAGAUCAGAAUUCAAUUUAUGUGUUUACUUUAUCUUAGGUUGGGAAUAAAUAGUUUCAAAUUACAAUUUUAUCUUUAUUUAAAGAAUUAUAGUUUUUAAUUACAAAGCUAAUAAAAAAUAUAUUUAAUGAAUAAAUAUUUAUUUUAUUAUAUUUGUAAAUUUAUAAUAAUUAUUAAUAUUCUUAAUUAUGAACAUCACAUUUUUUUUAUUAAUUUUAAUUCUAAUAUAAAAUGAAAUGUUAUUUUAUUUAAUAUAAUUAUAUUAAAUUUAUUAUUAUAUAAACUAAUAAUAUAAUUUUAUUUAGUACAAAAUUAAUAUUUUCUUAGAAUAACCUAUUUAUUAUUAUUAAUAUUAAAUAAAUAUAAUACUAUUAUUUUUAAAAUAAAUACAAUAAUAUUAUAUUUAUUAAUUCUCUAUUAAUAUAAUAAUAUUAUUUUAAAAUAAUUUUAACUUAGAAUCAAUGCAAAUUAUUAUUUAGUUAAAUAUAAUAAUAUUAUUCAAAUAAAUAUAAUAUUAUUUAUUUUAUUUUAUUAAUUAUAAAUAUUAAAUUGAAUUAAAAUUUAAAAAAAAAUGUAGAAAAGGGAGAGGUGGGAGUGGAUUCCCACUCCCACUUCUCACUCCAAAAAUGGAUAGGGCCACAGAGUGGGAUUCUCAAUCCUUCACUAAAUAAGUGAAAUAAACACUAAAGUGUGAGAAAUUCACACUCCUCACUCCCACUUCAAAAAAUAAACACAACAUUAACCCAGAAGAAAGUGUAUAAACCAACCCCAAUCUGUCCAUCAAUGUCGUCAACCUCAUACAGCAUAAAGAAAAUCUGUCCAUUAAACCGCCAUUUAAACCGUCUUUAUUGAGCCAUUAGACUAUUCGUGUCAUCUUCCCAUCUCGUUGUAGUAUUUUGCCUUUCAAAUCUAGUUAUCCAUUGGGGAAAAUGGGGACCAAUCUGCAAGUCUUUAAAAUAAAAAAGAAACUUUAAUUGGGCACUAUGUUCACGGUGGUGGACCUAGCAUUAGCUAUUUGUAUUUUAAAAAUUAUUUUACACACUCUAAUUUUAAUAAGAAUAUAUAUUACAAAAUUACUUAUCAUAUAAGUUACUGGACAAUAUAUUAUAAGUCAACAUUAUAUAAUUACUUUGAACAUUUAUAUAGCCCAAUCCUAAUUCAAUUUAUUACUCUCAUGAUUAAAUAUAAAAAUUUUUAUUUCCAACUUCUUAAUUAAUAUGUAGAUGAAUAAUAAGGAAAUUAACUUUGAGAAAAAAUUAAAUACAAAAUAUGUGUAAUACUUUAAAAAAAAUAAACAAAAGUAUUGCACAAGAUUUUUUUUGGGGGGGGGGGGGCUUGGCCAUUCUUCUUCUUCUCCUUCUAUCUCUCUUUUUUUGUAGUAUUUAUGGAACAUUUUCUAUUGUUAUAUUCUCAUUGCAAGUUAUUUUGGGUGUAAAAUUCAAUAUUGAAAAUAAAUUAAAUAAAAAAUUAGUAACUAAAAUUAUGUUAAAUUAUUUUUUAACUUAAUUUUUAGUUAUAUUAUUAGUAUAUGUUAGAUCUCUUAAAAAUCGAGUGUUGAAUAAUUUUAUUAGUUUUUUAAACAAAUAAAGUUAAAUAACUUAAAAAAUUUAAGUAAGGAUAUUUUUAAAUUUUUAAACAGUAUACAAAGUAAAGUUUAUUUUCUUGUCAGUGGCAAAUGAUCACGACAAGAAAUCUGAAGUAGAAACAGCAGAGCUCAACAAAUCACUAAGAGAAAAUAAGACCAAUAACCAAGCAGAUAAAAGAAAAGCAAAAUAACCCAUCUCAAAAUCACCACAUGCACAAUUUAAGGGGUUUGUGACAUGGGUUUAAGCAUGAUUUAACAAGUGCCACCUGUGAAUUGUCAGAGAUUGUAUUUUCAUACACAUGUCAAAUUUUCAAGUCCAACAAAUUGUUAUCUUUCUAAAGAGGCUAAUAUAUUAUUAUCUAUGCAUAGCAUGCUAUAAACAAUUCAUAUUACUGGGCCUUUGUUUUGUGUACACAACAUAUGGACAGAGGAACAAAUGCCUGAGCUAAAAUCAUCAUAUUCCAAAAUAUUCUAUUAAAUCAGCACCACAAAACGCGAACGCUAAACAGAAUUGGAGCAAUUUACCAAAGCUAUUUGUCACGCAAAGCACUAGUACCUCAGAACCCAAUUUGCAAAAAAGCACCAAAAAUGAAAAAUAACAAAUGCCCAGAUGAAAAAUCAGGAAAAAAAAAAGCUCAAAUCCAAAUUACAACCCCAUAAGCUGAGUCGUUCUCUUCGAACUGAAUUAAAAAAAUUAAAAAAAAUUAAAUAGGGAGAUUGACCUCAAACUUUGGAAACAGAAGCGACAUCGAUCUGUUUCUUGUCUGGAGUGUCCAUUUCUAUAAUCUACUUUGUCCGUUUUCAGUCGCUCUGCCACAGAACUUCUUCCCUCUGAAGCUGCAGCUCACACACACUUGCAAAACGAAAGCAUUUUUUAUUGAUUGAGAGGCGGGAAGGCGGGAAAAUGAGAGAAAUUUGCAUUUGUUUUCUCUUGGUUUGGUCACACCUGUGCGGGCCCCAGCUCGACAAGCGGUAUUAUUACUAUUUGUAUAAUUUACAUGACGCGUGUCACGCAAUGACGAUAAAAAUAUAUAUAUAUAUAUUGUUAAUUUUUCACUUAACAUUGAAAUAUCAUAUAAUUUUUCUAAUUUUAUGGUUAUUUUCUCGCCCUUAUGCCACAUUCUUUUGAUCAAAUAAUACAGUAAAAUUUUUCUAUAAUCAUAAUAUUAGAGCCAAAUUAACUUUAUUUCUGUAAAGAGGCUAUAGCUUAAUAAAGGUAAAACUAUAAAAAAUAUUAUUUUGACUCAGUUAUCUUUAGUGCAAGUGAUAUAAAGUACAAAUAUAUGAUAAUUAAUUAAUGAACUAUGUCAAAUACAAUAUGCUGACAAUGAUAAAAAAGAUAGACAUAAUUUCAAGAAACUAAUACAUAUAUUUAUGUAGUGCUGGGAUUAUACAAAAUUAUCUUAAAAGUGUAAAUAGUAAAGUACUAUUCUGAUUAAUUUAAAAAAAAUAUUUUAUCUUAAUCUUUAAUGCAACAUAGCUUUUUUUUUUUUCUUAGCAACAAAGCAUUGUUCCAAAUAAUUAUUAUUGGAUUCAAAUCAUGUCCUAGGCAUUUUUUCUUCUAGUCGUCUUUAACUUUUAAUGAUUUAUUGGCAUGUGUCAAUCAUUAAUGAAAUUAAAUAACUAAGACUUUGUUUUAAUUAACGUUUACAUAAAUAGACAUCAAAACUCACAUGUGAUUCUUAUCAAAUUUUUUCCUGCAAAUUCUUUUCCUCUCAACUAUUCAUAUUUUGAUAUUAAUUUCCAGCAAAUUAUUAAAAAAAAGAAGAAGCGUAAAAUGGAGAAAAGUGAUUGACAAUAAGAUUUGCAUCUUUAUUUCAAAAUUUUCCUUUCUUUGCUAUUUUUGUGGGUUCUACAAUUGUUGUUUUCACUCUCAGCUGCAGUUCAAUGAACUCUAUUAAAUAAUUAGUUUUUAAACUACAAGUAGCUUUGGAACAGCUCUUAAAUUGAUAUAACUUCUAUUAUUAUGUAACUUAGCAAGGUCAGAUAUUUUAAUAAUAGCACAUCACUAUUGUUUCAUGUGAAUGAUGCAAUUGGAUUAGCCAAUACAUACCGUCAUCCCCGGGAGAUGCUAUGGCAAUAGCUUACUCUACCGUGCCAAUGUCAUUAGUAUUAAUCUGUCGAACCUAAGACCAGAUCUAAGUUGAUCUAGAUUCCCCAAGAUUGCACACCACACAGUGAUUAAUGAAUCAAGAACAAUAAACCAUCAAAGAAUCGCAAACUUACAUGUCGGGUUACAUGUAAUAAAUGUUUUAAUUAUUAGAUGAUUCAUAAUGUUAGACCAUUUUUUGUAUGUUUUGUAAUCUACGUUUGAUAAUUUAAUUAGCUGAUAAACACUUGAAUAAUAUUAUUUCAUUAACUAUGUCAUUGAUCCCCAGGAAAAAAAAAAAAAAAAAACCCAAUUUGGGAUGUUAUACAUUACUUUUUCAUUACUUCCCAUUUUAGAUUAAUAUUUAUCACAUAUAUUCUUAGCAACUUGUAACCCUUUUUGCUAAGGGUGAAAUGUGUUUGUUACCCCUUCUAUUUCUGAGAUUGUCCUUACAAUAAGGAUGCCGGCCACAAUGUCAAAAACUGCUAUCUCUAGGUGUAAAUUCCUUAUAAAAUUCUUUUUUAAUUGAAAUUACUUAAAUAAUUGAAGAUAAAUUAAUUUUUUAUUUCAUUCAAAUAAAAAAAAUCAAUUAAACACUUCAAUAAGCUAUCCUUUUAAUUUUUUUUUACACCCAUCCAGUUUCAUAAUUUAUAUUUAUAAUUUAAAUUUUAAUGGGAAUAUUUUUUUGAAAAAUUUUAAGAAUUAAGAAUUAUGGGGAUAAAAAUUAUGUAAUAAGACCAAAAUAAUUUAAAAUUUUAAAAUUUGCAUGUAUUAUAAACAAAAACUUGAAAGAAAUACUCUUUUCAGGGUGAAAUUUAAUGAGAAAAAGAUUAAUUUUAAUUUAUGAAUUAGUAUUUUAUAAGUUAAACUGAGGUAUUUCAAGAAAUAGAAUUCAAAAGGCAUGGGAACGAGGGCCUUGGGUUUCAUUUUGUUUUGUAUGAAUUGGGAAAAAUACACGGACAGACAAAGGGAGCAGUCAUUAUAAUGCUGUGGAGCUUGUCGGAGAUUCCCUGCCCAUUUGUAGCUUAGAAUCCUGGGGUUUUGUUCAUGUCUUUUCUCUUUCCCACUUUCUCAUAUUGCUGUCUCAUAAGAGAAAUAGUCAUACAUAGUUGGUUAGGCCUCCAGUCCAUUAACUUAAUAAUGAAUUUUAUGAAAAUUGAUUAUCUCAUUGGAAUUACAUAGAUAUUGGAAAACAUUACUCCAGCCCCACCAUCCCAACCAUUUACUUAGUUCAUCAGUAAAAGCUGGAUUUUCCAUUUGUUCUUGAGAUUCAAAUUAAGGCAGCAAGUUGCUCAUUCAAUAUUAUCUAUGUAAUCCUGUAAAAGUGAAGGGCGUUUAGAUGUGGAAAAACCUUACUCCUGCCGCAACACCUCAAACAGAUUGUGAUCAGACAAGACUUAGUUCAUCAUUAGCGGUAGUUGGAGCUUCCAUUUGUUCUAGAGAUUCAAAGGCAGCAAGCUGCUUCCUCAGUGCUACUAAUUCUUCCCCGGCAUUGCAUAUGUAGCCUGAGGCUUGUCUGCCAGACAAAGUUGCUCCUUCCAUACUAUCUAUGUAAUCCUGUGAGAGUGAAACCAUUUAGAAGACAUAUCUCUUUUUUUUUUUCAAUAUUUGGAAUGAAACAAUUAUAUACAGUUACCUGUUUUGUAUAUGAGCUGGCGAGGAAGAAGUUCUUCACUGGUAUCUUUUGAUCAGGUCUGAAGGGGUCUUUACCAGGUCCCUCACCUCACAAAGAUUGCCGGAUUUUGACGACAGAUAACCAAAUAACUUCUAAACCUUGGGAUGAUGGAAAUAGAGCUCAAACCUAAUAAAAGGAACCGUGAAUGGAUAGUAUGGACUCAUGUAUAUUAUCCAGAAAGUUGCAUGACCUUUUUUGGUACUCAGGUCACUAAAAAAUGUGAGAUAAACAUCUAGGAUAAGAAAAGCAAAAAAGCAUAACCUAAUACGUAUUAUAUGAAUUGAAGGUGUCACUGAACGCUACCAACCUGCUUUGCCACUCUCCUUCUGAUUUCAUCAUUUGGUAAGGGCAUAUAAGGAUCUCCAGGCGUCAAAAUGCAUCUGAAAUAUAAUAUGGCUAUAGUAAGUAACACAGAAUACAAAGACACUUAGCAAAAGGAAGUCAAUCAGAUUCCAUGCACAAAAAAUAACUAAUAAUGACGAGGAUAAGAAAUUUUUCUUGCUGGAGCAACGAACCUUGCCCUUCUCUGUAGUAGUCUUCUGGUGAAGUGAGUGCUAGAUCUGCAAAGCAAGAUAAAUCUGCAUCUGGAGUAUAUGAAAGGUUAUCUAACCCCACAGCUUGCCUCAAUUGUCUACAUGUUCAAAACAAGGAUCUGUUAAAAAAUGGAAAUUUCUUCAAUGCAUUAGUAAAGGGAAGUGAAGUGAAAGCUGAUUUCUUAGGCCUUCACAGAGCAUCAUGUGUUUGAAUUCCGGUAACCUCACAAAAAAUUAGAGCAUCACCUUGACCGUUCUAGGUCUUGCAACUCAGUAACCCAACCAUUGCAUCUAAGCUGCACUGUGACAACAGGAACUCCAACUAGCUCAUAAAUAUUGUUGAAAAUUUUCAUUUCCCUCCACGAUGAUGGAGGCAAACUUUUAAUUCCAGGGACAUCACAUGCAGCCAUUAAAUAAGAAGUUGAAUAAAGAAAAAUCGUUCAACUAAAUGAUUCAGGAGUUAAAAAAAAAAAUGUAGAAGUAGAAAUAAAUAACGAAGAUUUAACCAUAAACCUGCAACAUAUGCAUCAGCUUGCACAACCUUCUUGUCAGUGGCCUGAAAUAGAAUGAGAAAUUGAAAGACAGUAAGCAUUAAAGAAUAAACUCAAAGAAGCUGCUUCUAACAGAUGAUAUAAACAGUAAAUUUACAAAUGUCAGAUCAUUGCAUUAGCUCUAUGCCUCCAUCAGAGGGAAUAUUAAUAGAUGCAUAAAAAAAUAAUUAGAGCCACAUGUUAAACAAUUUACCUUAGAAGUAGCAAGUGCUUUGACAAAUUUUUCCCCGUUAGCAGAUUUAUCAUAAAGUAUCUCUCUGCAUCCCCACCUAAGAUGGAACCUGUUCUCACAAGAACAGAUCCCAAGGUUGGGAAAAUCAGUUCAUCAUAGGAGAAAACAAAGAAGAUUAACAAAUCACUACAAUGGUGUGAACCCGUAAAUACAAACGUACCUGCCCCCUUUAUCUGUGAUAUAUUUUCUUAUGGGCCCACUCAAAUAAACAUCCGGAGAACCCUUGAGCAUCAGCAAUAGGGAAGCCUCGGUCUUAGUCGCAAACAGUGCAAAUAUAGUGAGCAUACAACGAGCACUGAUGUUAUCACAAUCAAUAAACCCAAGGGCAUACGCAACAGGAUCCCACAUUCUUUGGAACCCUUGGACAAAAACCAAUCAGAGAAGCUUAUCUGUAAGAAGAAAUGAAGUUUUAGGUAAAAUGACAAUCUGUAAGAACAGGGAUUGAAAUUCAACAAACAAGAAAAUAUGAUGUCAUUCUUACACUAUCCAAAUCUCAUAUGUCCUUCAAGGCUCCAUCAGGAUCAACAAGUGCCUUUACAACAGCACUCAGAGCAAGAGCAAGAGCAUUUCUUGCUUUAUCAUAAGUCUGCACUUGAGCAAUUUAUGAGGCAAAGUACAUCAAAAGAGAAUCCAAAAGAGGCAAGAAGCUUCAACAUGAAAAAAGGAGUACUGCCUCAUCAUACUGCUUUGCAAUCACAGUGCAAAAGAUAACAUCAACAAAAUCAAAUUCUAGCAUAAAUCCAUAUGCACUACCUUAAGCUGAUUUGUAGACAAAAGACCCGUUUGGGGCAGCUGCGCGGUUGCAGCGCAGCUGUCCCAAACGGGUCCAAUCAGAAACCCAAAAUCAAGUUCUGGAGUUGAAAAUCAAAAUCAUGAACCAAAUCAGAGUUAUUAUUGAAUUAGACAAUCCAUAAACCAAUAGAAGGUAAAACAAAAAGGAAUAAAAAUUCUUCUAAAUUCUUUCACCAUCAACAAAAUCAGUAAAACACAUACUAAUUCAAAAUGACAUAAAGUUUGUGAAUUGAAAUAAUGCCAACUCCUAAGAAAAAUUAUGACUGCUGAUAUUUUUUCCGAAAUGCUGAUAAAAGCUUCUGCUAUUUACUUUGAAAAAAUAGAGGUUAGAAGCCAAUUUACUUGAAAUUUUGAGUUUAGGCAAGAGGAUGAAUGGCAAAAGUGAAACAAUUUAGGGAAAAAUGUACUUCAGAGGCCAAUGAAAGCAUUCAGAAGAUUGAAAUCUAAAUAAGCAAAACCCCGUGGCCUUGAUCCAACAAAUCCACUGCUGUUGACAUGCCUGCAAGCCCAGCUCCAAUAAUAGCCACUUUCAGCUUUGGUCCUCUAUAAUGUUCCGGUUCUGGUAGAAACAAACCCUUGGGAGCUGCCAAGUAUACCAUCCAAUUAUCCACAGCGAUAAUGGAAAUAUAUAUGUGUUUAAAGGUACUAAAUUCCUAAACAUGAAAUGUAUCCAAAGAGAGACACAAAGCAGAAUUGUGAAACCCAAUAAAUUUUAAGAAUACAAAAUACUCGGUCUGUUCCUCAAUUCCUUUAAUAAAAUUUCCACUAGAGGCUCCGGAAGCCACUCAAUAACACUCCAAAGCCAGAUUUUAAACGUUCUCUUUAUCUUUAACUACAAUCCACAAACAAUUCUGCCACAAAUUCAAUUCAAAAUUGUUCAAGUGCACCGCCACUUCUCCAUCAAUUCCCUCAAAAAUUCAUAAUUGGCAAACACUACAAACCAAAAAGAGCUUCCAGCAAUAAACGCAUAAAAAUCCACCAAGCAACAUAAAACAAAAUACCCAGAAACCAGAAAAGCCAAAAGAUCAAUGCUUGGCAAACAAGCCAAUCAAAUAAAACAAAAAGAAGAGAAAUUUACCAUUAACGCUCAUAUCAGAAACAUUAGUGUCCAAAGAAGCCCGUACACGGAAUCUUGGAUCCUUCACUUGAACCCGAGACCAUGUAACGCCAGUAACUGAAGUUGCAGGAAACAGAACUGAAGAACCCAUAUUGCAAAUCCUGAGCUGAAAUCAAAGAAAUUCAAUUGGAACUCAAUUCAGCUCAACCGAGCGGAGCUCUCUUUUGCUUCAAUAACAAAGUGUUUUUCUUUCAUAUCAACAAAGAUUUGUCAACAUCAACAAAAUUUAACUAAGAAACUAAAAAUAAUGCGGUAUCUUUGAGUUUAAGAAUCUAACAAAGAUUUGUCGACAUCAGGGAACUGUUUCGGAGAGGUUGGCCAAGUGCAUUUUUGUUUUUUUCUUGUUUUGCCCUUUUCAUUAAUGCACAACAUUAGUCCACGUGAAGAGCACAAAAUGCUGGUGGCUUUGUCACUAACGAUAAUGGAUGGAGUGUCCAAAGCAACCAACUAAAUUUUAAAGAGAGGGAAUGAUAAGUAAUAUCUUAAUGGGGUGAUUAAUUAAUUUAUUAUCAAGCAAUUGUAUUUAUUUAUUUAAAAGAUAUCCUUAUCUUUGUACAAGGUUUGAGGAAAGACGACGAUGUUGUGUUGUCACAUAUUUUUACGUUUCUCCAUAAUUCACUGCAACAUCAACUGGGCCACCACCUCUUGCCUCUCCCGGUUCCCCUCAAUUUUCUUAUUCAAUGUCCACCGUUGAUUGUACAUUUAUUGAAAUUCUGUGGUUAUUGUUUUUUUGCAUACAUUUAAUUCCACACGGUCUAUGAAUAGAGCAGGUGCAUCGUAGUUGUGGCCUUAACUGUUAUUGGUAACUCAAUAGCUAAUUCUAAUGUUUCAUCAAGCAGUUUAGAGAUAACCUCUCUCGCUGAACUCCCCGGAGUAACGCAAUCCAGUUUUCCAGUGCAAUCAUCAGACAGUUGAACAGCUUCUGAAUUCCCUUUGCUUUUCUUGUUUUCUUUUCCAUGUAAAGGGAGCUCAGGCUUCAAUAUAUCUGGGGAUUGAGUACUAAUGAUAAAGACAACAUACGAUAGAGGACACAAAUUGUUAUUAAAGAAUGACGCACUUUUCAACUGAGUACAGUAAAGCAAGAAUGGGUAAUUAGUUUUACCUGCAACGUGAAAAUCUAGACUCCCGACGGUAACCGAUCUUUGGUGAAGCAAAUAAAGAAGAAGGCGAAGUAAAAUUCACUGAGUUGAAUGAGCAAUCAUUACGUAUGGACUUGAUUUGUUCAAUGGGUGAAAGACUGCUGAUAUAAUUAAAGACUGGAGAAUCCUGCACGUUGACAAGCAUCAUUUUUAAUAUAACAUAGAGUCUUAAAAACCUAGUCAGUGGCAAAUGAUCACGACAAGCAAACUGAAGUACAAACAGCAGAGCUCAACAAAUCAUUAAGAGAAAAUAAGACCAUUAACCAAGCAGAUAAAAGAAACGCAAAAUAACCCAUCUCAAAUCACCGCAUGCACAAUUUAAGGGGGUUGUGACAUGGGUUUAAGCAUGAUUUAACAAGUGCCACCAGUGAAUUCUCAGAGAUUGAAUUUUCAUACACAUGCAAAUUUCCAAGUCCAACGAAUUGUUGUCUUUCUGAAGAUAUUAACGUUGCAUAGCAUGCUAUAAAUAAAUCAUAUUAUUAGGGCCUUUCUUUGCUGUACACAACAUAUGUACAGAGGAACAAAUCCAUGAGCUGAAAUCAUCAUAUUCCAAAAUAUUCUACCCAAUCAACACUACAAAACCCUAACGCUAAACAGAAUUGGAGCAAUGUACGAAAGCUAUUUGUCACACAAAGCACUGGUACCUCAGAACCCAAUUUUCAAAAAAGCAACAAAAAUGAAAAAUAGCAAGUGCCCAGAUGCAAAAUCAGGAAAAAAAUGCUCAAAUCCAAACUACAACCCCAUAAGCUGAGAUUGACCUCAAACUUGGAAACGGAAGCGACAGUGAUCUGUUUCUUGUCUGAAGUGUCCAUUUCUCUCGCUCCGCCACAAAGCCUCUUCACUCUGAAGCUGAAACUCACCACGCACUUGCAAAACGAAAGCAUUUGAUUGAUUGAGAGGCGGGAAGGCGGGAAAACGAGAGAAAUUUGCUUUUGUUUUUUCUUCGUUUGGUCAUACAUCUGCAGGCCCCAGGUUGACAAGCGUUAUUACUACUACUUGCAUUAUUUGAAGGACGCGUGUCAUGCAACGAUGAUGGAAAAAGUGGUGCAAAACUUCAAUGGUCACGAAAUGACGAUAAAACAAAAAUAUAUGGUUAAUUUUUCACUUAACAUUGGAAUAUCAUAUAAUUUUAUGGUCAUUUUCUCGCUGUUACGCCACAUUCUUUUGAUAAAAUAAUAUGGUUAAACUUUUCUAUAAUCAUGAUAUUAGAACCCAAUUAACUUUAUUUCUAUAAAGUGGUUAUAGCUUAAUAAAGGUAAAAUUGUAAAAAAUAUUAUUUUGACUUAAUUAUCUUUAGUGCAAGUGAUAUAAAAAAUAAAUAUAUGAUAAUUAAUUAAUAAAUUAUGUCAAAUAUAAUAUAUGGACAAUGAUAAAAAAGAUAGACAUAAUUUCAAAAAACUAAUAUAUAUGUUUUUGUAGUGCUGGGAUUAUACAAAGUUAUCUUAAAAGUGUAAAGAGUAAAGUAUUAGAUUGGAUUGAAUUAUAUAUAGUGCUGACUUAUGUUUGGUAUGAUAUUGUAUUAGAUUAUGUUAAAUUAAAUUUACAUGAAAUUAAAUAGUAUUUACAUUAAUAUUUGAAUUUAAAUAUCAACUAUUUAUAGAUAUUUAACAAUAAAUAUUAUAAUUAAUUAAAAACAGCACUAAUAAGGGGUGUGUGUGUGUGUGUGUAUUCAUUUAGUUAUUGGGUAGUCAUAAUUAUAAUAAAGAAAUAUAAACUAUUUAAAUUAUAGGUUAUUUCAAAGAGUAAUGAGAGAUAUCAUUUCAUUAAAUAAAAUAAAUAAAACUAUUCAAAUAAUAAAUUAAUUAAUAAAUUUUAAGUAAAUCAUGAAUAAAAAAGAAAUUACUUAAUUAAAAACAAUAAAUAAAUAAAUAAUUUUUAAGUUAUAAAUAAAAUUGUGUAAUAAAUUAUGGAAGAUAUUAUAAAUACACAAAUAUUUUUUUCACAUUAUCUAGUCCCAACUAAACCCACAUAAAAAUUAGAAUUAGCAAUCCCAUGAAUUUAGGAUUAAAAUUUGAAUUUAGUCCAUUAAUCCAAUCCAAGUGAGCAUGCCAAACAUAGUAUUAAUAUUUUAUCCCAAUAAUAAGUCCAAUCCUACACUAAAUCCUACCUCCCAAACAUAACCUUAAGAAUCUAUUGACAUGUGUCAUUAAUGAAAUUAAAUGGCUAAAAUUUUGUUUUAAUUAAUUUUUACCUAAAUAGACAUCAAAACUCAUGUGUGACUCUUGUUAAUCUUUUUCUUACAAUUUCUUUUCCUCUUAAUUCUUUAUAUUUUGACACCGAUUUCUAGCAAAUUAUUAAAAAAAAGAAAAGGAGCACAAAUUGGAGAAAAGUGAUUGACAACAAGGUUUGCAUCUUAAUUUCAAAAUUUUCCUUUCUUUGUUGUUGUUUUUUUUUUUUUUGGGUUCUAUAAUUGUUGUUUUCACUCUCACUUACAAUUCAAUGAACUAAAUUAGUAUUGCUACUUAUAAACUGCUAUUACCGGGCAUAUAAUUUUAUUGCUACAAUUUUACUGCUGUUUAGCUAUUUUUCUGAGUUUUUAGUUGUUGUUCUAUUGUCUCUUUGGGGUUUGCAACUGAUGUUUGCUGUUUUUCUAUGAAACAAUUAAAUUCUUUUGCUGCUACAUUUUUUGUUGUUCUAUUAUGGCCGGGACGUAUGUGAAAGGGAAAGAAUCUACCCAAAAAAAAAAAUGACAAAGAGUCACAUGUGAGUUUAGAUGUAUUUUUAAGUAAAAAUUAAUUAAAACAAAAUCUUGGCCCAUUAAAUAACUUAAUAUAAUCAAUUUGUUCUUAAUAACUUAAUAUUAUUUAAUCUAUAGAAGCAAGAUCCUCGAAGACAAAACCUAUAAAUAAUUUAAUAUAAUGAAUUGAUUCUUAAUCUACUCCAAAUUGAGACUACAAUUUUUUACUUAAAAAUUGGCUAGCUAACUUUACCUUGAUGGGCUGACUAUCGCCCAUACAUAUUUCUUCAAAUUUAUUAAUAUUUUUGUGCAUAGCAAUUAGGGUUACGUGACAACGAAUUCUCCUUUUAGUAUAUAAAAAGUAUACUCACAAGUAGUGUAGUGUUCCCCUCCUAAAGGGCAUAGCUCACUGACUUUUAGUCUCUUUCUUCAGUUGACGACUCCAGUUAGACUCUUCAAUGAGAUUAAAGAUUGAAUAUAUCAAAAAUAUUAGCAAUAUUUGUGCUUAUAUUUAACAAAACUAGAGUAAUAUAUUGAUUAAUCUACAUAAUUUUAGGCGGGUUCUUAGGUAAUGUUACAAUUACAUAGAUUAUUUUCACAGUAUAAGCCAAAUCUUAAGAAUUAAUUACUUGAAUAAAAGGAAUAAAGGAUGAUCGAUAAAAGUAAAACAAAGAAAAUAAAUUAUGCCGUUAAAUUGGGAUAUUUGGCUGCCUUAAUCGCUAGAGAUGCUUCUCCAAAACCCGCGUGUAAACAAAACACAUAUUUUUAACAUAACAAUAGCCCAAGCACAUAAACAAGAGUGAAAGCCGAGGAAUCAAUUUCAUUACUGUUCACUAGUAUUUUCAAUUUCAUUAUUUCAUUAACUGUCAUUGAUAAAAAAAAAAAAAAAAACUCAAUUUGAGAUGUUAUACAUUACUUUUCAUUACUUCCCAUUUCAAACAUAUUUAUCAUAUAUAGUCUUAGUAGCUUGUAACCCUUUCUGGUAAGGGUAAAAUAUUUCUUACCCCUUUGAUUUCUGAGAUUGUCCUCACAAUAAUGAUGCUGGCCCCAAUUUCUAAAACUACUAUCUCUAUGAGUAAAUUCCUUAUAAAUUUUCUUUUAAUUGAAAAUAUUUAAACAAUUGAAGAUAAAUUAAUUUAUUUUUUUAUUCGAAUGAAAAUUCAAUUAAACACUUAAAUAAGCUAUUCCUUUAACAAUUCUUUUCACACCCAUCAUGUUUCGUAAUUUAUAUUUAUAUUUAUAUUUUAAAAUUUAAUUGAAAAUACUUUUUGAGAAACUUUUAAGAAUUAAGAAUCAUGGAGAAAAAAAUGAUUUAAUAUGAAGAAAAUAGUUUAAAAUCUUAAGAUUUGUAUGUUUUAUAAAUAAAAACUUGAAAAAAUACUCUUUCCGAGAAAAGAUUUAAUCAGAAAAUGAUUAAUUUUUAAUUUAUGAAUUAAUAUUUUAUAAAUUAAACUAGGGGUAUUUUAAGGAAUAUAAUUAAAAAAGAGUGUCAUAAGGAUAUUUAGGGGUGUUAGAAGCCAUACUCAUUUACAUAAGCCAUGGGAGUUAGGGUAUUGGGUUUCUUUUUGUUUUGUAUGAAUUGGGAAAAAUACAGAGACAGACAAAGGGAACAGUCAUUACAAAGCUGUGAAGCGUGUGGGAGAUACCCAUUUGUAGCUUAAACUCCUAGGGUAUUGUUUCUGUCUUUCUCUUUCUCACUUUCUCAUGCAGCAGAUGUACAUAUCAUGAAAUAGCCAUACAUAGUUGGUUAGGCCUCCAGUCCAUUAACUUAAUAAUGAAUUUUAUGAAAAUUGAUUAUCUCAUUGGAAUUACAUGGAUAUUGGAAAGCAUUACUCCAGCCCCACCAUCCCAACAAUUUACUAAGUUCAUCAGUAAAAGCUGGAUUUUCCAUUUGUUCUUGAGAUUCAAAUUAAGGCAGCAGAUUGCUCAUCCCAUACUAUCCAUGUAAUCUUGUAAAAGUGAAGGGCGUUUAGAUGUGGAAAAACCUUACUCCUGCCGCAACGCCUCAAACAGAUUGUGAUCAGACAAGACUUAGGUCAUCAUUAGUAGUAGUUGGAACUUCCAUUUGUUCUUGAGAUUCAAAGGCAGCAAGCUGCUUCCUCAGUGCUACUAAUUCUUCCCUGGCAUUGCAUAUGUACGCUGAGGCUUGUCUACCAGACAAACUUGCUCCUUCCAUGAUAUCUAUGUAAUCCUGUGAGAGUGAAACCAUUUAGGACACAUAUCUCUUUUUUUCUAUUGAUCGUGACAUAUUUGGAAUGAAACAAUUAUAAACAGUGACCUGUUUUGUAUAUGAGCCAGCAAGGAACAAGUUCUUCACUUGUGUCUUUUGAUCAGGUCUGAAGGGGUCUUUACCAGGUCCCUCAUGGUACAAAGACUGCCCGAUUUUGACAACAGAUGACCAAAUAACUUCUAAACCUUGGGACAAUGGAAAUAGAGCUAAAACCUGAUAAAAGGAACCGUGAAUGGAUAAUAUGAACAGAUGUAUAUCAUCCAGAAAGUUGCAUGACCUUUUGCAGGGCUCAAAGUCACUAAAAAAUGUGAGAUAUACAUCUAGGAUAAGAAAAACGAAAAAGCGUAACCUAAUAUGUAUUAUAUGAAUUGAAGGUGUCACUGAACACUACCAACCUGCUUUGCCACUCUCCUAAUGAUUUCAUCAUUUGGUAAGGGCAUGUAAGGAUCGCCGGGCGUUAAAACGCAUCUGAAAGAUAAUUCAGUUAUAGUAAGCAACACAGAAUACAAAGACACUUGGCAAAAGGAAGUCAACCAGAUUCCAUGACACAAAAUGAAACUAAUAAUGGCGAAACUUCUCUGUAGUAGUCUUCUGGUGAAGUGAGUGCCAGAUCUGCAAAGCAAGAGAAAUCAGCAUGUGGAGUAUACAAAAGAUCAUCUAAUCCCAGAGCUUGCCUCAAUUGCCUACAUGUUCAAAACAAGGAUCCGUUAAAAAAUGGAAAUUUGUUCAAUGCAUUAGCAAAGGGAAGUGAAGUGAAAGCUGAUUUCUUAGGCCUUUAAAGAGCUUCUUUUGAUUGAAUUCCUGUAACCUCACAAAAGAUUAGAGCAUCACCUUGACCGUUCUAGGUCUUGCAACUCAGUAACCCAACCAUUGUAUCUAAGCUGCACUGUCACAACAGGCACUCCAACUAGCUCAUAAAUAUUGUUGAAAAACUUCAUUUCCCUCCACGAUGAUGGAAGUAAUCGUUUAAUUCCAGGGACAUCACAUGCUGCCAUUAAAUAGGAAGUUGAAUAAAGGUAAAACAUUCACCUAAAUGAUUCAGGAGAACAAAAAAGCACAAGUAGGAAUAAAUAAGGAGGAUUUAACCACAAACCUGUAACAUAUGCUUCAGCUUGCACAACCUUCUUGUCAGUGGCCUGAAACAGAACCAGAACCUCUAAGACCAUAAGCAUUAAAUAAUAAACGCAAAGUAGCUGCUUCUAACAGAUGAUAUAAACAACUGAUUUACAAAUGUCUGGUCAUUGCAUUACCUCCAUCAGAGGGAUUAUCAAUAGACGAGUAAAAAAAUAAAUAACUAAACUAGCUUUUGCCGCCUAAUUAGAACCAUGUGAGAAACAAUUACCUUAGACAUGGCAAGUCCUUUGACAUAUGUUUCUCCAUUAGCAGAUUUAUCAUAAAGUAUCUCUCUGCAUCCCCACCUAAGAUGGAACCUGUUCUAGCAAAAACAGACCCCAAGGUUAGGAAAAUCAGUAGGAGAAAACAAACAAGAUUAACAAAUCACUGCAAUGAUGUGAACCUGUAAAUAGAAAUUUACCUGCCCCCUUUAUCUGUGAUAUGUUUUCGUAUGGGCGCACUCAAAUAAGCGUCUGGAGAACCCUUGAGCAUCCGCAAUAGGGCAUAAGCAACAGGAUCCCACAUUCUCUGAAUACUCGUCCGUGUCCCACCUUUGGACAAAAACCAAUCAGAGAAGCUUAUCUGUAAGAAGAAAUGAAGUUUUAGGUAAGAUAACAAUUUGUAGGAACAAGGAUUGAUAUUAAAACAAACUAGAAAAUAAGAUGUCAUUCUUACACUAUCCAAAUCUCCUACGUCCUUCAAGGCUCCAUCAGGAUCAACGAGUGCCCUUACAACAGGACUCAGAGCAAGAGCAAGAGCAUUUCUUGCUUUAUCGUAAGUCUGCACUUGAGCAAUACAUGAGGCAAAGUACAUCAAAAAAGAAUCCAAAAGAGGCAAGAAGCUUCAACAUGAAAGAAGAAAUACUGUCUUAUCAUACCGCUAACUAAUCAGAGUGCAAAAGAUUACAUCAACAUAAUCAAAAUGGAACAUAAAUCCAUAUGCACUACCUUAAGCUAAUUUGUAGACAAAAAUGCGCGAAUCCCAUGUAAGGGAGCUCCGACUGGAAACCGGAAAUCAUGUUCUGGAGUUAAAAAUCAAAAUCAUGAACUUAAUCAGAGUUAUUAUUGGACUAGACAAUCCACAAACCAAUUUCAGAGUGUCCAACCACCAAACAUAACUAUCAGUAGUCUUAAGUGAUCAAGAAAUAACCAUACCACCAAUUUCACCACCCUUAUUCACAAAUGUAUGAGUAUGAUCCUUCAUGAGUAAAUUUUUUUGUGUCCGCACUGACCUGUAGACAUCCAUGAAAAACUAUCAGAUUAUAAACACAGGGUCAAUUUAAAGAGGAGCUAUGAUUCUGAUCCAUCAUGAUAUUUGAAGAACAUUUUCAUAUUUUCCUACAACGAGUAAACUAUAACCAGUUAUCAUCACUAUAGAUGGCAUGGUCAAGAGAAAUUAUAGUUCUUGUUUCAAGAAUCUCAAAUCAUAAUUCCUUUGCAUGGCUAGUGUGCUUUUAUAAUCAUUCAAACACACUUAUCCACAACUAAGCAAGCUUUACCUUUUUCAUCAAUCGGAACAGAUUAUUGUAGCAUCCAAAGAAAAUGUGCAGGCCCAUUUCAAUAUGGUUUCCAUGUUUAUCAAUAAAUGAACCCACUUUACCACCAAUGAAAGACCUUGACUCAUAUAUAUCCACCUGGAAGGGGGGGGAAUCUUCUAAUUUCUUUCACCAUCAACAAAAUCAGUAAAACACAUACUAAUUCAAAAUGAAAUAAACUUUGUGAAUUGAAAUAAUGCCUGCUCUAAAGAAAAUGAUAACUGCUAUUCAUUUUUCCGAACUGCUGAUAAAAGCUUCUGCUAUUUACUUUGAAAAAAUUGAGUAACUUCAAAUUUUCAGUUUAGGCAAGAGGAUGAAUGGUAAAAGUGAGACAUUUUAGGGGAAAAGAAAAUACUUGAGAGGCCAAUGAAACAUUGAAAGAUUGAAAUCUAAAUGAGCAAAACCUCAUGGCCUUGAUCCAACAAUUCCCCUGCUGUUGACAUGCCUGCAAGCCCAGCUCCAAUAAUAGCCACUUUCAGCUUUGGUCCUCUAUAAUGUGCCGGUUCUGGUGGAAACAAACACUUGGGAGCUGCCAAGUAUACCAUUCAAUUAUCCACAGGGAUAUUGGAAAAACAUACAUGUUUGAAAGUACUAAACAUCAAAUGUCUCCCGAAAAAAAUACAAAGCACAAUUGCAUAAGCAUUUCAUUUCCCAAUAAAUUUCAAGAAUACAAAAUACUUGGUCUGUUCUUGAGUUCCUUCAAGAAAAUUUCCACUAGAGAGCACGCAAGCCACUCAAUAACACUCCAAAGUCAGAUUUUAAACGUUAUCUUGAUCUAUAAGUACAAUCCAUGAACCAUUCUGCCACAAAUUCAAUUAAAAAUUAUUCAAGUAAAAUGCCAAAUUCUCCAUCAAUAGCCUCAAAAAUUCAUAACUAGCAAACACUACAGAACAAAAAGAGCUCCCAGCAAUAAACACAUAAAAAUCCCACCAAGCAACAUAAAUCAAAAUACCCAGAAACCAGAAAACCCAAAAGAUCAAUACUUGGUAAACAAACAAAUCAAAUCAAAUAAAACAAAAAGAAGAGAAAUUUACCAUUAACACUCAUAUCAGAAACGUAAGUAUCCAAAGAAGCCCGUACACAGAAUCUUGGAACCUUCACUUGAACCCGAGACCAACAAACACCAGUAACUGAAGUUGCAGGAAAAAGAAGUGAAGAACCCAUAUUGAAAUAAAAGAAUCCAAACCCAAAGUCCCACAUCUAAAUAUGAUGGAUCCACUCCAUGCGGCAAUAUGAAAUUUAAGCUCUCUUUUCUUAUGUCACCCAAGGCAUUGGCAGGAUGGCCAAACACCUGAGUUCAAGUCUACAAUAGAGAAUCGAAAUUUUCCUUUGUAAAUGUUCAUAAGUAUUUACCACAGAUAUUCAAGUUAUUCUUGAUAGAUCCCCUACUAUAUAUGCUAUAAUAUUUCUCUUCUUUUAAUUUAAAAGUAAAUCAUUCAUAAUAUCGGACUUGUAAAGAAAUAAAAUUUUCGGUAAUUAACUGACAAAACAAAAAAAGAUGGAUUAUGCGAAAGAAGUUAAUAUGGAGUAAGUCGAGCACUUGACAAUCAAAGUAAUUUACUCGAGGUUGAGUAAGGAUAGUACGAUACUUUCUCAAGUUUUCUGAGGACAUUCACGUGACAUUGGACUAUUGAUUAUAGUUAGAGAGAAGUCCAAGGAUGUAAGUGAUGAUGAUAGAUUCACAAUUCUUUUGAAGAAAAUAUUUUAUAUAAACUUAAUUAUAUGGUAUAAAAUGAUUGGCCUUAAUAAAAUUAAAAAAUAAUACACGCCUGGGUCAUGUAAUAUUUUCAACCAACUAAUUUACAUGCAAAAUUAAACUUUAUGAGUACAUUUAUUUGCUAGCAGAAACUCUGCCAAAUUUUCCGAAAUGUGAAAGUGAACACUUUUAACAACGUCACAAAAUGCAUGUGAUAAUGAAACAAUGUGCCAUCCUUAAACUAAUAUUAUUAGAAACUAUAAGUGAAAGUUUUCAGAAAACAUAUGAUAAAUUUUUCUCGGAAUUUGUUUUCUCCUUUGUUUUGAUUUAUGUGAGAGAUAGUUGUAAAGCGUAAAAUUUUAAAAUCCGUAACAAAACAAAAACUUACAUGGGUUGGGCGCACCAUGUGCAUACCAAAUUAGAAUAAUUGACGAAUCGUAAUAAAAAAUUUAUAUAUAAUAAUUGAAUGAGAUCCAUGGUUCACAAUUGCAAAUUAAAGGUUGGUUUUAUAAUAAAAAUCUUUUUUUGCAUACCAAGUUAGAAAAGAUUAUAAGUAAAUUAAGAUUUUCAAAAUUUGACUAGUAUUAUAUUACGUACGUCAAUAUAAUAUAAAUUUGUUAUAUAUAUAUAUAUUUUACUCUGCAACCAAUGCUUUCAAAAACUUUUUACUUGUAUGUUUGAACAACUUUUAUCGCUUUCUAUUUAUAUACGAUCUCAUUUAUGUUUACAUAAAUUUUCAUAUGUACCCAAAUUAAGCAUUAAAUACACACACUUUGGUAAGACACAUUUCUAGUAUCAGACAAUGAUAUUAUAUUGAAUGUAAUGCUUCAAUGAAUUUUAUUACUAUAUACUAAAAUACUCAACGAUAUUCAUUAAAAAAAAAAAAGAAAUUGCAUGAUUAGAAUGAUUAAAGUUCAUUUAAUGACGAGUUUCAUCAUUGACUGUGUCGAAACACAACAGCAAUCCACAAUACACUCAACACGAGAGGCGCACACAAGCAUGCAUGAAUCUUCCACCAUUAAACCUGAAAUCAUAAAAUGAAAGAAACAAGGUGAGUGUUGUUUUACGGUCUGAAAGCCGAUUCGAAAUAAUAAUAAUAAUAGACCUUUGUUAAUAGUUACUACUAGUGGUCACUGCCUUGUCCAUCUUCCUUCUCUGUAUCAUCGUCCACUUCCAAGCCGCUGUCAUCUGACCAAACCCCAGCAACCAUCGCGGGAAAAAUCACCUAUUUGGAGUGAGAGGGAAAAAGCUGAUUGUUGAGAAAUAUAUGUAUCUUUUGUAUGGUUGUGUUAAGGUCACCCAUGCAAGCAGAACGUGCUUCAGUCCCCCAUGCUUUACUCCCCCACUGCACUUCGUGUAAUUUGGGUGUACUUAAAUUUCCUUCAGAGAAAAUCUUCAUAUCGAGGCAAUCACCCACCACUAAUCUUUCCAAAGAUGGGAACUUGAAAGCACAAUUGCCAGAGCAGAAGCUUGUCAAACUUUUUAAGUCUAAAAGCUUCAACUCCUUCAAUUCUCUGAAAGUAAUAACCUCAUCUUUUGCUACAACAUCAUCCACCAGUACUAUUUCUGUUAUCUUAUCGCAUGAUUCUAUCUCCAUAUAUCUAAGUCGCACCAGAGUCUUUGCAAUUGAGGAUGUUAAUACGAUUUUCAAUCCUUUGCAACACGAUACCACCAGAUUUGUAAGAUUCUGAAAGGACGUCGACGAUGGCACUAGAUUGACCAAACGGUCACACCCCUUUACACGUAGAAAAACCAAGUUGUUCGUAACAGAGGACUCCUCUAUCAAAAUGUGCUCCAGUUGAUAUUUUGCUUCUCUUAUUUCUACCCUCAUCCCAUUUUCAACCUGCUCUUUCGGCAACCAAGCACCAUGUCCUCCUAUUUCGAGGACUUUCAUUGUGUGAAGUCUCUGGAGGAAGUCACCAAGUGAUAAAAUUGUCCGCUCAUCAACCAACUCCACGUAAAGAUAUUUUAGUUUGCAAAGCAAGUCUUCAGAAAAUAGAUAUUUAUUUGUUACCACGUGCUUUGCAUCAACUUUCAACUUUUCCAAAUUAGGGAAUACCUGGGAGAUUGAUCAGAGCCCAAAAAAAAAAAAAAAAAAAAAAAAAAUACAAGAUGAAUCAGUUGAUGAGAAUUAUAAGUUACCACUAAUUUAUACCAUAUAUUUUAUUCAAUAAAUCUUUACCUUUAAAAAAAAUAGUAAUAAUAAUACGCCUAGCUAACAUCUAGAAUAAUUAUGAAUGAAUACUAUACACUAAUCUAUAAGAGAGUUCCGUUGCUGACAAUUUGACUUUUAGUAAGAAACCAAGCGAUAAAGGCAAAGGCAAUAUAACUCUUAAGCUUUAUGAUAUAAACUUUCACAGUACAUACAUAAGAAUUGAAAAUUUGAUUAUAAAAUUCUUGUACGUACCCUUUCCGUCAAGAUAUUAGUAGUUCUUUUGCAUCUCGCCAUGAAUUCAGGACAUCCAGAUAUCUCUAAUUCUUUCAAGGAUGGAAAUUCAAGAUUAUCAAGAUCUCCAGUACAGAAGCUUGUGAACUUUUCAAGAUCAGACAUCCUCAGAUAUUGCAACUGAGGAAACGUUACAAUAUUAUUCUUCAUUUCUUCCUGGUUGUCCACGACUAUUAACUCUUCCAAGACGCGACAUCUGACUAUCUGAAUGCGUUGGAGUCGAACCAAGCUACUAACAGUAGCAGAUGAAAAUAGACAACUUAAAUUCUCACAGACAGACAAGGUCAAGUGCGUUAAAUUCUGAAUACCACAAGACAUGACUGUAACUUGGCUCGGCCAAAUCCUCUCAACAUUUAUUGAAUCCAACGUCAACUUCUCUAACUCUGGUAACCGAUCCUGCUCGAUCAAAAAAUUAACUUGUUAAUUGCAAGUAAACGAUCAUUGAUUAUAAAAUUCUUGUACGUACCCUUUCCGUCAAGAUAUUAGUAGUUCUUUUGUAUCUCGCCAUGAAUUCAGCACAUCCAGAUAUCACUAAUUCUUUCAAGGAUGGAAAUUCAAGAAUAUCAAGAUCUCCAGUGCAGAAGCUUGUGAACUUUUCAAGAUCAGCCAUCAUCAGAUAUCGCAACUGAGGAAACAUUACAAUAUUAUUCUUCAUUUCUUCUUCGUUGUCCACGACUAUUAACUCUUCCAAGACAGGACAUUCGACUAUCUUAAUGUGUUGGAGUCGAACCAAGCUACUAACAGUAGAAGAUGAAAAUAGACAUCUUAAAUUCUCACAGACACACAAGGUCAAGUGUGUUAAAUUCUGAAUACCACAAGACAUGACUGUAACUUGGUUUUGCCAAAUCCUCUCAACAUUUAUUGACUCCAACGUCAACUCCUCUAACUCUGGUAACCGAACCUGCUCGAUCAAAAAAUUAACUCAUUAAUUACAAGCAACAAUGAUUUCUGUUGAUGGACAAAUCAAUAAAAUUACUCUUUCUCUGGUUAUAGUUCUUUUCAGUUUUUCAUACAAACAACCGUUAAUCAAGUUUUCCAAAUUAUUCCUUACUAAAUGUAUAGAUUUAGACGGCGGCUAAUAUAGUUCAUAUUGUAAAUAUUCUUUGAUUGUAACGAAUUUUGUAAUAUUAAAUUUUGGUUGAUUCGCAAUAGGACCUACUAUCCAGCGCGAGCAGUUCUCGGGGAUUUAACUACUGGCACCUCGAUUAUAUAAAAAUUUAGAAUAUUUUCAAAGGAAAUCAAAUAAUUCCCCCUUGCAAAUAGUAAUUAUCAUCAAUUGCCGGGGGUUCACAUAUAAUUCUAAGAAAUUAGGCGAGAAGAGUCUCAUCAACAAUCAAUCAGCAAAUAUCACGUUUGGCAGAUCAUCAUGAUUUCCUCAGAUGCUAGAGAAUCAACGUGAUUUCUGCUCAUGCAGGAGUGGACACAUUAUCUUAGAGCAUCCCUCACUGAGAUCUUUUAAAAAAUUUAUAUUAUAAAGUGAACAACAUAUUUAGUAUAGAUUUAGACGGCGGCUAAUAUAAUUUAUAUGUAUUCUAAUGACGUAUAUUAAAGAAAAUGACUAACCAUAAUUUCAAUCAACUUAUUAGUCUAUAUAUAUAUAUAUAUAUAUAUAUAUAUAUAUAUAUAUAAAAGUGACUACAACAUAUUUAGUAUUCCAUGACAUGAUGUUUAUAAUAAUAAUUAUUAUUAAUUCACUUUUUGUGUCAAGAACCUUUUCUUUCUCUAAGAAUGAAUUUCUUACACCCUACUAUACUACGGAUGAAAAAUUUAGAAUCAUUGUGAAAUAUGAUUAUUAAUCACUCUUUGCCAUAUUUGCUACCAAACAAGAAUGCAACAAAGAAAAAAAAAAUUAUAGAGAAUUAAUAAGACCAUUGACUUAUCAAUAACUGACCUUCUCAGCGAAAAGUGUAUUAGAAAUUUGGACAUUGUCCUCCAAAAUGAUUUCAUGUGACCGCAAAUCAUUAGCUGAUUCCUCCUGUCUCUGCUAACAUUGCAGGUGUAUUGAUUUUAGAGUGUAAGCUUAAUUGUGAGCACAACCUUAAUGCAUAGAUACAAGAUCUUUAAAAAUUAGUACAAUAAACUUAGCACUAAAUCUGAAUUUGAUAUUUUGGAUUCCAUGAUUAAGAUUUUUUUAAAAUGAAAAUUUAAUAGAGUUAAUUUAAAAAUAAAAAUUAAAUAUGAAAAAUUAGAGUUGCAAUUAUGGAUUUAAUUUUGAUAAAUAAUGAAUGUUCUCUUAAUAUUUUUUUUUUAAAGGUAAAAGAGCGUACAAAGCCCAAAUUCAUUUUUUUAGUCCCUUACUCUCCCAUAAUUCAAACUUGGGUGGUUGUAGGAGGACUGAAAAUAUAUAAGACAGUUAACUUCACUUUUUUUUUUUUCUUUUUUUUUUUUGAGAGAAAAGAGAAGAAGGAUAUUACAAAGCAUGAAGCUCGUGCAAUAUAAGGGCAAUGAUGGUUUUUUCUUUAAAUUAAAAUAGUAAGAUUUUGAAGCUAAAAGAUUAAAAUAUUAAUUAAAUUGCAAACAUUAAAGAUUUUUUUUUUUCAAAUGGUUGCUUUGAAAAUGAGAAUAAUAUAAUAUUUGAAGACUUUUCAAAAUUAAUUACUGUGAUAGAUGCACUAGAAGUUUCUAGCUCUAGUCUAAUGUAUAAAUUGACAAAACGAUAUUAGAAUCCCAGGUGAAAAGAACCCUCUCACACCAAUUAUUUAAAUUAGGAAUGAUCAUACCUCUGACUCUGCCGAACUGAGGGCGGGGUCUAAACCCACCAUAAAGAGACGCUUGAGAUGGGAAGAGCCCACUUUGACUAAUUCAUUACGAAAAUAAUCGACAUCUUGCUCUUGCAAUCCCCAUAACUCAAGGUCUUCAAUUCUCUGCAGUUGCACGAUCAGCGAAUCCUUCAAGCAAAUCUUGUUAUUUAGCUCGACUCUGAAUUCACGACACGGAAUGCUGGUGAUCCCCCAAUACUCAAGAUCUCCAAUGCGUAUGCUGUACCUUUCCAGCUUCUCCAAGAACAGGCCUCUGGGCAGAGUGCUGACGUCAUGGGUGUCUAAUUCCAAAGAGGUCAAGUUGGGCAAAUGCUUCAACUCCUCAAGGCUUGCAUUCUUAACCCCUUCCACCUCCACCUCCCAAGCAGCAAAGCUUCUAUGACUUAUAUAUAGUUCUUCUAAAUGGGAUAAUUUUGACAGUAUAUUUGGUGGAAUAACUUUUAGACACCAACAAUCCCUCAAAUCAAGCAACUUUAGCCAAGUCAAUUCACCUACUUCUACCGGCAACUUCUCAAUAUAAGAACUUCUUAAGCAAAGGAUUUCUAGUUUCUUCAAGUCUCCUACAACACUUAUAUCACGCAAGCUGCAGUCACACAAACUCAGUGUUCGAAGGUUUGACAGGAGACCAAGUGAUGAAGGCAGUGACCGUAGAUUCAUGCCAGUCAAGUUGACAACUCUGACCUGCAUCAUCCUCUCGAAAAAGUUGUUUGGAAUUGUUAAUGAUGAAAAUUCCCAACGAUCAGCACGUAUAAAAAGAAGUUCGAGCUGAGGACAUUCCAGUACUUCAGGAAGCAAAUUAUUCUUGAUAUGAUGUAAGACGAUUGAAGUGCAAUGCUUUAUUGCACUUCCGUCUAACCAUUCCCUGCAACCAUCAACCUGCUCAUUUGUAGCAGUAAACACAUUUCGUUCAGUAGAUGCAAUUAAUAUGGCGACAUCGCGAACUACAUCAUGCAUAGAAAGCAACUCUUUCUUCUGGCUUAUAUGGUCAAGCAACAAACAAGAAUCUUUGAGCUGGUGUACCAAUGUAUGUACUCGAUUUCGUGCUGCUUCCAUCUUAUUCACACCUUGAAAUAAAGUCAAUCCCAUACCAAACAUUAACAGUUCGUCAAUAGAUGCUAUGGCUGUAUAUCCUAUUAGCAAAAAGAUGUUCUUCAGCUCCUCCCCUACCAAUUUGUCGUAACUCCACUUUAUGGCUUCAUAUGCAUCUGGCUGUACAUCCUUAAAAUUCGAUGAAGAAGGCCUUCCUAGUUUUUCCAAUGCAUCCUUCCAUUCCUGUAUGCUCUUGUUCCUUAAUGCCCUUGCAACCGUCACAAUGGAAAGUGGUAGACCUGCACAUCCCUUUGCCACACCCCUUGCUACCGAUUGGAAUUCACUGCCUUCAAAAUAAUCACCUGCCAUCUUCUUGAAUAGAUUCCAAGCUUCUUCUUCGUUUAAAACACCAAUUGAGAAAUUUGGUCGAGAAUCCAUCUUCCUAGACAAUACAUCUAGACUUCUGGCCGUCAGCAAUACUUUACAACCUUUAUGACCAUCUCCAUGAGGAAUUCCGACAACCCGCAAAUCAAGAUUUUCCCAAAUGUUGUCUAAAAUUAUCAGGAUCUUCUUCUCUGCUUCUAUACGUUUAAAUAAGCUGUUUGCCCUUCCUGAUUCACUUUCCUCAUGAAACUUCAGGCCUAAUUUAUCUGCUAUUUCUCCUUGAAUCUCUCGUAUGUUUUUAUUAUGGGAUACCUCAUCUCCUUGAAUCUUUCGUAUGUUUUGAUUACGGGAUACCUCAACAAGAACUACCUGAUAAAAGAGUUCACUCUUGACUUUCCUAGCAACUUCUUCCGCCAGCUUCGUCUUUCCGAUUCCGCCCAUUCCAUAAAUCCCAAGCAUGUUGACAUUGGGAUUUUUUAAUGCAUCCAUUAUGUCAUUCAGAAUGGGCGCUCUUGAUACAAAGGCCUCGUAGUCUUUGUUAGGGAUAAGCCGAAUAUCCUCUGCAGCAGUACGGUAGGAAAUUCUAUCAAAUCUUCUAGCGUCCCGGACUUUGACAAUAGCCUCUUUCAACGUCACUGCUUCCUUGCUAAGUCGACGGCGGGUCUUCAAAUUAGGACACAACCCCUUGAAACAACGCUUAUUUGCUGCGGCUUCAACUUCUGUAAAUUUAUCUGCCUCUUCAAUGACUUUGUUGGCCCCUUCAAGCCAACUCCUAACGUUCUCUUCAAUUUCUUCCCCGUUUCGUUCAGCCUCAUCAACCUGGUGCUUUGUACUCACCCUCUGAGACUUCAGAUUGUCAACUUCAGUCUUGAGAUUCUGUAAGUUGCUCGUGUACUUACUCUCACGCAAAUAGCUAAUGCGGCGAUAUGCGGGAGGAACCAAGCACUUCACAACUUCUACAACAAUAGUAAGAAUGAAUUCAGCCAUCUUCAGUCCUUUGUCCUUGUCUCUCUAUCUCUCUUUUUCUGAAUUUUUGAAAAACAAUUGACUACUUAGGAAGCACACUGAGUGAUUGAACACAAGUGACCACAACAAGAUGGAACAAAAUAAAAAGGAAAAAAAAUACAAAGAGUGGAAGGAGAAUAAAACAGAGACAGCGGCACAGCUGGACACAACUAGAUAGAGAACAGAGCAAAACCAAAUAACAAGACUUAAGAUUACAACAAACAGAGGCCAAGUAUUAUUGUUGAGAUCAGAAGAUGGAAAAUUCAAAAGAGUUGAUGGCAGAUGCUGAAUAACAAAACAACAAUGAACGCAAUAAGCAGAAGCAAAGUGUGUUUGAAUGCAAAGAAAGACUGAUGUUGAAAAUUGAUGUCAAUAGCGAAGGAAUAAUUGAACUUUCGCUGAAUUAUUGUUUGUGGCCUUCUUUUACUUUUUAUUUGUGGGUCAUGUCUUUUGGAACUAAUCAUCUUAGGUUAUGCCUUAUAGCUUUAAGGCCGGUAAACCGGUGUCCGUUGGAUUAGCAUAUAGAAAUCCAACGGUGGAUAUAUAUACUUGGAGAAUAAAAUUCAAGAGCUAAGGGAGUGCUGGGCUGCAGUUUCUUAAGGAGAUUUAUAUAUCCUCCUCAAAAAUAAAUGUUUUAAGGUAGAUAUUUAGACUAUUUCAUCAUAAAAUAAAUGUAAUUAGUUUUCAAUAAAUAUCUUAUAUAAAUAUUUAUUUAUUUUUUUAAUUACUAAUGACCUUUGAAUAUACAUAUAUACAUAUCCCUAGUUCAAAAAAUAAAUUGUGAUUAUUUGUUCAUGUAUGCGAUUACUUGUGAUGGGAAAUAAAAUAGAUAUGGUAUAUUUUGAAGUUAAAUUAAAAAAAAAAAAAACAGAGCUUUUACCAUUACUUGCCUUAUCAUCUUUUAAAUUAGAGUUAUUAUUCUUUUAUUUUUCAAGUUGCCAACUCAUCCGCAUUUUUUUUUUAUUGAAUUUGAAGAUCAAUGAUUAUAAAUGUGUGUAAAAAUUUUAAGUCAAAACUUUAAAUAAUCUUUAAGUUAUUGGGAAAUAAUAACUUAGUAUAACAAAUAUUAUAUCCUAUACUUUAUUGCUACAAAAUUACGAAACCUUAUAUUAUAUUAUGUUUCCAUAUUUCUCCUUUAUAGUGAAGACUCAUACUUCUUCUCUAUUAAAUGCUAAAGUAUUGGCUUAAAUUUUUUAACCAGCACAGUAGACCCUUAAGCUAUAUAUACUAUAAUGUCCCUCUUCUCUCAUAGAUUAAACCAAUCUGAUCUCGGAGUGAGUUGAUACCAUGACUUUGCAUAAUUCGUGAUCAAAGGAGUAUCAUUACUAACUAAUAUAGGCUCCAUCAAUAGGCAUGAUAAUAAUUUUUUUUAUAUACAAACACUGUUUUUCAAAAUAUUAUAUCUUAAGACUUAACUAAAUAUUUUGUAACUAUGUAGAUAUAGUUUGUUUGAUCUCUUUUAAAUAGUGGAGAUUACAAACAAACAUAUGCAAAUUAGUAGUGAUGUUGAGUUUAGAAGAUUGAAGUUAAGAAAAUUAAGGGUUUCUUGAUCUAGAGAAAUUUCAAAUGAGUGAAGUGUCCUUGAAAUCGGAAGACGAAAAUAAGGAAAGGGUAAGGGUGUAUUUUCAAAGUGAUUCUAUUACGAGAUUUUGAAGUAGGGGUGGGCAAGUCGGGUUUUGGUUCGGGUUGUUCAAGUUUCGAUUUGGAUUUCAACCCAAUCGGGUUUGAGAAUUGAAUCCAAUCGGGUUGAAAACGCCAACCCAAACUAAACCGAACCGAAUUUAAUUCAGCUUGGGUUCAUAAUUCGGAUUGGUAAUUCAGGUUAAAAUUUCGGUUCGGGUUAAUUUGGGUUAGAAUAAUUCCAUCUAAAAUUUUGGGUUAGUUCGGUUUAAAACAAAUUGAAACAAUUUAAUCCAAAAAUUAUACCAACAACCACUUAAAAUCCAAAAAUCUCAAUUCCAAACAUCCUUAACAACAAAUAUCAACUACAAACUAUCCUUGAUAACAUUUCAACAAUAACAAUAACAAUAAUAACAACAACAACAACAAUAAUAAUAAUAAUAACAACAACUAUGAAUCAGCAAUUCAGCAUAUUGCCAUAUUCUAAAUUUAAAAAAACACACAAAUUAUGUAAUUAAUUAAUUAACAAUCUCCAAUUUAAUUUAUAAUAACAACAAAAAUCCUCUCCAAUUUAAUUAAUAACAAUCUCGAAUUGUUCAAUUACCAGUCAACAACAACAAACCCACUCCAAAUAAUUGAACAAUUGUUAAUUAAUUAAUUAAAAAUAUCUAAUUUAAUUAAUAACAACACCCAAGAGCAAGUCAGCAAUAAACCCACUCAAAAAUCCAAAUAUCAGUAUAAAUUAAGUGUCAAACCUUGAUCGGUGGGAAGCUACAGCGUCGGCAAAUUGUGACCGUGUGGGGCUGAGUGAGACCGUCAACCGAGGGUGUGAGAAGGGAGGAGGGAGCAGGGAGGUAACGAGGUGUGUGUGAGUUUAUAUAUAUAUAUAUAUAUAUAAUUUUUAAAACCUAAAACUUAAAAAAAAAAUUUAACCCAAUCCAAACCGCCCACCUCAUAUUACUUCCGUUAAGAGAUGGAUCCCACACUCUUGAGCCUUUGUCGUCCCAGUCAACUAUAAAAACAAAUCAUUAUUGAGUGUGAAUAGACUUAUUGAUCACCCAAUUUUCAAACUUAUCAUCCUUAUUGUAUCUGCAUUCCCUUUUGAAAAUUUUUUAAAAAAGUACAAAUAAUGAAACAAAGUUUUGUUCCUUCAACAGUUGAUAGAGUUACGCGGCUUGGACUUGCAAGUGCUGUCGGCAUUUUCAAACUUGUAAGACCCUUCAACUUGCUUUCCAAGAUAGCUAUAAUUAAUAAUGACAACAGUCUCCCUCAUAGCGACUAGUGAGCAACUGAAAUUAACGGCAUCUUCUCUCGCAUUUUUAAAAAAAUUGAAUUAUAUAACCCACCAAAACUAUAAAGAAUUGUUAGUUUUUCUUCAUUAAAAUUAAUAUAUUGCUCCUCAUAUUGAAAAAUCAAAAUUCAGAAUAAGAAUGAUUGAUACUGUUUAUUUACUAAAAUGAAAAUAAAAUAUAUGAAGCCUACAUAUUUUUGAAAUUAAAAAACAAGAACUUGAUUUUCCUUGGGGAGUGUUGGAAAUCAAGUUCUUGUUAUUUAAACUCUCAAUUGUAUCUCACCGAAAUUUCAUAAUUCUACUUUUGUCUUCAAUUAAAAUAUUAUUAUAGUUAUUAUUCUUAUUUUUGUAGUUGUUGUUGUUGAUUAUGAUAAAUGGUCAGGCAAAUGAUUCAUUUACUUAUUUUUUUCCUUUUAAAUUUUUGUUAUUAAGAAGAUUUUUGGAUAUUUAGCGUGAAGGUCUCAACUGAUCGCUAAUUUCACAGCAACUUCCUUUUUUUUUUUUUCCCUCAAUUGUUUUGAAAAAAUAUCAAGACUCAUUCAGCAAAAUAUCCGAGGCCAAAGCGCCAAAAGAUGGGACAGCCACAUGCACUUCUAAUUACAAAAUCUAAAGUUAGGGUGUCCAUAACUUACAUUUAAUAUAAUUUAUAAUUAGGUAAAAUUCAUUCAUUGACCCAGUAAUUUUAUUAUCCUAUUACUUAUAUUUUUAUAUUAAAAAAUUAGUAAGUAGGAAAAUUCUUAAAAGAUAAUGAAGAAGGAAAAGAAAAAGAAAAAGUGUAAAUGAACUGUAUUCACAUAAGUUUCAAACAUGUGAUUCAAUCUGAAUUGGCUUUUUUCAAAAGUAAAUACAAAGGAAAAUAAAAAGAAAAAAGCAAUUAAACGAGACUAAAAUCUGUGGCCUGUGUCAUUCAUAUCUUUUGACAUUUCUUUUAUAGCGGUAUAAAGGGUAGAUAUUUUGAAGUGAAAAGCAAAGCCUUUACCAUUACUUGCCUUAUCAUCUUUUAAAUUAGAGUUAUUAUCCUUUUAUUUUUAAGUAGCCAAAUUAGAGUUAUCAUCCUUUUAUUUUUAAGUAGCCAACUCAUCCGCAUUAUCUAUUAUUGAAUCUAAAGAUAAAUGAUUAUAAAUUUCUCUGAAGAUUUUAAGUCCAAACUAUAAAUUAAAAUAAUCUUAUUGAUUAAGUUAUUGUAUAAUAAUAACCUUAGCAUGACAAAUAUUAAUUCUUCUCUAGUAAAUGCUAAAGUAUUGGCUUAAGUUUUUUAACCAGCACAGUAAAUCCUUAAAGCUAUAUAUGCUAUAAUGUCCCUCUUCCCUUACAAAUUAAACCAAUUUGAAUUUAGAGUGAGUGAGUACCAUGAGUUUGCAUCAUUUGAUAUCAAAGGAGCAUCAUUACUAACUAAUACAGGCUCGAUCGAAUUCAUCAUACGAAGCAUAUUAUCGGCUGUAGGUAUGGAAAUAAAUUUUGUAUCCACAAACACUAUUUUUCAAAAUAUUUAAGACUUAACUUAUCAUUUUUUAACCAUAUAUGCAUAGGUUGUUUGACCUAUUUUAAAUAAUGGAGAUUACAACAAAUGAACAGAUGUGGAUUAGUAGUGUUGUUGAGUUCAGAAGAUUGAAGUUAAGAAAAAGGUUUCUUGAUCCAGAGAAAAUUCAAAAGAGCGAAGUGUCUUCGAGAUCAGAAAACGAAAUAAGGAAAGGGUAAGGUUAUACUUUCAAAAUGAAUUUGUUGAGAGAUCUUUGAAGAUUAUUUUCAUUAACAAUUAGAUCCCACACUUGAGUCUUUGUCGUCUCAGUCAGUCAGUUAUAAAGACAAAUUAAUUUUGAGUAUGAAAGGACUUUCAAACUUGUGACCCUUCAAGCUUUCUAUGACAGCUAUAAUGAAUAAUUACAACAGUGCUACCUAAUAGUGAGCAACUUGUUUGAUGAAAUUAACAACUUCUUUUCUCUCAUGUAUUUUUAAAAAAUUGAAUUAUCAAAGCUUUUAUUUCAAAAUUAGUGCUAUAGUUCAUUAAUUUUGAAAAAUUUUCUUUUUUCUUUCCACACAACAGAUUGAUUUGCCCUCCAAAAACUGUAUUAGAUUGUUUAAUAUUGUAACUUCAAAAAACUUAUAAUAAAUUUUUAAAGAGAUAAAUAGGGAAUGUCAGUCUCCCAUCUACUCAAAAUUAAUAUAUAUCAUUAACUCUUGAUUAUUUUUAUAACAACUAAUAACUUUCUGGGCAGCAUAAUUUUACAGUAUCAUCCUUGUUUGUAAGUAUAUUUUUAUUCACAUUUAUUAUAAAUUAAUUAAGUCAUAUCAAUGAAAAUUGAAAUAGAAAUUGAAGUACUAAAAAAAAUGUUUUGGUGUGAAUAAAAAAUUGAAAAUAAAAAUAUUUUUAUUAUAUUUUUUAUUUUUAAAUGGUUUUCUUAUAAUAAAUAUAUAUUUUAUAUUCUCAAAUUGAAUUAUUGAGUAAAUGACUCAUUUACUCACUUUUUCUUUUAAUUUUGUUAUUAGGAGGAUUUUUAGAUAUAAUGAAAAUUGUAAGGUAGUAAGUAAUAUAAAAUAAUUUUAAUAGAGAAAAAUAAAAAAUCUGUAAUUUUAAAAUAUAAGGAGAAAAAUAAUUAAUUUCAAGAUAUUUUAGAAGAUAUUUCAAUAUGCGGUGGACUAUAAACUCGAGUCUUUGUCGUCACAGUCAACUAAAAGGACAAAAUAUUGAGUGCGAAGGGCUCAACUGAUUGCUAAUUUCACAGUAAUUGCGUUUUUUCUUUCUUUUUUUUAAUUAUUGGGAAAUAAUAACUUAGUAUAACAAAUAUUAGAUCCUAUACUUUAAUGCUGCAAAAUUAUGAAACCUUAUAUUAUAUUAUGUUUCCAUAUUUCUCCUUUAUAGUGAAGACUCACACACUUCUUCUGUAGUAAAUGCUAAAGUAUUGGCCUAAACUUUUUAACCAGCACAAUAAACCCUUAAGUUAUAUAUGCUAUAAUGUACCUCUUCCCUCACAGAUUAAACCAAUCUGAUCUCAGAGUGAGUUUGCAUCGAAGGAGUAUCCUUACUAACUAAUAUAGGCUCGAUCAAUAGGGAUGACAAUAAUUUUUUUAUCUACGAACAUUAUUUUUUCAAAAUAUUAUAUCUUUAGACUUAACUAAAUAUUUUUUUAAUCAUGUAUGUAUAGUUUGUUUGAUCUCUUUUAAAUAGUGGAGAUCACAACAAAGCAAAUGCUAAUUAGUAGUGAUGUUGAGUUCAGAAGAUUGAAGUAAUGAAAAUUAAGGGUUUCUUGAUCCAGAGAAAUUUCAAAAGAGUGAAGCGAAAAGUGAAUUUAUUGAGAGAUCUUUAAAGAUUUACUUCCAUUAAGGGUUGGAUGCCACACUUUUUGAGCCUUUGUCGUCCCAAUCAUUCAAUUAUAGGAUCCCUAAGCAUAUAACUUACAAUCCUUUCACAUAAAUAAUGAGUAGUGUGAAUCCAUACAACUUACAACCUUCUCACAUAAAUAAUGAGUAGUGUGAAUCCAUACAACUUACAACCUUCUCACAUAAAUAGUGAGUAAAUCUAAACUACUCACUAUUCAUGUAAAAAAAUUAUAAAUUACAUACAUGUAACUUAGCAUUAUUCUCCACUAUAAAGACAUAUUCUUAUUGAGGGUGAAUAGGCAUAUUGAUCACUAAAUUUUCAAACUUGUGAUCCUCAUUAAAUGUGAUUCCCCUUUGAAAAAGAAAAAAAAGUGCAAAUAAUGAAACAAAAUUAUGUUCCUUAGCAGCAAGUGGCGUCGGCAUUUUCAGACUUGUAAAAGGGAAUGAGAUCCUUUCCUGAACCCGGAUCUCAUUCCCUGUGAAACAAAAAAAGGUGCAAAUAAUGAAACAAAAUUCUGUUCCUUAGCAGCAAGUGGCGUCGGCAUUUUCAGACUUGUAAAAGGGAAUGAGAUCCUUUCCUGAACCCGGAUCUCAUUCCCUGUGAAACAAAAAAAGGUGCAAAUAAUGGAACAAAAUUUUGUUCCUUAACAGCAAGUGGUGUCGGCAUUUUCAGACUUGUAACAAGGGAAUGAGAUCCUCUCCUGAACCGGGAUCUCAUUCCCUGUGACAAGACCCUUGCCACCCUUCAACUCGCUUUCCAAGAUAGCUAUAUUAAUCGUGACAACAUUACUCUCAGUGAGCAAAAGUUAACAUCAUCUUCUCCCUAUUUUUUUAAAAAAUUGUAUUAUAUAGCCCACCAAAACUAUAAAGAGUCUUUUCUUAUUAAAAUUAAUAAAUUACUCUUUAUAUUAAAAAAUUAAAAUUCAAAAUGAAAAUGAUCUGAUGUUUAUUUAUUAAAAUAUAAAUAAAAUAUAUGAAGUUCAUAUUUUUUUAAAUUAAAAAAUAAGAACCUAAUUUCAUUCCUUAAAUUCCCAAAUUUACCUCACAAAAAUUCCAUAAACUUACUUUUGUCCUUAAUUAAAAUAUUAUUAUGUUAUUAUUAUGGUUAUUAUUCUUAUUUUUGUAAUAGUUGUUGUUGUUGAUGAUGAUAAUACAUAUAAUAAAAUUAAUAAUAAUAAAAAUAAUAACUAUAAUUUUAACAACAGCAAUAAUAAUCAUUAAUAUUAUUGUUGUUGUUGUUGUUGUUGUUGUUGUUCUUCUUCUUCUUCUUCUUCUUCUUCUUCUUCUUCUUCUUCUUCUUCUUCUUCUUCUUCUUAUUAUUAUUAUUAUUAUUAUUAUUAUUAUUACUAUCCUAUUAUAAUAAUAUUAUUAAAUAAUUAUUUUGAAUAAUAAUAAUCACAAUUAUUAUAACAAACGACAAAAAUCAACUAAGGUAAUUUUAAUAACUUGUAAGAAUUCAUUUUUAUUCAUGGAUAUGUGAUUAUUUGUUAAUGUAUGCAAUUACUUGUGAUGGUAAACAAAGUAUAUAUGGUAUAUUUUCAAGUUAAAAAAGAAAAACAAAACAAAGUUUUUACCAUUUCUUGCCUUAUCAUCUUUUAAAUUAGAGUUAUUAUUCUUUUUAUUUUUCAAGUUGCCAACUCAUCCGCAUUCUCUUUUAUUGAAUUUGAAGAUCGAUGAUCAUAAAUUUGUGUGAAAAUUUUAAGUAAAAAUUUUAAAUUAAAAUAAUCUUUUAAGUUAUUGGGAAAUAAUAACUUAGUAUAACAAAUAUUAUAUCCUAUACUUUAUUGCCACAAAACUACAAAACCAUAUAUUAUAUUAUGUUUUCAUAUUUCUCCUUUAUAGUGUGAAGACUCAUACUUCUUCUCUAGUAAAUGCUAAAGUAUUGGCUUAAACUUUUUAACCAGCACAGUAGACCCUUAAGUUAUAUAUGUUAUAAUGUCCCUCUUCGCUCACAGAUUAAACCAAUCAGUAGCCUUCUCUCAUAUAGAAAAACUUUUUGUAUAAGACAAAUUAUUAUGUUAUCGGAAAAAUUACAGUAGACGUAAGCUAUAUAUGUUAUAAUGUUCAGAAGAUUGAAGUUAAGAAAAUUAAGGAAAGGGUAAGGAUGUAUUUUCAAAGUGAAUUAUUAAGAGAUCUUUGAAGAUUACUUCCGUCAAGAGUUGGGUCCCACACUUUUACCUUUUGCUCGUUCCCGUGAAAGUCAGUUUAGAAUUUUUAUCUUAUUUCACAAAGCUAAUUUUUUAUCACAAGCAGGAGAGAAACGGCAUUUCUUAGCAGUAGUUCAUCACUGUAGUAGCGAGCGAGUGAGGAACAAAAUUGCCAACAAUUAUCAAAAAAUAAUUAUAUAAAAAAGAUCACAUGCUAUAAUUAAUCAUGACAAUUGACAACAUUACUCCCACCGAGCAAAAGUUAACAGCAUCUUCUCCCACAUUUUUUAAAAAAAAUUGUAUUAUAUAACCCACCAAAAGUAUAAAGCGUCUUUCCUUAUUAAAAUUAAUAAGUUACUCUUUAUAUUGAGAAAUUAAAAUUUAAAAUGAGAGUGAUUAAUGAUGUUUAUUUAUUAAAAAUAAAAUAAAAUUUAUGAAGUCUAUAUAUUUUUUAAAUUAAAAAAUAAUAACUUAAUUUCUUAUAGGGAGUGUUGGAAAUCAAGUUUUUAUUUCUUAAAUAUCCAAUUUUACUUCACAAAAAUUUUAUAAGUUCACUUUUAUCCUUAAUUAAAAUAUUAUUAUGGUUAUUAUUCUUAUUUUUGUAGUAGCUGCUGUUGUUAUUGUUGUUGUUGUUGUUGAUGAUGAUGAUAAUAGUUGAUAAUAAAAUUAAUAAUAAUAAUGAAAAUAAUAACUAUAAUUUUAACAGCUACAAUAAUAAUCAUUAAUGUUAUCGUUGUUCUUAUUAUUAUUAUUAAAAAAUAAUUAUUUUGAAUAAUAAUAAUCACAAUUAUUAUAACAAACAACGACAAUAAUCAACUAAUGUCAUUUUUCUAACUUAUAACAAUUCAUUUUUUAUUCCAAGACAAACUAACCAUAUCAAUAAUAAUACAGGUCGUUUCGAUUCUAAUUUUUACAGGUAAAGUAAAUAAUUUAUUCUGAUUCUCAUUUUUUAUUUUGAUUUUAUUCUAUUCCGAUUCCAUUUGAUUAUGAUUCCAGCCAAUUCUAAUUAUCGAUUAGAAAAUGCAUUGUUACUACUUUAACAAUAACUAAUGAUUCUCCUCACAAUUCUUAUAGGAUUAUCCUUAUUUUAAAAUAUUUUUUAUUCGUAUUUAUUAUUAAUUAAUUAAAUUAUAUCAAUGAAAAUCAAAUAAAAAUUUAACUAAUAAAAAUGAGAAAAUAUAUGUUUCGGUUUGAAUAAAAAAUUAUAAUAAAAUAUUUUUCUUACAUACUUUAAAUAUUUUUAUUAUAAUAAAUAUUUUUUUAUUCUCAAAAUAAAUUAUCAAGUAAACGAUUCAUUAACUCAUUUUUUUCCUUUAAAUUUUUGUUAUUAAGAAGAUUUUUGGGUAUUGACCGUGAAGGGCUCAACUGAUCGCUAAUUUUGCAGCAAUUACCUUUUCUUUUUCUUUUUUUUUAAUUGUUUUGAAAAAAUAUCCAGACUCAUUCUGCAAAGUACCUGAGACUAGAGCUGGCAAAAUUUGACACGACCCGAUUACCCGACACGAACACGACAUAAAUAAAUGGGUAUGGGUCGUCAAAUUUAACACGAUUAUUAAAUGGGUCGGGUCCGGGUCAACACGAUUUUUUUCCGUGUCGGGUUUGGGUUAAAAUUCUUGACCCAUUUACCCGAUCAAUGACCCGAUUAUAUUUUCUAUUUUAAAAUAAUUUAUAUAUUCUUAUAAUUAAAACUCAAAUAUUAGAGAUGAUUUUCUUUUUUUUUUUAUUUUUUAAAAGGGUGAAUAUAAACACAGUGUUUUAUUUAUAAAAUUUUACAUACAUUUAGAGCUUCAAUAGUGUAAAUGUGUAAAAAUUGAUAGACAUGUAUAUUUUAUAAUAUUGAUAUAUAAUAUUAUAUAUAUAUAUAUAUAUAUAUAUAUAUAUAUAUAUAUAUAUAUAUAUAUAUUAAAACUUCAAUAGUAUAAAUGUAUAAUAUAUUGGUAGAUAUAUAUAUUUUAUAAUAUUGAUAAAUUAUGUAUGUAUGUAUGUAUGUAUGUAUGUAUGUAUGUAUGUAUGUAUGUAUGUAUUUAUGUACAUACGUAUGUAUGAUAGUGUGUAAAUAUUUUAUGUAACUUUUGUUCAAUAUAUAGAUAUUAAACGGGUUAUUGGGUAACCCGAUUAUUUUUCCGUGUCGGGUUUGAGUCUCAAUAUUUUGACACGAUUAUUAAAUGGGUCGGGUUUGGGUCGAUCUAAAUUUGACACGACACGAAACUGACACGAUACGAACACGAUCCGAUGACCCGUUUUGCCAGCUCUACCUGAGACCAAAGCGCCGGCCAAAGCGCCGAAAGAUAGGACACCCACAUGUGCUUUUAUUUACAAAAUCUAAAGUUAGGGUGGGUGUCCAUAACUUAAAUUUAAUAGAAUUUAUAAUUAGGUAAAAUUCUUUGAUUGACCCAUUAACUUUUAUUAUUUUAUUAUUUAUUUUUAUAUUAAAAAAUUAGUAAUGUAGAAAAAUUCUUAAAAGUUAAUGGAGAAGGAAAAGAAAAAGAAAAAGUGUAAAUGAACUGUAUUCAUUUAAGUUUCAAACAUGUGGUUCAAUCUGAAUUCGUUUUUUUUAAAAGUAAAUACAAAAGAAAAUAUAAAGAAAAAAAAUUAAACGAGACAAAAAUCAGUGGCGUGGGUCAUUCAUAUCUUUUUCCAUUUUUUUUUAAUAGAGGUACAUAGCAUAGAGUCGAUAUUUUGAAGUGAAAAGCAGAACCUUUACUGUUGCUUCCCUUAUCAUCUUUUAAAAUUAGAGUUAUUAUUCUUUUAUUUUUAAGUGGCCAACGGAUGGUAGCCAACUCAUCCGUGUUCUCUAUUAUUGAAUUUAAAGAUCAAGGAUUUAUGUUAAUAAAUAUUUUGUUAACUAUCAAAGUUUUUAUUUCAAAAUUACUCCUAUAAUUCAUUAAAUUUUCAAUUUUUCCUUUUUCUAUUCACACAACAGAUUGAUUUGCCCUCCAAAAAAAUGUAUUAGAUUGUUUAAUAUUGUAACAUCAAGAAACUUAUAAUAAAUUUUUAAAGAGAUAAAUAGAGAAUGUCAGCAUCUACUCAAAAUUAAUAAAUAUACCACUAACUUCUUAUUAUUUUUAUAAUAACUAAUAACUUUUUUACCAGUAUAAUUUUAUAGUAUUAUUCUUAUUUGUAAGUAUAUUUUUUAUUCAUAUUUAUUAUAAAUUAAUUAAAUCAUAUCAAUAAAAAUUAAAAUAACACAAUAUGUUUUGGAGUGAAUAAAAGAUUGAAAAUAAAAAUAUUUUUCUUUUAUUUUUUGUUAUUUUAAAAUUUUUUUCUUAUAAUAAAUGUAUAUUUUAUAUUCUUAAGAUGAAUUUUGAGUAAAUGACUCAUUUACUCACUUUUUCUUUAAAUUUUUGUUAGUAGGAGGAUUUUUAGAUAUAAUGAAAAUUGUAAGGUAGUAAGUAAUAAUAUAAUAAUUUUAAUAAAGAAAAAUAAUUAAUUUCAAGACAUUUCAGAAGAUAUUUCAAUAUGCGGUGGACUACAUCCUUGAGUUGAGUCUUCAUCGUCUCAGUCAACUAAAAGGACAAAAUAUUGAGUCACAAAGGACUCAACUGAUUGUUAAUUUCACACCAAUUACCUUUUUUUUCUUUUUUUUUUCUUAAUCUAUAUAUUUAUAUAAAGUUAGUACUUGAGAAUGUGAUGUAUCAUCACCAUUUUUUUUUAUUUAAUAAAUAGAGAAAUUUUCUUUUAAAUUUGACUUUUCAUUUUCUCAUAAUUAAUUUGAUUGCUAUUGCACAAUAACAAUUAUGUAAAGAUUUUAAUGAGGCAUAUUAUUUGUAAUGAACAUUUAAGAGAGAGUGUUAUUUGUAAUGAACAUCUAAGGGAGAGUGUUAUGAAUUUAUUAAAAUAAAUAUAUAUUUUCAUAAUAUAUAUCUCUUAGUCUCCCCACUAUCUCCCAUUAGCAACCUUUAGCUUCCUUAUAACUCCCACUAUUUUUAUAAAUCCACCCACCUUCAUAAAAUAAUUACAAUAAGUUCACAUUAUUUUAUAGAAUUACAAAUUAAUAAUAAGUUUGAAUAAUUAAUUAAUUAAAUCAUUCUUAUAAUUUUUUUUCUUUCUUUGUCUUUCAACAAUCUUUAAUAAUUUAAGGUUGCUUUAAGAUAAGUUUAAUUUAAUUAAUUUACCCUUAUAAUAUAAAAUAACAAAAUUACCCUAAGAAAUAUAUAUUAUUGUAACUAAUUGUUUAGGCAUUUAGUUUUAUGUUUUAUAAUCUAAUAUGCUUUAUAUAAAAUUUAAUAAUUUUCAAUACUCCAAAUGUCCUAAUUACAUCUUGUUAGUUUAGUGAAAUAUUAAUAAUUAUACUAAAAAAGCAUUACUUAUACAUCAUUAAAAUAUAAAAAAAAUUAUUAAGUUAAAGUAAACUUUUAGAUAUUUUUGUUACUUUUACCUUAUAAGGUUAGAAUAAUUAUAUUAAUUUAUGUUAAAACAACCUUAUUGAUCAAAUAUAAUUAAAAAAAUAGUCUCAUAAAAAAAUUAAUGAAUAUGGAUUUAAUUGGUUAAAUUUUUAAAUUUCUUCUUAAUUUGAAUUUUUAAAAAAUAAUGUGUACUUGUAGUAAUGAUUUUUUAAAAUUGGGGUGGGUUAUUAUUGAUGACCUUUGAACAUACAUACAUAUUAUUAAUAUAUUUAUUAAUAUAUACGAUUACUUGUGAUGGUAAACGAGGUAGAUAUGGUAUAUUUUUAAGUUAAAAAAAAAAAACAAAACUUUUACCAUUUCCUGCCUUAUCAUCUUUUAAAUUAGACUUAUUAUUAUUUUAUUUUUCAAGUUGCAACUCAUCCUCAUUCUCUUUUAUUGAAUUUGACGAUCAAUGAUUAUAAAUUUGUGUGAAAAUUUUAAAUCAAAGUUUUAAAAUAAAAUAAUCUUUAAGUUAUUGAGAAAUAAUAACUUAAUAUAACAAAUAUUAUAUCUUGUACUUUAUUGCUACAAAAUUACGAAACCUUAUAUUAUAUUAUGUUUCCAUAUUUCUCCUUUAUAGUGAAAACCCAUACUUCUUCUCUAGUAAAUGCUAAAGUAUUGGGUUAAACUUUUUAACCAGCACAGUAGACCCUUAAGCUAUAUAUGUUAUAAUGUCCCUCUUCCCUCAGGAUUAAACCAAUCUGAUCUCAGAGUGAGUUUGCAUUAUUUGUCAUCAAAGGAGCAUCAUUACUAACUAAUAUAGACUCGAUCAAUAGGUAUGACAAUAAAUUUUCUGUCUACGAACACUAUUUUUUAAAAUAUUAUAUCUUUAGACUUAACUAAAUAUUUUUUAAUCAUAUAUGUAUAGUUUGUUUGAUCUCUUUUAAAUAGUGGAGAUCACAACAAAGCAAAUUCGAAUUAGUAGUGAUGUUGAGUUCAGAAGAUUGAAGUAAAGAAAACUAAGGGUUUCUUGAUCCAGAGAAAUUUCAAAAGAGUGAAGCGAAAAGUGAAUUUAUUGAGAGAUCUUUGAAGAUUUACUUCCGUUAAGAGUUGGAUGCCACACUUUUUGAGCCUUUGUCGUCCCAAUCAUUCAAUUAUAGGAUCCUUAAGUAUAUAACUUUCAAUCUUUUCACAUAAAUAAUGAGUAGUGUGAAUUCAUACAACUUAUAACUUUCUCACAUACAAUUUACAACAUUCUCACAUAAAUAGUGAGUAAAUCUAAACUACUCACUAUUCAUGUAAAAAAAUUAUAAAUUAUAUAUAACUUAGCAUUAUUCUCCACUAUAAAGACAUAUUCUUAUUAAGUGUGAACAGACAUAUUGAUCACUAAAUUUCCAAACUUGUGAUCCUCAUUAAAUGUGAUUCCCCUUUGAAAAAGAAAAAAAAGUGCAAAUAAUGAAACAAAAUUAUGUUCCUUAGCAGCAAGUGGCGUCGGCAUUUUCAGACUUGUAAAAGGGAAUGAGAUCCUUUCCUGAACCCGGAUCUCAUUCCCUGUGAAACAAAAAAAGGUGCAAAUAAUGAAACAAAAUUCUGUUCCUUAGCAGCAAGUGGCGUCGGCAUUUUCAGACUUGUAAAAGGGAAUGAGAUCCUUUCCUGAACCCGGAUCUCAUUCCCUGUGAAACAAAAAAAGGUGCAAAUAAUGGAACAAAAUUUUGUUCCUUAACAGCAAGUGGUGUCGGCAUUUUCAGACUUGUAACAAGGGAAUGAGAUCCUCUCCUGAACCGGGAUCUCAUUCCCUGUGACAAGACCCUUGCCACCCUUCAACUCGCUUUCCAAGAUAGCUAUAUUAAUCGUGACAACAUUACUCUCAGUGAGCAAAAGUUAACAGCAUCUUCUCCCUAUUUUUUUAAAAAAUUGUAUUAUAUAGCCCACCAAAACUAUAAAGAGUCUUUUCUUAUUAAAAUUAAUAAAUUACUCUUUAUAUUAAAAAAUUAAAAUUCAAAAUGAAAAUGAUCUGAUGUUUAUUUAUUAAAAUAUAAAUAAAAUAUAUGAAGUUCAUAUUUUUUUAAAUUAAAAAAUAAGAACCUAAUUUCAUUCCUUAAAUUCCCAAAUUUACCUCACAAAAAUUCCAUAAACUUACUUUUGUCCUUAAUUAAAAUAUUAUUAUGUUAUUAUUCUUAUUUUUGUAAUAGUUGUUGUUGUUGAUGAUGAUAAUACAUAUAAUAAAAUUAAUAAUAAUAAAAAUAAUAACUAUAAUUUUAACAACAGCAAUAAUAAUCAUUAAUAUUAUUGUUGUUGUUCUUGUUGUUGUUGUUGUUGUUCUUCUUCUUAUUAUUAUUAAUAUUAUCAUCCUAUUAUAUUAUUAUUAUUAAAUAAUUAUUUUGAAUAAUAAUAAUCACAAUUAUUAUAACAAACGACAAUAAUCAACUAAGGUAAUUUUAAUAACUUGUAACGAUUAAUUUUUAUUCAAAGAUAUGUGAUUAUUUGUUAAUGUAUGCAAUUACUUGUGAUGGUAAACAAAGUAUAUAUGGUAUAUUUUCAAGUUAAAAAAGAAAAACAAAACAGAGUUUUUACUAUUUCUUGCCUUAUCAUCUUUUAAAUUAGAGUUAUUAUUCUUUUUAUUUUUCAAGUUGCCAACUCAUCCGCAUGCUCUUUUAUUGAAUUUGAAGAUCGAUGAUGAUAAAUUUGUGUGAAAAUUUUAAGUCAAAGUUUUAAAUUAAAAUAAUCUUUAAAUUAUUGGAAAAUAAUAACUUAGUUGUAAUAAAUAUUAUAUUCUAUACUUUAUUGCUACAAAAUUACGAAACCAUAUAUUAUAUUAUGUUUUCAUAUUUCUCCUCUAUAGUGAAGACUCAUACUUCAACUUUUUAACUAGUACAGUAGACCUUUAAGCUAUAAAUGUUAUAAUGUCCCUCUUCGCUCACAGAUUAAAACAAUCUGUAGCCUUCUCUCAUAUAGAAAAACUUUUUGUAUAAGACAAAUUAUUAUGUUAUAGGAAAAAUUACAGCAGACGUAAGCCAUAUAUGUUAUAAUGUUCAGAAGAUUGAAGUUAAGAAAAUUAAGGAAAGUGUAAGGAUGUAUUUUCAAAGUGAAUUAUUAAGAGAUCUUUGAAGAUUACUUCCGUCAAGAGUUGGGUCCCACACUCUUAAGCUUUUUUCGUCUCAAUCAACUAACAAGACAAAUUAUUAUUGGGUGUGAACAGUCCGGCUUAUUGAUUGUUAAAAAAAUAGCAUUAUUUUGAGCGCACAUGUUGAGUAAGUCUUAUUUAACGAAAGUGAAAAAUAAGGUUCAAAUUUUAUUUUAUUGAUAUUUUAAUAAUAUUUUUUUUUAUUUUUUUAAAAUGGUGUUUAGGUAAAUAAGAAAUUAUUUAUUAAAAUUCAUUUUUAAAGUUAAAAAUUUAAAAAGAAAUGAGGUUUAUCCCACAUGAAAAAAAGAAGCUUAAGAAUUAGUAUUUAUAUAUAAACAUUUAACCAUUCAUAAAUAAGAAUUAUAGGAAUAGAGACUCUUUUCACACAUACGUGCGUAAGGGGUACAAAUUCAAGACGAAUUUAGUUGAACUCGUGUGCACCUGCAUAUCCUGAGAACGCAAAUGUCGGUGAUAAAUUUGUUUUAAAGAUUCUACUCUGUGUAGGCCUCGGUUCCAUUUUAUUUUUUCUGUUUCGGUUUUCAUCUCUCUUCGGUUUUGCUUUCUAUUAUUUCAUUUCAAAUUUCAGUAGUUAUCUUUCGUUGCUUAGCUACUGUUUAAUUUGUUACCUCACCGUUUGUUUUAUCUAACAUUGAUCACCAAAUUUUCAAACUCGUGAUCCUGAUUGAAUCUGCGUUCCCCUUUGCAAAAGUAAUAAAAAAAAGUGCAAAUAAUGAAGACUUUCUCUUUUCACAUUUUUUACGCGUUUCUCUUUUCUCUCCCCCACGUGAACACUUUUGCCUUUUGCUCGUUCACGUGAACGUCAUUUUAGAAUUUUUAUCUUUAUUAAUCAUGACAAUUGACAACAUUACUCCCACAUUUUUUUUAAAAAAAUUGGAUUAUAUAACCCACCAAAAGUAUAAAAAGUAUUUUCUUAUUAAAAUUAAUAAAUUACUCUUUAUAUUAAAAAAUUAAAAUUUAAAAUAAAGAAUGAUUGAUGAUGUUCAUUUAUUAAAAUAAAAAUAAAUUUUAUGAAGUCUAUAUAUUUUUAAAAUUAAAAAAUAAGAACUUAAUUUCGUAUGAACUGUAUUCACUACUUAGUAUUCUUAAAAGUUAACGGAGAAGAAAAAGAAAAAAAAAAGUGUAAAUGAACUGUAUUCACCUAAGUUUCAAACAUGUGGCUCAAUCUGAAUUCGCUUUUUUCAAAAGUAAAUACAAAAGAAAAUAUAAAGAAAAAAAAUUAAACGAGACAAAAAUCUGUGGCGUGGGUCAUUCAUAUCUUUUUCCAUUUCUUUUGUAGAGGUACAUAGGGUAGAUAUUUUGAAGUGAAAAGCAGAGCCUUUACUGUUGUUUGCCUUAUCAUCUUUUAAAAUUGGAGUUAUUAUUCUUUUAUUUUUAAGGAUGGUAGCCAACUCAUCCGUGUUCUCUAUUAUUGAAUUUAAAGAUCAAUGAUUUAUGUUAAUAAAUUUUUUGUUAACUAUCAAAGUUUUUAUUUCAAAAUUACUGCUAUAAUUCAUUAAUUUUUCAAUUUUUCCUUUUUCUAUUCACACAACAGAUUGAUUUGUCCUCCAAAAAAAUGUAAUAGGUCGUUUAAUAUUGUAACAUCAAGAAACUUAUAAUAAAUUUUUAAAGAGAUAAAUAGAGAAUGUCAGUCUCGCAUCUACUCAAAAUUAAUAAAUAUACCACUAACUUCUUAUUAUUUUUAUAAUAACUAAUAACUUUUUUAGCAUUAUAAUUUUAUAGUAUUAUCCUUGUUUGUAAGUACAUUUUUUAUUCAUAUUUUUUAUAAAUUAAUUAAAUCAUAUCAAUAAAAAUUAAAAUAACACAAUAAGUUUUGGAGUGAAUAAAAGAUUGAAAAUAAAAAUAUUUUUCUUAUAUUUUUUGUUAUUUUUAAAUGUUUUUCAUAUAAUAAAUGUACAUUUUAUAUUCUUAAGAUGAAUUUUGAGUAAAUGACUCAUUUACUCAUUUUUUUUCUUUAAAUUUUUGUUACUAGGAGGAUUUUUAGAUAUAAUGAAAAUUGUAAGGUAGUAAGUAAUAUAUAAUAAUUUUAAUAGAGAAAAAUAAAAAAUCUCUUAUUUUAAAAUAUAAGGAGAAAAAUAAUUAAUUUUAAAAAAUUUUAGAAGAUAUUUCAAUAUGCUGUGGAUCACACCCUCGAAUCUUUGUCGUCUUAGUCAAUUAAAAGGACAGAAUAUUGAGUGUGAAGACUCAACUGAUUGUUAAUUUCACAGCAAUUGUCUUUUUUUUAUUCUUUCUUUGUUUUUCCUAAUUAUUUUGAAAUAGUAGGUAGCAAUUGCUUACAUCAAAAUAUCUAAACUCACUCAGCAAAGUAUCCGAGGCCAAAAUGUCAAAACGUGGGACACCCAUACAUCUAAUUACAAAGUCUAAAGUUAAUGAAAAGAAAAAAAGAAAAAGUAUAAAUGAACGGUAAUCACCUCAUUUUCAAACAUCUAAUUCAACAUGAAUUUCUUUUUACGAAAAGUAAAUUUUCUCCCGGAUUGUCCUCAUUACAUUAAACGAAUGAUGACGACGCUCUGUCCGUUUCUGACUCUCUGCUUUGCUCUCUCACAUCACGAGACACCUCGUUUCUAACUGGGGUACCACCAUCAUAUUUAACUGUCGGGUCUUCCUACUAUGCACCUAGUGUAUGCAUGAUUCUUUGUGACAUGACAUAUAGCCAAUUAAAUUCUGACAUGCUUGCAAUAAAGACUGUUAAAGUGACCGGUUAUUCCGGUUGAUUUCACAAGAUCUUUUGUUUGUGUGUUUGUGUUCCAAGUUGUGUACUCUAUGUUACGACUCCUCUGAUUUUUUUUUUUUUAAGUCUGUUAUACAGAGAUAUUACUGACAUUACAUCAAACAUUACAAUUAAUAUUUACAAUCAUACUAUAUAACUGGGACCACCACCAUACAUUGACACACUGAAGUAUAUGCCCAGAUAUUUUAAACCCUCGAAUUAUACACAGAUAUUACUGACAUUACAUCAGAUAUUACAAUUAAUAUUUACAAUCAUACUAUAUAACUGGGACCACCACCAUACAUUGACACACUGAAGUAUAUGCCCAUAUAUUUUAAACCCUCGAAUUAUACACAGAUAUUACUGACAUUACAUCAGACAUUACAAUUAAUAUUUACAAUCAUACUAUAUAACUGGGACCACCACCAUAACAUUACAAUUAAUAUUUACAAUCAUACUAUAUAACUGGGACCACCACCAUACAUUGACACACUGAAGUAUAUGCCCAGAUAUUUUAAACCCUCGAAUUAUACACAGAUAUUACUGACAUUACAUCAGAUAUUACAAUUAAUAUUUACAAUCAUACUAUAUAACUGGGACCACCACCAUACAUUGACACACUGAAGUAUAUGCCCAUAUAUUUUAAACCCUCGAAUUAUACACAGAUAUUACUGACAUUACAUCAGACAUUACAAUUAAUAUUUACAAUCAUACUAUAUAACUGGGACCACCACCAUACAUUGACACACUGAAUAUCAGACAUUACAAUUAAUAUUUACAAUCAUACUAUAUAACUAGGACCACCACCAUACAUUGACACACUGAAGUAUAUGCCCAGAUAUUUUAAACUCUCUCUAAUAUUCGAGGGGUGCCUGCUCCACUCACAUUUCGUAAGGGAGAGACUGUCUCCAUUCAAUUAAUUAAUAAUUGAGGAAGAACUGAAACUAACCUCUAUAAUGCUCUUAUGGAGGCUCGAACCCUUGCACUCAACAUUAUAAGUACAAGGCUUCUCCCAUUGGACCAAAGGCCUAUUGGUAUGAGUUCUCUGAUUAAGUCUGAUAUUAUCUGUUGCUCAAUAAUGUUACAGGUUUUAUAAUAUGACUGGUACGAUCGCUGUCACAAAUUUAGAACGAAAAGUUUCCAAUAAAAUAAGUUAUUUAAUUAAUUAAAUAAGAAUAAAAUGAAUUUGUGAAAAAAAUUUAAAUUUAAUUUUGAAUUAUUUUGACCAAAAUUUAAGUUUUUUUUAAUUUGUUUAAGAAAAUGUGUUGUAAUUGUCUUGUUUUAAUUGGAAAAUCAAUGAAAAAAUUAUGUAACAGACAAAAAAAAAAAAAAAAAAAAGCAAAACGGUUUGUUUUGUAUGGAGGCCAUAGAUUCUAAUAUUUCCUUCACGAAAACUACAAAAAAAUUAUCAAAGGCAUCAAUUUCUACACUCUCACCGAGCAAUACUCUUAACCCAGAAGAAAGUGUAUAAACCAACCCCAAUCAGUCCAUCAAUGUCGUCAACCUCAUACAGCAUAAAAAAAAAUCUGUGUCCAUUAAACCGCCAUUUAAACCGUCUUUAUUGAACCAUUAGACUAUUCGUGUCAUCUUCCCAUCUCGUUGUAGUAUUUUACCUUUCAAAUUUAGUUAUCAAUUCUGGAAAAUGGGACCAAUCUGCAAGUCUUUAAAAUAGAAAGAAACUUUAAUUGGGCACUAUGUUCACGGUAGUGGACCCAGCAGCAUUAAUAUUUAGGGUGGAGCUAUUUAUAUUUUAAACAUUCUAAUUUUAAUAAGAAUAUAUAUUACAAAUGAUCACGACAUUGGGGACCAAUCACGUUGACAAGCAUUUUUUUUAUUUAUUAAUAAAGUGCUCUGAAAAGAGCUAAGGCAAUACUAAACGGGGGUGGUCCCGUUUUUAAUCUAACAUAGAGUCUUAAAAACCUUGUCAGUGGCAAAUGAUCACGACAAGAAAUCUGAAGGAGAAACAGCAGAGCUCAACAAAUCACUAAGAGAAAAUAAGACCAAUAACCAAGCAGAUAAAAGAAAAGCAAAAUAACCCAUCUCAAAAUCACCACAUGCACUAUUUAAGGGGUUUGUGAUAUGGGUUUAAAAAUAAUUUAACAAGUGCCACCUGUGAAUUGUCAGAGAUUGUAUCUUCAUACACAUGUCAAAUUUUCAAGUCCAACAAAUUGUUAUCUUUCUAAAGAGGCUAAUAUUAUUAUUAUCUAUGCAUAGCAUGCUAUAAACAAUUCAUAUUACUAGGGCCUUUGUUUUCUGUACACAACAUAUGGACAGAGGAACAAAUCCCUGAGCUAAAAUCAUCAUAUUCCAAAAUAUUCUAUUAAAUCAACACCACAAAACGCGAACGCUAAACAGAAUUGGAGCAAUUUACCAAAGCUAUUUGUCACGCAAAGCACUAGUACCUCAGAACCCAAUUUGCAAAAAAGCACCAAAAAUGAAAAAUAACAAAUGCCCAGAUGAAAAAUCAGGAAAAAAAAAUGCUCAAAUCCAAAUUACAACCCCAUAAGCUGAGUCGUUCUAUUCGAACUGAAUUAAAAAAAAUUAAUUAGGGAGAUUGACCUCAAACUUUGGAAACAGAAGCGACAUCGAUCUGUUUCUUGUCUGGAGUGUCCAUUUCUAUAAUCUACUUUGUCCGUUUUCAGUUGCUCUGCCACAAAGCUUCUUCCCUCUGAAGCUGAAGCUCACACACACUUGCAAAACGAAAGCAUUUUUUAUUGAUUGAGAGGCGGGAAGGCGGGAAAAUGAGAGAAAUUUGCAUUUGUUUUGUCUUGGUUUGGUCAUACCUGUGCGGGCCCCAGCUUGACAAGCGGUAUUAUUACUAUUUGUAUAAUUUACAUGACGCGUGUCACGCAAUGACGAUAAAAUGUAUAUAUUGUUAAUUUUUCACUUAACAUUGAAUGAUUGAAAUAUCAUAUAAUUUUUCCAAUUUUAUGGUUAUUUUCUCGCCCUUAUGCCACAUUCUUUUGAUCAAAUAAUACAGUAAAACUUUUCUAUAAUCAUAAUAUUAGAGCCAAAUUAACUUUGUUUCUGUAAAGAGGCUAUAGCUUAAUAAAGGUAAAAUUAUAAAAAUUAUUAUUUUGACUCAGUUAUCUUUAGUGCAAGUGAUAUAAAGUACAAAUAUAUGAUAAUUAAUUAAUGAACUAUGUCAAAUACAAUAUGCUGACAAUGAUAAAAAAGAUAGACAUAAUUUCAAGAAACUAAUACAUAUAUUUAUGUAGUGCUGGGAUUAUACAAAAUUAUCUUAAAAGUGUAAAGAGUAAAGUAUUAUUCUAAUUAAUUUAAAAAAAUUAUUUUUUCUUAAUCUUUAAUGCAACAUAGCUUUUUUUUUUUUUUUCUUAGCAACAAAGCAUUGUUCCACAUAAUUAUUAUUGGAUUCAAAUCAUGUCCUAGGCAUUUUUUCUUCUAGUCGUCUUAAACUUUUAAUGAUUUAUUGGCAUGCGUCAAUCAUUAAUGAAAUUAAAUAACUAAGACUUUGUUUUAAUUAACGUUUACAUAAAUAGACAUCAAAACUCACAUGUGAUUCUUAUCAAAUUUUUUCCUGCAAAUUCUUUUCCUCUCAACUAUUCAUAUUUUGACAUUAAUUUCCAGCAAAUUAUUAAAAAAAAGAAGAAGCGUAAAAUGGAGAAAAGUGAUUGACAACAAGGUUUGCAUCUUAAUUUCAAAAAUUUCCUUUCUUUGUUAUUUUUGUGGGUUCUACAAUUGUUGUUUUCACUCUCAGCUGCAGUUCAAUGAACUCUAUUAAUAACCAUGAAGCUUAAUGUAUCAAUUCCAGUACGAGAAGUCCUUCUACGCAUGUUACAACACUUUUUUGUCAUUAUAGGUUGCAAAUGUUCCGUAAUGUACUCAUUCAUAUAACGGAAACGCUAUUAUCAAUAAUGAAAGUUGACUAAGUUUGUAAAUUCUAUUUAACGAAAAAGUAACAUAAAUUUAGUUGAACAAGAGGUAAUUAAUAUGUAAUCUAUGAAACUAGGGUGUGACUAAGUUACAUAGUAAUGUAACUUACAUGAACACAAAAAUAAUUAGUUUUUAAACUACAAGUAAUUUUGGAACUGCUCUUAAAUUGAUAUAAGUUUUAUUAUUAUGUAACUUAGCAAGGUCAGGUAUUUUAAUAAUAGCACAUCACUAUUGUUUCAUGUGAAUGAUGCAAUUGGAUUAGCCAAUACAUACCGUCAUCCCCGGGAGAUGCUAUGGCAAUAGCUUACUCUAUCGUGCCAAUGUCAUUAGUAUUAAUCUGUUGAACCUAAGACCAUAUCUAAGCUGAUCUAGAUUCCCCAAGAUCGCACACCACACAGUGAUUAAUGAAUCAAGAACAAUAAACCAUCAAAGAAUCGCAAACUUACAUGUCGGGUUACAUGUAAUAAAUGUUUUAAUUAUUAGAUGAUUCAUAAUGUUAGACCAUUUUUUGUAUGUUUUGUAAUCUACGUUUGAUAAUUGAAUUAGCUGAUAAACACUUGAAUAAUAUUAUUUUAUUAACUAUGUCAUUGAUCCCCAGGAAAAAAAAAAAAAAACCCAAUUUGGGAUGUUAUACAUUACUUUUUCAUUACUUCCCAUUUUAGAUUAAUAUUUAUCACAUAUAUUCUUAGUAACUUGUAACCCUUUUUGCUAAGGGUGAAAUGUGUUUGUUACCCCUUCUAUUUCUGAGAUUGUCCUUACAAUAAGGAUGCCGGCCCCAAUGUCAAAAACUGCUAUCUCUAGGUGUAAAUUCCUUAUAAAAUUCUUUUUUAAUUGAAAUUACUUAAAUAAUUGAAGAUAAAUUAUUUUUUAUUUCAUUCAAAUAAAAAAAUCAAUUAAACACUUAAAUAAGCUAUCCUUUUAAUUUUUUUUUUUUACACCCAUCCAGUUUCAUAAUUUAUAUUUAUAAUUUAAAUUUUAAUGGAAAAUAUUUUUUUGAAAAAUUUUAAGAAUUAAGAAUUAUGGGGAUAAAAAUUAUGUAAUAAGACCAAAAUAAUUUAAAAUUUUAAAAUUUGCAUGUAUUAUAAACAAAAACUUGAAAGAAAUACUCUUUUCAGGGUGAGAUUUAAUCAGAAAAAGAUUAAUUUUCAUUUAUGGAUCAGUAUUUUAUAAAUUAAACAGAGGUAUUUUAAGAAAUAGAAUUCAAAAGGCAUGGGAACAAGGGCAUGGCAUUGGGUUUCCUUUUGUUUUGUAUGGAUUGGGAAAAAUACACGGACAGACAAAGGGAACAGUCAUUAUAAUGAUGUGGAACUUGUCGGAGAUUCCCUGCCCAUUUGUAGCUUAGACUCCUGGGGUUUUGUUCAUGUCUUUUCUGUAUCCCACUUUCUCAUGCAGCAGAUGUACAUAUGAUGAGAUGAAAACAACAGCAAAAAUUGCUGUCUCAUAAGAGAAAUAGUCAUACAUAGUUGGUUAGGCCUCCAGUCCAUUAACUUAAUAAUCAAUUUUAUGAAAAUUGAUUAUCUCAUUGGAAUUACAUAGAUAUUGGAAAACAUUACUCCAGCCCCACCAUCCCAACCAUUUACUUAGUUCAUCAGUAAAAGCUGGAUUUACCAUUUGUUCUUGAGAUUCAAAUUAAGGCAACAAGUUGCUCAUUCUAUAUUAUCUAUGUAAUCCUGUAAAAGUGAAGGGCGUUUAGAUGUGGAAAAACCUUACCCCUGCCGCAACACCUCAAACAGAUUGUGAUCAGACAAGACUUAGUUCAUCAUUAGUAGUAGUUGGAGCUUCCAUUUGUUCUAGAGAUUUAAAGGCAGCAAGCUGCUUCCUCAGUGCUACUAAUUCUUCCCCGGCAUUGCAUAUGUAGCCUGAGGCUUGUCUACCAGACAAAGUUGCUCCUUCCAUACCAUCUAUGUAAUCCAGUGAGAGUGAAACCAUUUAGAAGACGUAUCUCUUUCUUUCCAAUAUUUAGAAUGAAACAAUUAUAUACAGUUACCUGUUUUGCAUAUGAGCCGGCGAGGAAGAAGUUCUUCACUGGUGUCAUUGGAUCACGUCUGAAGGGGUCUUUACCAGGUCCCUCACCACACAAAGAUUGCCCGAUUUUGACGAAAGAUGACCAAAUAACUUCUAAACCUUGGGAUGAUGGAAAUGGAGCUAAAACCUAAUAAAAGGAACCGUGAAUGGAUAGUAUGGACUCAUGUAUAUUAUCCAGAAAGUUGCAUGACCUUUUGUGGUACUCAGGUCACUAAAAAACGUGAGAUAAACAUCUAGGAUAAGAAAAGCAAAAAAGCAUAACCUAAUACGUAUUAUAUGAAUUGAAGGUGUCACUGAACGCUACCAACCUGCUUUGCCACUCUCCUUAUGAUUUCAUCAUUUGGUAAGGGCAUAUAAGGAUCUCCAGGCGUCAAAACGCAUCUGAAAGAUAAUAUGGUUAUAGUUAACAAAAUGGAAUACAAAGACACUUGGCAAAAGGAAGUCAAUCAGAUUCCAUGCACAAAAAAUAACUAAUAAUGACGAGGAUAAGAAAUUUUGCACACUGGUGCCUUCUCUAUAGUAGUCUUCUGGCGAAGUAAGUGCUAGAUCUGCAAAGCAAGAGAAAUCUGCAUCUGGAGUAUAUAAAAGGUUAUCUAACUCCACAGCUUGCCUCAAUUGCCUACAUGUUCAAAACAAGGAUCUAUUAAAAAAUGGAAAUUUCUUCAAUGAAUUAGUGAAGGUAAGUGAAGUGAAACCGGAUUUCUUAAGCCUUCACAGAGCAUCUUGUGUUUGAAUUCCGGUAACCUCAGAAAAGAUUAGAGCAUCACCUUGACCGUUCUAGGUCUUGCAACUCAGUAACCCAACCAUUGUAUCUAAGCUGCACUGUGACAACAUGAACUCCAACGAGCUCAUAAAUAUUGUUGAAAAAUUUCAUUUCCCUCCAGCCUCCACAAUGAUGAAAGCAAUCUUUUAAUUCCAGGGACAUCACAUGCUGCCAUUAAAUAAGAAGUUGAAUAAAGAAAAAUCGUUCAACUAAAUGAUUCAGGAGUUAAAACAAAAUGUAGAAGUAGAAAUAAAUAACGAAGAUUUAACCAUAAACCUGCAACAUUUGCAUCAGCUUGCACAACCUUCUUGUCAGUGGCCUGAAAUAGAAUGAGAACUUGAAAGACAGUAAGCAUAAAAGAAUAAACUCAAAGAAGCUGCUUCUUACAGAUGAUAUAAACAACAAAUUUACAAAUGUCAGGUCAUUGCAUUAGCUCCAUGCCUCCAUCAGAGGGAAUAUUAAUAGAUGCAUAAAAAAAUAAUUAGAGCCACAUGUGAAACAAUUUACCUUAGACAUGGCAAGUGCUUUAACAAAUGUUUCCCCGUUAGCAGAUUUAUCAUAAAGUAUCUCUCUGCAUCCCCACCUAAGAUGGAACCUGUUCUCACAAGAACAGAUCCCAAGGUUGGGAAAAUCAGUUCAUCAUAGGAGAAAACAAAUAUGAUUAACAAAUCGCUACAAUGGUGUGAACCCGUAAAUACAAACGUACCUGCCCCCUUUAUCUGUGAUAUAUUUUCUUAUGGGCCCACUCAAAUAUACAUCCGGAGAACCCUUGAGCAUCAGCAAUAGGGAAGCCUCGGUCUUAGUCGCAAAUAGUGCAAGUAUAGUAAGCAUACAAUGAGCACUGAUGUUAUCACAAUCAAUAAACCCAAGGGCAUACGCAACAGGAUCCCACAUUCUUUGGAUACUUGUCCGUGUACCACCCUUGGACAAAAACCAAUCAGAGAAGCUUAUGUGUAAGAAGAAAUGAAGUUUUAGGUAAAAUAACAAUUUGUAGGAACAGGGAUUGAAAUUCAACAAACAAGAAAAUAUGAUGUCAUUCUUACACUAUCCAAAUCUCAUAUGUCCUUCAAGGCUCCAUCAGGAUCAACAAGUGCCUUUACAACAGGACUCAGAGCAAGAGCAAGAGCAUUUCUUGCUUUAUCAUAAGUCUGCACUUGAGCAAUAUACCAGGCAAAGUACAUCAAAAGAGAAUCCAAAAGAGGCAAGAAGCUUCAACAUGAAAAAAGGAGUACUGCCUCAUCAUACUGCUUUGCAAUCACAGUGCAAAAGAUAACAUCAACAAAUCAAAAUCAAGCAAAAAUCCAUAUGCACUACCUUAAGCUGAUUUGUAGACAAAAGUGUGCGAAUCCCAUGUAACGGAGCUUCAAUCGGAAACCGGAAAUCAAGUUCUGGAGUUGAAAAUCAAAAUCAUGAACCAAAUCAGAGUUAUUAUUGAAUUUGACAAUCCAUAAACCAAUAGAAGGUGAUGUCAAACCAUCAAGCAUAACUACCCACCAAGCAUAACUAUUAGUAGUUUUAAGUGAUCAAGAAAUAACCAUACCACCAAUUUCACUACCCUUAUUUACAAAUGUAUGAGUAUGAUCCUUCAUGAGUAAGUUUUUGUCCGCACCUACCUGUCGAAAUGCUUGAAAAACUAUCAGAUCAUAAACACAGGCUCCAGUUAAAGAGGAUCUAUGACUCUGAUCCAUCAUGUUAUUUGAACAACAUUUUCGAAUUUUGGUACAACCCUAAGCUAUAAUCAGUUAUCAUCACUACAAAUGAUAUGGUCAAGAGGAAUGAUAGUUCUUGUUUCAAGUAUCUCAAAUCGUAAUUCUUUUGCAUGGCUUGUGUGCUUUUAUAAUCAUUCAAACACGCAUAUCCACAACUAAGCAAGCUUUACCAUUUUCAUCAAUCGGAAGAGAUUAUUGUAGCAUCCAAAGAAAAUGUGCAGACCCAUUUCAAUAUGGUUUUCAAGUUUAUCGACAAAUGAACCCACUUUACCACCAAUAAAAGACCUCGACUCAUAUAUAUCCACCUGGAAGAAAGGAAAAGUUAAAAAAAAAAAGUGUUGAGAAUUAUGUUUGAUUAAACUUAAUUCUUUCCCCAAGAAAUCUCCACACACUGAUCUUAUUGAAACAAGAAUGAAUACCCAAGAUAGUAAUCAGAAAUAAAGCAAGAGUGUUUAGACAGAAAUAGAGAUUAAAAGCAUAGAAUAAACUGGACACAAGGAGAAUUCUAGAGGUUCGGCUGGGUAGCCUACAUCCUCUUGAGAAACAGAAGCCGUAGCUUUUCUUUGAUGCUUAACAGAUUACAAGACUUAGAGAGUUUGUUACAAAGAACGUUGGUUAUCUAAACUUGGCCUUGGGGCCCUUAUAUACAGCUCUCGAAGGAUCCAGAUAAGUGUGCUGCUUGCCAGCUCUUGUUCUGGGUUUGUUGAAACAAACCCAGAAAGUUCCCGCCAAGGCUAACCAUUGAUAACAGCCUUUUAAUUAGAAACGACACUUGCUGCUGCCGUUUAACUAAAGCUUGAAUCCGUAGAUGCUCGAGCAAUUCACGUGCAUUACUUAAGCUAUUCGUGUGACAGGAUAUGGUUGUCAUAUGCGCAGCAUUAUCUGUCUGAUUGCUUUGUCGUUUCUUGAUUAAUACUAGACACGACAAAGUCAUCUUCUCCGUAAGCUCUUAAUUCAGGCUCACAAUUAACAAAAAGGAAAAAAAAUUCUUCUAAUUUCUUUCACCAUCAACAAAAUCAGAAAAACACAUACUAGUUCAAAAUAAAAUAAAGUUUGUGAAUUGAAAUAAUGCCAACUCCUAAGAAAAAUUAUGACUGCUGAUAUUUUUUCCGAAAUGCUGAUAAAAGCCUCUGCUAUUUACUUUGAAAAAAUUGAGGUUAGAAGCCAAUUUACUUGAAAUUUUGAGUUUAGGCAAGAGGAUGAAUGGUAAAAGUGAAACAUAUUAGGGAAAAAUGUACUUCAGAGGCCAAUGAAAGCAUUCAGAAGAUUGAAAACUAAAUGAGCAAAACCUCGUGGCCAUGAUCCAACAAUUCCACUGCUGUUGACAUGCCUGCAAGCCCAGCUCCAAUAAUAGCCACUUUCAGCUUUGGUCCUCUAUAAUGUUCCAGUUCUGGUGGAAACAAACCCUUGGGAGCUGCCAAGUAUACCAUCCAAUUAUCCACAGCGAUAAUGGAAAUAUAUAUGUGUUUGAAAGUACUAAAUUCCUAAACAGGAAAUGUAUCCAAAAAGAGACACAAAGCAGAAUUUCGUAAGCAUUUCAAUUCCCAAUAAAUUUCGAGAAUACAAAAUACUCGGUCUGUUCUUCAAUUCCUUUAAUAAAAUUUCCACUAGAGGCUACGCAAGCCACUCAAUAACACGCCAAAGCCAGAUUUUAAACGUUAUCUUUAUCUUUAACUCCAAUCCACAAACAAUUCUGCCAGAAAUUCAAUCCAAAAUUGUUCAAGUGCACCGCCAAUUCUCCAUCAAUUCCCUCAAAAAUUCAUAAUUGGCAAACAAUACAAACCAAAAAGAGCUUCCGGCAAUAAACGCAUAAAAAUCCACCAAGCAACAUAAAACAAAAUACCCAGAAACCAGAAAAGCCAAAAGAUCAAUGCUUGUGCAAACAAGCAAAUCAAAUAAAACAAAAAAAAGAGGAAUUUACCCUUAACGCUCAUAUCAGAAAUAUUAGUAUCCAAAGAAGCCCGUACACGGAAUCUUGGACCCUUCACUUGAACCCGAGACCAUGUAACGCCAGUAACUGAAGUUGCAGGAAACAGAACUGAAGAACCCAUAUUGCAAAUCCUGAGCUGAAAUCAAGAAUUUCAAUUGGAACUCAAUUCAGCUCAACCCAGCUGAGCUCUCUUUUGCUUCAAUAACAAAGUGUUUUUCUUUUAUAUCAACAAAGAUUUGUCAACAUCAACAAAAUUUAACUAAGAAACUAGAAUAAUAAAAGAGGGCACCUUUGAGUUUAAGAAUCUAACAGGAUGCUAAGGAAGAGAGUUUUGUCAGGGAACUGUUUCGGAGAGGUUGGCCAAGUGCUUUUUUGUUUUUUAUUUUUAUUUUUUUCUCAUUUUGGCCUUUUUCAUUAAUACACAACAUCAGUACUCGCGAAGAGCACAAAAUGUUGGUGACUUUGUCACUAACGAUAGUGGAUGGAGCGACCAAAGCAACCAACUAAAUUUUAAAGAGAGGGAAUGACAAGCAAUAUUUUAAUUGGGUGAUUAAUUAAUGUAUUAUCAAGCAAUUGCAUUUAUUUAUUUAAACGAUGUCCUUAUCUUUGGACAAGGUUGAGGAAAGACCGCGAUGUUGUGUUGUCACGUAUUUUUGGGCCGACCGUUUCCAGUUUCGGCUUAAAUGAGGCUUUUGUAUUUUUGUGCCGUUUUUUUACUGAGUAUUUUGUCCUAAAUUACACAAAGAAAAUGUGUAUUUGUUAAAAAAUCUGUUGAAACUCAGAACCUCUUAUGUGGACUUUAGAAUGCGACAGUAUUGAUAUCUAAGUUCGUAAUAUCAAGAGUGAUAAAACGGAUAAAUGAAUAGAAAUGUAAAUAAAUUUGGUUAAAAUUUAAUGGAUUCGAAUUCGGUAUGUUAUCAAACAAAUCAUAAUCUUAGGAUUUGGAUUCAAUUCAUUUAUUAAUUGGAUACCUAUUUAAUUUGUUUAUUAUACAAAAUUAAAUGAAUUGAAUUGAAUUGAAUUUAGAUUCAUUUACAAUUUGUUUAAUUUAUUUAUGUAAAAUUAAUAAAAAAUCAAUCAAAUGUGGAUUUGUUUAAAAAAUAAUAAUAAUUAAUAGCAAAAAUCAAGCAAAGUAAAAUAGAAAAAAAAUCAUAAAAUUAACAACCUACAAAAUAAAAACGAAUUAGUGACCGCAAACUUGAAUUCAAUUCAUUUAUUUAACGAAUUGAAUUGAAUUCACUUAUUUGUUAAUGAAUCAAUUUUUUUUAAAAUUCAGACCUAUUUAACUUGAAUCAAAUAAACACAUCCUAAUCUAAAUUGUCACCUCUAAAUAUGAUGGACCUAUUUAAAAUAUAUGAAUACCAAAAUGUGUGGGCUAAAAAGUGGUUUACCAUGCAACAAUACGAAGUUUAAGCUCUCUUUUCUUAUGUCAUCCAAGGCAUUGCCUGGAUCGCCAAACACUAGAGUUCAAGUCUACAAUAAAGAAUCGAAAUUUUUCUUUGUAAAUGUUCGUAAGUAUUUAGCAUAGAUUUUUAAGUUAUACUUGAUAGAUCCCCUACCAUAUUUGCUAUAAUAUUUCUCUUCUUUUAAUUUAAAAGUAAAUCAUAAUAACGGAUUUGUAAAGAAAUUAAAUUUCCAGUAAUUAACUGAAAAAAUAAAAAAGAUGGAUUAAGCGAAAGAAGUUAAUAUAGAGUAAAGUCGAGUACUUGACAAUUAAAGUAAUUUUACUCGAGGUUGAGUAAGGAUAGUAUGAUACUUUCCCAGGUUUUCCGAGGACAUUCAUGUAACAUUGGACUAUUGACUAUAGUUAGAGAGAAGUCCAAGGAUGUAAGUGAUGAUGAUAGAUUCACAAUUCUUUUGAAGAAAAUAUUUUAUAUAAACUUAAUUAUAUGGUAUAAAAUGAUUGGCCUUAAUAAAAUUAAAAAAUAAUAAAAAUAAUACACGCCUGGGUCAUGCAAUAUUUUCAACCAACUAAUUUACACGCAAAAUUAAACCUUAUGAGUGAGAACAUUAUGGUACAUUUAUAUGCUAGCAAAAACUCCGCAAAAAUUUUCCGAAAUGUGAAAAUGAACACUUUUAACAAUGACACAAAAUUCCCACCCCCCAUGAUUAAUUCUCUUAUCUGGAAUAUUAGGGGGAUUGGAAAAGCCCCUGCGGAAAUUAGUUCGAUUACAUCGAUUGUCUUUGAUUUGUGUGUUGGAGCCAUUUAUUUCCAUUGAUCGUUUAGAGGCUCUUCGGGUGCGGCUUGGGAUGGAUCAUGCUUUAUCUUCCCAAUCUGGGAAGAUUUGUGUUUCUGGUCCGCACCUUUCUCGGUGGAGCUUCUGCAUGACAUGGGCAAGGUGAUUCAUUGUCGGGUUAGUCACUCUUUUUUUCCUGAUCCUGUGUAAGUUUCAUAUGUGUACGCUAGUUGUUAUAUGGAUGUGCGAGAGAAUUUAUGGGAUGCUCUUAAGACCUUUGCGGAUAGUCAUGAUCUACCUUGGAUCGUGGGGGGAGAUUUUAAUAUGAUUCAGGCGGUCUCGGAGAUUUCUGGCGGGCAUCCACAUACUCGGGGAGCUAUUGAUGCCUUUAAUUUAGCGUUGCUUGAUUGUGGUUAGGAGGAUGCUGGCUUUGUUGGCAGUCCUUUUACUUGGACUAAUGGGCGCCCAUGGAGGCAGCUUGAUAGGGUGGUCUGCAACGCUCACUAGUAUGCUUUCUUCUCAGUAUUUCGGGUCUCUCAUCUGAAUCGUACUGCCUCAGAUCAUUCUCCUUUGCUUUUUCUUGGUGAUCGGGGCGCUGUUAGAGGACCUUCACGGUUUAAAUUUCUUCAUGUGUGGCUCAAGCAUCCAGGUUUUCUUGAUACUAUGCGGCAGUCUUGGGGUGCUCCGGUGGUUGGUUCUGGAAUGAGAGCCUUUCAACAGAAACUCACUCGGUUAAAGUUCUGCCUAAAAGCUUGGAACAAAGAUGUCUUUGGUAACGUUUUUUCUCAGGUCCAACAAGCAGAGGAGGACAUGGCUCAGAAGGAAAGAUUGUAUGAUAUUUCUGGCUCCGUCGAUUACAGAGCUAAUUUUUCCGAGGCCAGGGCCUGGUUGCAGCAUGCUUUGCUUCGUGAGGAGAUUUUUUUUACGUCAGCAGUCCAGUGUUCGAUGGGUUCGAGAGGGCGAUGCUAAUACCUGUUUUUUCCAUGCGAUGAUUCGGAAAAAGUGCCAGUUGUUUCAUAUUCACAGGAUUCGGGUUGAUUGUUUCUUAGAGUGGAUUUCUGAGCCCUCCGCCAUUGUAGAUUAUGAUGUCGAUUAUUUUCAAGAUUUAUUAACGGGAGAUGCCAGUCAGUUUCAGCAGACGGACUUCGAAGUUAUUCCAUCUCUUGUGUCUGUAGAGGAUGAUGUAGAGUUAUGUAGAGAGCCGGAUAUGGAUGAGAUUAGACAUGCGGUAUUUUCUAUUGAUCCAGAUAGUGCUCCUGGACCGGAUGGUUUUUGUAGCAGAUUCUAUCAGUCGUGUUGGGACAUCAUUUGCCGUGACUUGUUAAAUGUUGUCCUCGAUUAUUUUAGAGGUUCGGCAUGCCCAGAGGUUUCCAAAGUACUUUAUUGGUCUUUCUGCCUAAGAAGGCUUCUCCGGCUUCUUGGGCUGAUUUCCGUCCGAUUAGUCUUUGUAAUGUGAGCAACAAGGUCCUUACUAAGUUGCUUGUCCCAUCUCCUGCCUCACAUUAUUUCUCAUACUUAGAGUGGUUUUGUUCCUGGUCGAGUGAUUCAUGAUAACGUGCUCCUGGUUCAGGAGUUCGUUCACGAUCUCAAUCGCCAUAGUCGAGGGAACAAUGUGGUGCUGAAAUUAGAUAUGGCCAAGGCAUACGACGUAUGUCAUGGCCUUUUAUUAUUCAGAUGAUUCACUGUUUUGGGUUCUCGAAGCGUUGGAUUUCUUUGAUUCGGCGAGCGAUUUACGGUCCUUAGUUUUCAGUGCUUAUGAACGGGGUCAGUAACAUAUAUUUCUAGUCCCAGAGUGGUCUUUGGCAGGGUGAUCCCCUUUCCCCUUGCUUAUUUAUUAUUGCUGCAGAAUUUUUAUCUCGAGGCUUGGAUCAUUUGUAUUCUCAGUAUCCCUCUGUUCGGUAUUGUUAUACUGCACCUACUUCUAUCUCCCACUUGAGUUUUGCGGAUGGUAUUGUUAUUUUUGCAAAUGAGAGCCGAUCUAGCUUACAGUGGCUUGUGGAUUUCUUACACCAUUAUAAGGUGAUCUCAGGGCAGUUGAUUAGCGAGGACAAGAGUAACUUCUACAUUAGGAAGUCAGCUUCGACCUCCCGCUAGGCCAUUGUUCACUCUGUGACUAGCUUUCAGUGACGUCAGCUUCCGUUUACUAAUCUUGGGUGCCUGAUCUUUACAGGGUACCUCAAGAUCUCCUAUUUUGAUGACAUGGUCCGGAAGGUCAAGGAUAAGAUUUCUGGCUGGGCUAACCGUCUGCUUUCCUUUGGUGGGAACCUCGUCCUCAUUCGCCAUGUGUUAUCCUCUAUGGCCCUGCACUUAUUUCACGUCCUCCGCCCUUUUAUAACGGUAGUUUAACGCCUAGAGCGAUUGUUCACCCGAUUCCUAUGGGGUGAUUUUGAGGGAAGACACCAGAUCCACUAGUGUAGAUGGCCAAAGGUUUAUUAUCCAGUUGACGAGGGUGGCCUCGAUAUACGAUCUUUUGAUGAUAUGGCGGAGGCUUUUGAGAUUAAACUUUGGUGGCGGUUUUGUCAGCAGAGUUCCUAUAUGAAGUCUAAGUAUUGCAGAUCUACGCAACCAAGCCUUAUCCAGUUUCGCUAUCUUGCCUCUCCUUUAUGGAGACACCUUUAUAAGAUUCGUUGCACGGCUAAACCUCAUGUGCGUUGGCUCGUUGGGAGUGGAGAUUGUAGCUUCUGAUAUGAUUGUUGGCUGAGUUCUUGCCCUUUAUUUUUUUAUAACCCUACAGCGGCUUUGUCGGUGCCGGUCUAGUUCUUUGGCAGGGUACAAUCUGGGACAGAGGCAAACUAAGGGACGUCUUGCCUUCAUCUAUUGUUGAGCAGAUCCUAUUAGUGCCUAUUUCUAGUGGGAAUCCAGACCUGAUUCGUUAGGACCUUGCCCCCGACGACACGUUUAACUUGCGGACUGCUUGGGAGCUUGUACAGUGCUCUAGGUCGAGGGAUGAGCUUUUCUCGAUGAUUUAGUAGAGGCAUAUCCUGUCACGAGUUUCCUUUUUUCUCUGGCAGCUACUUCACGGAUUCCUAGCUACUGAUGAUGCCUUAUACUUGAGGGGUUUCUAUAUGGUUUCUCGAUGUAUUUGUGGGCGGGUUGCUGAGACUUCUCGGCAACUUUUUAUGGAUUGCCCGCGGGCCCGUCAUAUUUGGGUUCAUUGCCAGCGGAUCAUGGGGAUGCGUGAGCUUUAUUUUCUGUCUCCCCGUGCUUUGCUUUUAUUUUGGAGACAUUGUGCCCCUUCUCGGAAUCAUCAUCGGGUCCUUCUGCCUUACUUCAUUUUGUGGCAAAUUUGGAAGGCCCUAAAUGCUUUCCAGUUUCAUUCACAGUCUUUCUCCACUGAUGCGGUUAUCUUUCAGGUCGACUCUGAUCUCAGGCUCGCUAGUUCUGCUUUUGGAUUCAAGCCUCCCCAACUGAGGGGAGUCUUGGGUUCUCGUAUUGCGGAGGGCUUGCGAGUUAUGGCUCCCCCUAGGAGGUCGAUUCGUCUAGUUGCUUGGAUGAGGCCAACUUCAGGGGUGGCUAAGCUGACUGUGGAUGGUUGCUCUGGGGUCAACCUUGGGAUGGCUGCUUCCAGGGGUAUUCUUCGGGAUCACCGGGGCAUGGUUUUAGCGGCUUUUGGAUCCUUUUUGGGUUACAAGCCGAUCUUAUAUGCUGAGCUCAUGGCGGUGUGCGAGGGUUUGGAGCUUGCCAUUCAGCUUGGGUACUCAGUGCUCGAGGUUGAGUCAGACUCGGCUAUGGUGAUGUCAUGGAUUCACACCUCAGGGUCCUGUUCGAUGGGAAUGUUCUUAUUCUCUACGCCGGGUGUGCCGUCUGGUAACGUCAUUCCCCAUUCAGGUGAGACAUGUUCUUCGCGAGGCUACUUAUGCUGCUGAUUUUCUAGCCAACUGGGCGCGCACUCAUCGGACUAGCCGGUGUUUCUUAUCUCCUCGAGAGCUUCCCAAAGGCUUAUCUGGUAUUCUUUACUUAGAUCCCCACGCAAUCCCCCAUGUCAGAUGUUAGGAUUUUAUCUUUUUCUUAUAUCUCAUUUUCUCUAGGAGGUUUUGGCUUAUAUCCCCCUCCUUUAUAUCUAAUUCAUUUUCAGAUUUAUAUUAUAGGUAAGGGUUCCGCCUAGCUCCCACCACUCUGGUGGUUUUAAAAAAAAAAAAAAACAAUGGCAUAAAAUGCCUGUGAUAAUGAAACAAUGUGCCAUCCUUAAACUAAUAUCAUUACAAACUACAAGUGAAAGUUUUUGGAAAACAUUGAGAAGUUUUUCUCGGAAUUUGUUUUCUUCUUUGCUUUGAUUUAAGCGUAAAUUUUUAAAAUCCGUAACAAAACAAAAAUUUACAUGGGUUGGGCGCACCUUGUGGUUCGUGCAUGCUUUCGUCUAAUAGUAUUUGAUACAUACAAAUUCAUUUUAAAAUUGACGAAUCGUAAUAAAAAAAUUUAUAUAUAAUAAUUGAGUGAGAUCCAUGGUUCACAAUUGCAAAUUAAUGGUUGGUUUUAUAAUAAAAAUCUUUAUGUACAUACCAAAUUAGAAAAGGUUAUAAGUGAAUUAAGAUUUUCAAAAUUUGACUCGUAUUAUAUUAUGUACGUCAAUAUAAUAUAAAUUUGUUAUAUAUAUAUAUAUAUAUAUCCAAUGCUUUCAAAAACUUUAUACUUGUUUGAACAGAUUUUUUGCUUUCUAUUUGUAUACACAAACACUUUUUUAGGACACAUGUAUAAUUAAUCUUAAUAAUUCUUAUACAAUCCUCUAUUUAAGACCAGCAACGUCACCCAUUAUAAUUUAUCACUAAAUAUUGUAAAACUAUUGGUUUUCACGAAUAACUAAUAAAAAUUAUUUUUUUUGUAAGAAAAAUACUGCGAUUCCUUUCACUGUUGUAGUAGUAUAGUUAUCGUGGACGAUGAAUUUCUAGUAUUGUACAAUGAUAUUUAUGUUGAAUGUUUAGGGAAUGAAAUAGGGUGACCAAGAUAAAGGGGUUUGCUCAUACAUUAUCGUGCUCUCCUCAAAGCAAAAGUGAGCAAAUGGUUGAGCAGAUCAUCUCGACCAGAAUAAUAUGUGGUGACCUCGAGUACAGCACCUCGACCAGGAUGUUAUUGGUCACCUCGACCAGGAUGUUAUUGGUCACCUCGACUAGGAUGUUAUUGGUCACCUCGACCAGGAAGUCACCAGGAAGCACGUCAUCCGCGAGGCCAAUUUCCUGUAAGAAGCAUAAAGCCAUUCCUGCUGCAUUCUUGCUAAGGGUUGAUUCGAGGAGACCCGGUCAACGACAGUUGGCGAGGCAUGCUCUCCAGCCCGAGAAUCUAGGCACGAAGGCCACGCAACCACCCAUGACUACGGAAAUGGGGAAUCCACAUUCGAGAGGUGGGAGGACAACGGACAUAGACUGCGGAAAACUGGGAUUCAGAGGAAGCCUAUAAAAAGGUAGCCAACGAAGGUAAAAGGGUUAGCAAUUUUGAGAUUAGAAGAGAGCUAAAGAAAUUCUAAAGAAGAGAAAACUAUGAAAAAGCCAUAAGAUCUGUGGCAAGCGUUCCCCGAACCUUCAUAUCUGACUUGAGCGUCGGAGGGUUUGCGCCGGGAAAACAACCGGCGUACUCUGACUUGUCUGUGUGCGCAGGAACCUCUGGAGAAGAAGCCUUACGAGGAGACCUUCUGGUCGUGGUGAAGUUGAUCGAGCAGAGAUCCUGGUCGUAUAACGAGGAGAACCAGAAUCUCGCAUCAACAUUUUGGCGCUGUCUGUGGGGAAUGGUACAAAAAGCCAGCUUGUUAUCUUUAUCAAUCUUCAUCUGGCCGAAGUGAAGGCAGAAUAUUGCGGUGCAUAAAUGGAUGAGCUUGCUUAAACAAGGAAGCAAAAACCUUAAAGGAGAGCACAUUGAAAGCACACGUUUGUAAAAAUCAGAACAGGUCAGAAGUUAAAUUCUUAUUUACAAGCAAUUUUUUCAUGAAAAUUUAAUUAUUUCUCUAAAUCCUGCUAUGUGAGAUGAGGAGCCCUUAUAUUCAUUAAAUUGAUUGUGCUCAUAUUAAGGCUGACUGUAUAACUUAGUUAACUUGAUUUCUUGAAAGCUAUUCAAUAUGAGAAUGAUUUAAGAAAAUAGAGCUAGGCUAGCGUUGAGAAACCAAUCAAAGCUUACUAAUAAGGCAUGCAAAGGCUCCAAAGUCUCAAAGCCUGUCUUAUGGCGAGACAGAAGCCAAGCGUGCCAGGAUCUGCUCGACCACGAGAAGGCGAGUAGAAUCCCAAUCCUUGAAGAAUUUGAAGGCAUGCAAAGGCUCACCAAGUCUCAAAGCAUGUCUUAUGGCGAGACAGAAGCCAAGCGUGCCAGGAUCUGCUCGACCACGAGAAGGCGAGCAGAAUCUCAAUCCUUGAAGAAUUAAAGGCACGCAAAGGCUCAUCAAAGUCUCAAAGCCUGUCUUAUGGCGAGACCAGAAGCCAAGCGUGCUAGGAUCUGCUCAACCAAGCGAAGGCAAGCAGACUCCCAAAUGUUGUAAAAAUUCCUAAGGCAUGCAAAGGCUCACCAAAGUCUCAAAGUCUGUUUAUGGCGAGACCAGAAGCCAAGCGUGCCAGGAUCUGCUCAACUAAGCGAAGACGAGCAGACCACCAAACUUUCAAAAAAUUCCUAGGGCGUGCAAAGGCUCCAAAGUCUCAAAGCCUGUUUUAUGGCGAGACAGAAAGCCAAGCAUACCAGGAUCUGCUCAACCAAGCGAAGACGAGCAGACCACUAAAGUUUCCAGUCUUGAUUCGUUUCACUCUCAAUACUAGAAACUGGGGGACUGGUGUUUAGGGAAUGAAAUAGGGUGACCAAGAUAAAUGGGUUUGCUCAUACAUUAUCGUGCUCUCCUCAAAGUAAAAGUGAGCAAAUGGUUGAGCAGAUCAUCUCGACCAGAAUAAUAUGUGGUGACCUCGAGUACAGCACCUCGACCAGGAUGUUAUUGGUCACCUCGACCAGGAAGUCACCAGGAAGCACGUCAUCCGCGAGGCCAAUUUCCUGUAAGAAGCAUAAAGCCAUUCCUGCUGCAUUCUUGCUAAGGGUUGAUUCGAGGAGACCCGGUCAACGACAGUUGGCGAGGCAUGCUCUCCAGCCCGAGAAUCUAGGCACGAAGGCCACGCAACCACCCACGACUACGGAAAUGGGGAAUCCACGUUCGAGAGGUGGGAGGACAACGGACAUAGACUGCGGAAAACUGGGAUUCAGAGGAAGCCUAUAAAAAGGUAGCCAACGAAGGUAAAAGGGUUAGCAAUUUUGAGAUUAGAAGAGAGCUAAAGAAAUUCUAAAGAAGAGAAAACUACGAAAAAGCCAUAAGAUCUGUGGCAAGCGUUCCCCGAACCUUCAUAUCUGACUUGAGCGUCGGAGGGUUUGCGCCGGGAAAACAACCGGCGUACUCUGACUUGUCUGUGUGCGCAAGAACCUCUGGAGAAGAAGCCUUACGAGGAGACCUUCUGGUCGUGGUGAAGUUGAUCGAGCAGAGAUACUGGUCGUAUAACGAGGAGAACCAGAAUCUCGCAUCAACAUUGAAUAUAACGCUUCAAUGAAUUUUAUUACUAUAUACUAAAAUACUCAACGAUCUUCAUUAAAAAAAAAAAAAUUGCAUGAUUAGAAUGAUUAAAGUUCAUCUAAUGACUAGUUUCAUCAUUGACUCUGUCGAAACACAGCAGCAAUCCAGAAUACAUUUAACACGAGAGGCGCAGACAAACAUGCAUGAUGAAUCUUCCACCAUUAAACCUGAAAUCAUAAAAUGAAAGAAACCAGAUGAGUGUUGUUUGUCUGAAAGCCGAUUCGAGAAAAAUAAUAAUAAUAAUAGACCUUUGUUAAUAAUUAAUACUAGUUGUCACUACCUUGUGCAUCUUCCUCCUCUGUAUCAUCGUCCUCUUCCAAUCACACCGCAAGACCAGUAUAUCUCGAGAAUCUUUACUGCCUUCUCACAGAUCCCAUUGCUGUCAUGUCUUUUUAGAUCUUCAAUCAUUUUGAAUCCCUCAGCCGCCUCCACCAACCGUGCAUAAUGAUUAAAAUAUCUAUUGGCGGUACCCGUAUUCAUUUCAGCUUCCCCGACCUUCAAAAUGUUCUCUAAUCCUUUUAAGCAAAUAGUGACGAUCUCUGGAUCAGCGUAUAGAAGGAGAUCACACAAUGGUUUUAUACACCCCUUUCUCACGAGGUACUUGAUUUGCUCAUGAGUACCACCUGAGAUGGCAUUUGAAAUUGCCCGAGCGGCCUCCUUCUUUGUAAAAAAUUCAGCAUUUUGAAGCAGAUCGACAAGGGGACCAAUUACGCCAGCAUCAAUUACCACCUGAAUCUGUUCCCUGUUACCAGCUGUAAUAUUUGAAAUAGUCCUGCAUGCCUCUUUCGCAAUGCCUGUACACUGAGUCAGGAAACCAUCUCCCUUCACAAUAUAUCUGACAGUCCACAGGGGAGGAGUGAGCCCGAAGGGGAAGGGUAAUGGAUGAAGAAGGAGCUUAACAAGUCGUGGACAGACAUCUGCCUCGAUCACAGCUUGAAUUUUGUCAUUCGUACCAUCAGAUAGACAGGAUAGUGCCUCGCAGGCAUAUCUCAAGACAUCGUUGUCAUUUGAAUGAACAAGUUGUGCAAGCGCAGGAAGAGCUGGCCUCACCUGAUCAAAUGGUGGCUCUGGCUUGCCCUGGCAAAAACGAGACAAUGUCUUUGUGGCAUUUCUUAGCAUUGAAGGCUUAGCAUGCUUAUUUAACUGUGCCAGCAACGGAAUCAAAGCUUUUUCACUGAGCACAAGAUCACGGUCUCUAGGUGAGCUACGAGCAAUAUUUCCCAGUGCCCAAACAGCCUUCUCUCGGACAUCAUCACUUGGAGAAGAAAGUAGCUUCACAAAUAUUGGAACAGCACCGCCGUCGAUCACCACAUUAGUAUUCUCAGAAGCAAUGUUUGUAAGAGCCCGAGCAGCUUCCAACUGAAGCUGCGGAUUGUCUUCCCUAGUAAGAAACUCAACAAAGCGCGCGACAACGCCAGAUUGUAUGACUUUCUCACUUGGUGGUAGGAGCAGUUUUCGGAACCAAGUAGUUGCUUCCAGCUGCAAGCCACUGUCAUCUGACCAAACCCCAGCAAGCAUCCCGGGUAAACUCACCAACUUAUUUUAGGAGCAGGAGCAGGAGGAGGAAAUUAAGUUAGGGAUUUAGAGUGAGAGUGAAGGUGGAGAAAAAGCAAGAGAGGGAAAAAGCUUAUUGUUGAGAAAUAUGUACCUUUUGUAUGGUUGUGUUAAGGUCGUCCUUCCAAGCCCAACAUGCUUCACCAUGCCGCUCCACUUUGUGUAAUUUGGGUGUACUUAAUUUUCCUUCAGAGAAAAUCUUCAUAUCGGGGCAAUCAUCCACCACUAAUCUUUCUAAAGAUGGGAACUUGAAAGCACAAUUGCCAGAGCAGAAGCUUGUCAGGCUUUCUAAGUCUACAAGCUUCAACUCCUUCAAUUCUCUGAAAGUAAUAACCUCAUCUUUUGCUACAACAUCAUCCCCCAGUACUAUUUCUGUUAUCCUAUCGCAUGAUUUUAUCUUCAUAUAUCUAAGUUGCACCAGAGUCUUUGCAAUUAAGGAUGUUAAUACGAUUUUCAAGUUGUUGCAACGCGAUACCACCAUAUUUGUAAGAUUCUGAAAGGAUGUCGACGGUGGCACUAGAUUGACUAAAUGGUCACACCCCUUUACACGUAGAAUAACCAAGUUGUUCGUAACAGAGGACUCCCUUAUCAAAAUGUGCUCCAGAUGAAAUGCUUCUCUUAUUUCUACCCACAUCCCAUUUUCAACCUUCUCAUACGGCAACGAGGCACUAUAUCCUCCUAUUUGGAGGACUUUCAUUGUGUGAAGUCUCUGGAGGAAGUCACCAAGUGAUAAAAUAGUCCGCUCAUCACCCAACGCCACAAAAAGAUAUUUUAGUUUGCAAAGCAAGCCUUCAGAAAAUAGAUAUUUAUUUGUUACUGUGUACUUUGCACGAACUAUCAACUUUUCCAAAUUAGGGAAUACCUGGGAGAACGAUCAGAACCCCAAAAAAAAGAAAAAAAAGAAAUACAAGAUGAAUCAAUUGAUAAGAAAUAUAAGUUGCCACUAAUUUAUACAAUAUAUUUUAUUCAAUAAAUCUUAACCUUUAAAAAAAAAUAGUAAUAAUAGUAUGCCUAACAUCUAGAAUAAUUAUGAAUGAAUACUAUACACUAAUCUGUAAGAGAGUUACGUUGCUGACAAUUUGAGUUUUAGUAAGAAACCAAGCGAUGAAGGCAAAGGCAAUAUAACUCUAAACUCUAUGAUAUAAACUCUCACAGUACAUACAUAAGAAUUGAAAAAUUGAUUAUAAAAUUCUUGUACGUACCCUUUCCGUGAAGAUACUAGUAGUUCUCACCAUGAAUUCAGGACAUUUAGAUAUCCGUAAUUCUUUCAAGGAUGGAAAUUCAAGAAUAUCAAGAUCUCCAGUGCAGAAGCUUGUGAACUUUUCAAGAUCAGACAUCUUCAGAUAUUGCAACUGAGGAAACAUUACAAUAUUUUUCUUCCUUUCUUCUUGGUUGUCCAUAACUAUUAACUCUUCCAAGACAGGACAUCCGACUAUCUCAAUGCAUUGGAGUUGAACAAAGCUACUAACGGUAGAAGAUGAAAAUAGACAUCUUAAAUUCAUACAGCAGGACAGGGUCAAGCGCGUUAAAUUCUGAAUACCACAAGACAUGACUGCAACUUGGUUUUGCCAAAUCCUUUCAACAUUUAUUGAAAGCAAAUGCAACUUCUCUAACUCUGGUAACCGAACCUGCUCGAUCAAAAAAUUAACUCGUUAAUUACAAGCAACAAUGAUUUCUGUUGAUGGACAAAUCAAUAAAAUUACUCUUUCUCUGGUUAUAGUUCUUUUCAGUUUUUCAUACAAACAACCGUUAAUCAAGUUUUCCAAAUUAUUCCUUACUAAAUGUAUAGAUUUAGACGGCGGCUAAUAUAAUUCAUAUUGCAAAUAUUCUUUGAUUGUAACGAAUUUUGUAAUAUUAAAUUUUGGCUGAUUCGCAAUAGGACCUACUAUCCAGCGCGAGCAGUUCUCGUGGAUUUAACUACUGGCACCUCGAUUAUAUAAAAAUUUGGAAUAUUUUCAAAGGAAAUCACAUAAUUUCCCCUUGCAAAUAGUAAUUAUCAUUAAUUGCCGCGGGUUGACAUAUAAUUCUAAGAAAUUAGGCGAGAAGAGUCUCAUCAACAAUCAAUCAGCAGAUAUCACGUUUGGCAGAUCAUCAUGAUUUCCUCAUAUGCUAGAGAAUCAACGUGAUUUCCGCUCAUGCAGGAGCAGGAGUGGACACAUUAUCUUAGAGCAUCCCUCACUGAGAUCUUUUAAAAAAUUUAUAUUAUAAAGUGAACAACAUAUUAAGUAUAGAUUUAGACGGCGGCUAAUAUAAGUUAUAUGUAUUCUAAUGACGUAUAUUAAAGAAAAUGACUAACCAUAAUUUCAAUCAACUUAUUAGUCUAUAUAUAUAUAUAUAUAUAUAUAUAUAUAUAUAAUAUAAUAUAUUCAGUGAUUACAACAUAUUUAGUAUUCCAUAACAUGAAGUUUAUAAUAAUAAUUAUUAUUAAUUCACUUAUUGUGUCAAGAACAUUUUCUUUCUCUAAGAAUGAAUUUGUUACACCCUACUAUACUACGGAUGAAAAAUUUAGAAUCAUUAUGAAAUAUAAUUAUUAAUCACUCUUUGCCAUAUUUGCGACCAAAGAAGAAUAUAACAAAGAAAAGAAACAAAAAUUAUAGAGAAUUAAUGAGACCAUUGACGUAUUAAUAACUGACCUUCCCAGUGAAACGCGUAUUAGAAAUUUGGAUAUUGUCCUCCAAAAUGAUUUGAUGUGACUGCAAAUCAUUAGCUGAUUCCUGUUGUCUCUGUUGACAUUGAGUGUAAACUUAAUUGUGAGCACAAUCUUAAUGCAUAGAUACAAGAUCUUUAAAAAUUAGUAUAAUAAACUUAGCACAAAAUCCAAAUUUGAUAUUUCGGAUUCCAUGAUUAAGAUUUUUUAAAUAAAAAUUUAAUAGAGUUAAUUUAAAAAUAAAAAUUAAAUAUGAAAAAUUAGAUUUGCAAUUAUGGAUUUAAUUUUGAUAAAUAAUGAAUGUUCUCUUUAUAUUUUUUUUUAAAGGUAAAACAGCGUACAAAGCCCAAAUUCAUUUUUUUAGUCCCUUACUCUCCCAUGAUUCAAACUUGGGUGGUUGUAGGGGGACUGAAAAUAUAUAAGACAGUUAACUUCACUUUUUUUUUUUUUUUUUUGAGAGAAAAGAGAAGAAGGAUAUUACAAAGCACGAAGCUCGUGCAAUAUAAGGGCAAUUAUGGUUUUUUCUUUAAAUUAAAAUGGUAAGAUUCUGAAGCUAAAAGAUUAAAAUAUUAAUUAAAUUGCAAACAUUAAAGAUUUUUUUUCCAAAAUUGGUUGCUUUGAAAAUGAGAAUAAUAUAAUGUUUGAAGACUUUUCAAAAUUAAUUACUGUGAUGCACUAGAAAUUUCUAGCUUUAGUCUAAUGUAUAAAUUGACAAAACGUAUUAGAAUCCCAGGUGAAAAGAACCCUCUCACACCAAUUAUUUAAAUUAGGAAUGAUCAUACCUGUGGCUCUGCCGAACUGAGGGCGAGGCCUGAACCCCUCAUCUCGAGACGCUUGAGAUGGGAAGAGCCCACUUUGACUAAUUCAUUACGAAAAUAAUCGACAUCUUGCUCUUGCAAUCCACAUAACUCUAGGUCUUCAAUUCUCUGCAGUUGCACGACUAGCGAAUCCUUCAAGCGAAUCUGGUCAUAUAGCUCGAGUCUGAAUUCACGACCCCAAAUGCCGGUGCUCCCCCAAAACCGACCUCCAAUGCUUAUUCUGUACCUUUCCAGCUUCUCCAAGAACAGGCCUCUGGGCAGAGUGCUGACGUCAUGGGUGUCUAAUUCCAAAGAGGUCAAGUUGGGCAAAUGCUUCAACUCCUCAAGGCUUGCAUUCUUAACCCCUUCCACCUCCACCUCCCAAUUAUGAAAGCUUUUAGGACCUAUAUAUAGUUCUUCUAAAUGGGAUAAUUUUGACAGUAUAUUUGGUGGAAUAACUUCUGGUCCCCAACAAUCCCUCAAAUCAAGCAACUUUAGCCAAGUCAAUUCACCUACUUCUACCGGCAACUUAUUAAUAUAAGAACCUCUUAAGCAAAGGAUUUCUAGUUUCUUCAAGCCUCCUACAACACUUAUAUCGGGCAAGAUGAAGCCGCACAAACUCAGUGUUCGAAGGUUUGACAGGAGACCAAGUGAUGAAGGCAGUGACCGUAGAAACAUGCCAGUCAAGUUGACAACUCUGACCUGCAUCAUCCUCUCGAAAAAGUUGUUUGGAAUUGUUAAUGAUGAAAAUUCCCAACGAUCAGCACGUAUAAAAAGAAGUUCGAGCUGAGGACAUUCCAGUACUUCAGGAAGCAAAUUAUUCUUGAUACCAUGUAAGACGAUUGAAGUGCAAUGCUUUAUUGCACUUCCGUCUGACCAUUCCCUGCAACCAUCAACCUGCUCAUUUGUAGCAGUAAACACAUUUCGUUCAGUAGAUGCAAUUGAUAUGGCGACAUCGCGAACUACAUCAUGCAUAGAAAACAACUCUUUCUUCUGGCUUAUAUGGUCAAGCAACAUACAAGAAGCUUUGAGUGUGCGCACCAAUGUAUGUACUCGAUUUCGUGCUACUUCAAUCUUAUUCACACCUUGAAAUAAACCCAAUCCCAUACCACACAUUAACAAGUCAUCAAUAGAUGUUAUGGCUGUAUAUCCUAUUAGCAAAAAGAUGUUCUUGAGAUCAUCCCUUCCUAGUUUAUUGUAGCUCAACUCGAUAGCAUUAAAUGCGGCUGGCUGUACAUCCUUAAAAUUCGAUGAAGAAGGCCUUCUUAGCUGUUCCAAUGCAUCCUUCCAUUCACGUAUGCUCUUGCUCCUUAAUGCCCUUGCAACCGUCACAAUGGAAACUGGUAGACCUGCACAUUCCUUUGCCACAUCCCUUGCUACCUCUUUCAAUUCAUUAUCUUCAACAUAAUCACCUGCCAUCUUCGUGAAUAGACUCCAAGCUUCAUCUUCUUUUAAAAAUCCAACUGGGAAAUUUUUUCGAGACUCCAUCUCUCCAGACAAUACUUCUUCACUCCUUGCCGUGAACAGCACUUUACAUCCCAUGUGAUCAUCUCCGUGAGGAAUUCCGACAUCCAACAAAUCAAGAUUUUCCCAAAUAUUAUCCAAGAUUACAAGGAUCCUCUUCUCUUUCUUCAGUCGAUCAUAGAGUCUUCUUGCCCUACCCGAUUCACUCUCCUCAUCAAAUUUUAGACCUAGUUUAUCCGCCAUUUCUCCUUGAAUCUUUCUUACGUCUCGACUCUCAGACACCUCAGAAAAAACCACCUGAUCGAAAAGUUUGUCACACUCUGCUUUUCUAGCAACUUCUUUAGCUAGCGUCGUCUUUCCGAUUCCGCCCAUUCCAUAAAUCAAAAGCAUGUUGACAUUGGGAUUUUUUAAUGCAUCAAUUAUUUCAUUCAGAAUGGACGUUCUUGAUUCAAAGGCCUCGAAGUCUUUGUUAGGCAUAAGCAAGGUAUCCUCCGGAAUGAUGCUGUAGGAAAUACUAUUAACUGGUCUAGCGUCCAGGACUUUGACAACAGCCUCCUUCUGCCUCUCUGCUUCCUUGCUAAGUCGAGGGCGGGUCUUCAAAUUAGGACAUAACCCCUUGAAACAACGCUUAUUUGCAGUGGCUUCAUCUUCUGUAAAUUUAUCUGCCUCUUCAAUGACACUGUUGGCCGUUGCAAGCCAAUUCUCAACGUUCUCUUCAAUCUCUUCUCCUUUUCUUUUAGCCUCAUCAACCUGGUGCUCUGUAUUCACCCUCUCAGACUUUAGUUUCACAACUUCAGUGUUGAGAUUCUGUAAGUUGCUCGUGUACUUACUCUCACGCAAAUAGCUAAUUUGGCGAUAUGCGUGAGGAGCCAAGCACUUUGCAACUUCUGAAGCAAUAGUAAGAAUGAUUUCAGCCAUCUUCAGUCCUUUGUCCUUGUCUCUCUAUCUCUCUUUUUCUGAAUUUUGGAAAAACAAUUCAACCAAGUGACCACAACAAGAUGGAACAAAAUAAAAAGGAAAAAAAAUACAAAGAGUGGAUGGAGAAUAAAACAGAGACAGCGGCACAGCUAGACACAACUAGAUAGAGAACAGAGGAAAACCAAAUAACAAGACUUAAGAUUACAACAAACAGAGGCCAAGUAUUGUUGAGAUCAGAAGAUGGAAAAUUCAAAAGAGUUGAUGGCAGAUGCUGAAUAACAGAACAACAAUGAACGCAAUAAACAGAAGCAAAGUGUGUUUGUGAUCGACAGACGGAAGUAAGGAAAAGCGGUUGUUGAUUGAAAAUGAAUGAAUGCAAAGAAAGACUGAUGUUAAAAAUUGAUGUCAAUAGCGAAGGAAUAAUUGAACUUUCGCUGAAUUAUUGUUUGUGGCUUCUUUUACUGUUUAUUUGUGGGUCAUGUCUUUUGGAACUAAUCUUGUCCAAAAAAUGUUGUUUAUUUGUGGGUCAUGUUAUUCAGCAUCUGCCAUCAACUCUUUUGUUUAUUUAUUCAAAAAAUAAAUUGUAAUUAUUUGUUAAUGUAUGCGAUUACUUGUGAUGGUAAACAAAGUAGAUAUGGUAUAUUUUGAAGUUAAAUUAAAAAAAAAAAAACCAGAGCUUUUACCAUUACUUGUCUUAUCAUCUUUUAAAUUAGAGUUAUUAUUCUUUUAUUUUUCAAGUUGCCAACUCAUCCGCAUUCUCUUUUAUUGAAUUUAAAGAUCAGUGAUUAUAAAUUUGUGUAAAAAUUUUAAGUCAAAACUUUAAAUUAAAAUAAUCUCUAAGUUAUAGGGAAAUAAUAACUUAGUAUAACAAAUAUUAUUUCCUAUACUUUAUUGAUACAAAAUUACAAAAUCUUAUAGUUUCAAAAAUAAAAAUUACGAAACCUUAUAUUAUAUUAUGUUUCCCUAUUUCCCCUUUAUAGUGAAGACUCAUACUUCUUCUCUAAUAAAUGCUAAAGUAUUGGCUUAAUUUUUUUAACCAGCAUAGUAGACCCUUAAGCUAUAUAUACUAUAAUGUCCCUCUUCUCUCACAGAUUAAACCAAUCUGAUCUCAGAGUGAGUUGAUAUCAUGACUUUGCAUCAUUCGUGAUCAAAGGAGUAUCAUUACUAACUAAUAUAGGCUCCAUCAAUAGGCAUGAUAAUAAUUUUUUUUUAUCUACAAACAUUGUUUUUCAAAAUAUUAUAUCUUAAGACUUAACUAAAUAUUUUUUUAACUAUGUAGAUAUAGUUUGUUUGAUCUCUUUUAAAUAGUGGAGAUUACAAACAAACAUAUGCGAAUUAGUAGUGAUGUUGAGUACAGAAGCUUGAAGUUAAAAAAAUUAAGGGUUUCUUGAUCUAGAGAGAUUUCAAAUGAGUGAAGCGUCCUCGAAAUCGGAAGACGAAAAUAAGGAAAGGGUAAGGGUGUAUUUUCAAAAUGAUUCUAUUAGGAGAUCUUUGAAGUAGGGGCGGGCAAGUCGGGUUUCGGUUCGAGUUGUUCAAGUUUCGGUUUGGGUUUCAACCUAAUCAGGUUUGAGAAUUAAACCCAAUCGGGUUGAAAACGCCAACCCAAACUAAACCGAACCGAAUUUAAUUUAGUUCGGGUUCAUAAUUCGGAUCGGACUGGGUUGAUAACUCAUGUUAAAAUUUCGGUUCGGGUUAAUUUGGGUUAGAAUAAUUCAAUCUAAAAUUUUGGGUUAGUUUGGUUUAAAACGGGUUGGAACAAUUUAAUCCAAAAAUUCUACCAACAACCACUUAAAAUCCAAAAAUCUCAAUUCCAAACAUCCUUAACAACAAAUAUUAACUACAAACCAUCCUUGACAACAUUUCAACAAUAACAAUAACAAUAAUAACAACAACAAUAAUGAUAAUAAUAACAACAACUAUGAAUCAGCAAUUCAGCAUAUUGCCAUAUUCUAAAUUUUAAAAAACACACAAAUUAUUUAAUUAAUUAAUUAAUUAACAAUCUCCAAUUUAAUUUAUAAUAACAGCAAAAAUCCUCUCCAAUUUAAUUAAUAACAGUCUCCAAUUGUUCAAUUAUCAGUCAACAGCAACAAAUCCACUCCAAUUGUUCAAUGAACAGAUGUGGAUUAGUAGAGUUGUUGAGUUCAGAAGAUUGAAGUUAACAAAGGGUUUCUUGAUCUAGAGAAAAUUCGAAAGAGCGAAGUGUCUUCGAGAUCAAAAGACAAAAUAAGGAAAGGGUAAGGUUAUACUUUGAAAAUGAAUCUGUUGAGAGAUCUUUGAAGAUUACUUCCGUUAAGAGCUGGAUCCCACACUUGAGUCUUCGUCGUCUCAGUCAGUCAGCUGUAAAGUCAGUCAGCUAUAAAGACAAAUUAAUUUUGAGUGUGAAAGGACACAAUUGAUCACCAAAUUUUCAAACUCGGGAUCCUUAUUGAAUCUACAUUCCCAUUUGAAAAAUAAUAAAAGAUUAACAUUAAUUUAACUUCAUCUAGAUUCCCAUUUGAAUCUGCAUUCCCAUUCCCUUGUUCUCUGGGAAUGCACAUAAUCAAACAAAAUCCUAUCCGCAUUUUCAAACUCGUGACCCUUCAAUCUUUCUAUGACAACUAUAAUGAAUGAUUACAACAAUGCUACCUAAUAGUGAGCAACUUGUUUGAUGAAAUUAACAGCUUCUUUUCUCUCAUGUAUUUUUUAAAAAUUAAAUUACCAAAGUUUUUAUUUCAAAAUUAGUGCUAUAGUUCAUUAAUUUUUCAAAAUUUCCUUUUUCUUUCCACACAACAAAUUGAUUUGCCCUCCAAAAAAUGUAUUAUAUUGUUUAUAUUGUAACUUCAAGAAACUUAUAAUAAAAUUUUAAUGAGAUAAAUAGAGAAUGUCAGUCUCCCAUCUACUCAAAAUUAAUAUAUAUCAUUAACUCUUGAUUAUUUUUAUAAUAACUAAUAACUUUCUUGGCAGCAUAAUUUUACAGUAUCAUCCUUGUUUGUAAGUAUAUUUUUAUUUAUAUUUAUUAUAAAUUAAUUAAAUCAUAUCAAUGAAAAUUGAAAUAAAAAUUGAAGCACUAAAAAUUAAAAAAAUAUGUUUUGGUGUGAAUAAAAAAUUGAAAAUAAAAAUAUUUUUCUUAUAUUUUUAAAUUUUUUUCUUGUAGUAAAUGCAUAUUUUAUAUGCUCAACUUUUUCUUUAAAUUUUUGUUAUUAGGAGGAAUUUUAGAUAUAAUGAAAAUUGUAAGGUAGUAAGUAAUAUAUAAUAAUUUUAAUAGAAAAAAGUAAAAAUUCUCUUAUUUUAAAAUAUAAGGAGAAAAAAUAAUUAAUUUCAAGACAUUUUAGAAGGUAUUUCAAUAUGCGGUGGACCACAAACUCGAGUCUUUGUCAUCUCAGUCAACUAAAAAGACAGAAUAUUGAGGGCAUGGCUAAGGUGCAGAAGCUGCAAGUAACAGCUUCGAACUUUCCCAUUUCCAUCACCUUGCAUUGGGACCUCCUCUAGCACCCGUGGAAGUUCCCCAUUGGCUACUGUUACUUACAAAAGCUCUAACAUAGACUUCUUCGAAUAUUGAGCGCGAAGGGCUCAAGUGAUUGUUAAUUUCACGGCAAUCGCCUUUUUUUUUUUUUUAAUUAUUGGGAAAUAAUAACUUAGUAUAACAAAUAUUAUAUCCUAUACUUUAUUGCUACAAAAUUACGAAACCUUAUAUUAUAUUAUGUUUCCAUAUUUCUCCUUUAUAGUGAAGACUCAUACUUCUUCUCUACUAAAUGCUAAAGAAUUGGCUUAAACUUUUUAACCAGCAGUAGACCCUUAAGCUAUAUAUACUAUAAUGUCCACUACAAGAAAUCUGACUUUCUAAGACAAAUGUUUUUAUGACAUUUGUAGAUUUUGUCAUAAAAUAAUACUUAUUGUGAUGAUCUUUUAAAAUUGUAGCAAAUAAUCUCGUCCUGGCUCAUGUUAUAUUUUGUAACGAAUAAUAUUCAUUUUAUGACCCAAUAAUUGGUCACUUAAUCAAAUGUUUUGCGACAAAUAUAAAAUUAGCCACAAAAGGACGUACUUUUUUUUAGCACAAAAAAUUCCCUCCAAAAUUGAUCAUUUUUUUUACAAAAUAUCAUCUUUUAUGACAGAAAAUAUGGUAGCGAAAUGUAAUUAUAAGUGACAUAAUUAUUUCGUAACUAAAAGAGGGAUGUAAAAUUGAUCAAACCAUUUGUGACAAAAAAUAUUAGUCUCCAAACCUGAUAUGGUUUUGAUUAAUUUUUAAGACCCUAUUUUUUUUAUCACAGAUAAUUACCGAUUGUGACAAAACUAAAAAAUAAUAGUUUAAAAAUUUUUUCUUGAGUAAUUUUAUAUUUCAUGACCUUUUUUUUUUCAGAGACACUUUAUUUAGUAUUUGAUUCAUAUUUUUUUGGCAAACUUUACAACAAUGACAAAAAACAGAGAAUAAUAAUCAAUAUUUUUAAAUUAUAUUAUAUUUUGUGACCAACAAAUUUUUUAUAUGUAUUUUAUUAAAUAAUUGAUAAGAUAAAAUGUCAAUAAUUUUAUUAAAUAUCAAGAAAAAAGGUAUUUAACUGAUAGGUAUUUUAUUAAAUAAUACAUUUUUCUUUAAAUUUAAUUACGCACAUUAUUUUUUAUCAUGUAGCUUCAUACAAAUUUUGUUUAACUAUGUUAGAUUAAUAAAAAUUAAAAUAAUAGCCUUAAAAUAAUUAACUUAGAUUAUUAAAAAAUGAUAAUAGACUUUUUUUAAACCAAUAAUAACAAACUUAUUAUAGCUUCUUUUUUAUUUUUUUAAAAGAAUCCUAUAAUAAUUAAUUAUGUUGGAUUUACAGAAAGAAUACAUAUUAAAUUGGGUAAAAAUUAAAAUAAAAGAAUAACUAAACUUAAAUAGAACAUAAGUUUCUCUAAUGAAAUCGUGAAAUACAAAUAAAUCCCCUCCCACUGAUUCCCUGGCCAAUUUUGUUGUUAUCCAAACAAAACCAUUUAAUUUCCCCCCACUCUCUCCCAGGCCACUUCACUUUAAUUGGUUUUGUAUUAAAAAACUACCCAUCUUUAUCUUUUGUAAUCCUUUCCAAUUUAUGCGUGUGUGUGUGAAUGAUGAUAACAGAACAAAAACGCAUGGCUAUGGAGGCCACCUCACUUUGCCGCCGCCCAAAAGCACGCCACCCUCACCAGUCCACUCAUGCAUGCCAAAAUCAGCCACUCAGCAAAAUUCACUCUCAUCUCUCGUUCUACUUCGAAAUUGUGAGUAUAUAUAAACUCAGCCAAUUUAAUUUUGAUUAGUUUUGUUGUGAUUGGAUUAUGUGAAAUUCAUAUUUUUGUGUUUGGUAAAAUUAGGGAUUGAAAUUCUUAGAUCUAUUAUUUGAAUAUUUUUAUGCUUAUCAGGUGCUUGAUAAAAUUCCUAAGAGAAUCUAGUAAAAGAAAAACAUAAAAUAUAUGCAAAUAAAUGAAGGAAUUUGAAGCAAAGUUUAGUAGGUUUGGAGAAACUUUUGCAAAAUUAGGAUAUUAAGAUGAAUUUGUUUUUCAAUUUGAGCAGUGGGUUUAGGCGUGCUGAUAUCAGAUUUUUUUUUCCCUAAUAUUCUUUCAUAAGAACUUUCGAAAAUGGGAUCUUUCUAAUUUUUGUUCACUUCAACUUGGUAUGUAAUUAAUCAUCUUUCUUUAUUUUUUUAAAGAUAAUUAUAGCUAGUAUUAAUAUAGUAAAAAGAGUUAAUAAGUUAUUCGAGUCCAGCCGAUAUAAUAAUAAGUUAAGCUACAAACUUUUAAUUAUAAAACACAUGUGUUGGUUGGAAGGACGAUUUUGAAGCUUGGGUUGCUAAAGUUUGCUGAAAAUAUUGUUGGAUUUGCUAGGAAGUGUAGAUGAAGUGACUAAAUAAAGGUCAAAAAGCUUCUUUUUUUCCCCAAGUGGUCGUUGUAUGUUUAGUCAAAAUUAAUAUGCUUAUCUUCUUUUGUAUUGGGAUAACAAAAAAGUAUGGAGAGAGUUUCCUCGAUUUAAGAAAAUGUAUUAGAGUGAGCGAAAAAGGUUCAAGUAGUCUCCAUACAAAAUCUAAAUGUGUAACCUAUCUUAUUUUUAUUUUUUGACUUAAUCUUUUAUUUAUUUCAACUUUAUAUUUAUUGUACUGUAAAUGUUGAUUUAUUGACUGCUUAAUAAUUUAAUUUCGUUCAAGUUUGACACCAACUGUUUAAUCGAUUAAGUUCAGAGCUUUGGAUGUAAAAUUUGUGCAAGUGAAUCAAGGUUGAUUAUGUGCUUGUAAUCUUUUGAUUAUAUUGUUAAUUUGAAGUAAUAAUGAAAGCAAGUAUGUGCUUGUAAUCUCCUGUCUUUCAUUUAGAAUUUUUUCCAUUUUUUUAUUGGAUGAAAGAAUUGAUUGCGGAUAUGUUUCAUUGAGAAUUUAAUUAAUUUUGCAUUCUUACCUAAAUAUUUUUAUUUAUAGCUAUUUGCCUUGCUAUUUACUAUUCUUUCAUUUUGGCAAUAAGAUUUUCUUUUAUAAGAUUAUUCUCCUAUACCAAUUAAGUGUUUUCUCAAGUUUUUUAUUAUUAAUAUUAUUUUUUUAAUCAUGCAAAGACAAAUGAUAGAUAGAGAAAAAUGAUGUACCAAUAAUAGAUGAUCAAAUUGUGAAAUACUUUUGGAAAAAUCUUUAAUUUUAUAAAGAUAAAAAAAUGACAGGUACCUUCAAAGUCAUCUUCUACUACAACAUUGUCUUAGCACAACAAGGAUCAAAAGUUAAAAUCAAGGAAGAAGAUAGCAAAUUUAAGGAAGUUGAAGCAUUCAUGAAACAACAACAUGUUGUUUACUUAAUUGUGCUUGUGUGUAAUGUUACUUUUAUUUUUCUUCUAUGAUGUAAUCUUAUUUUUAGACUAUUGAUUUUUUGCCUUUUUGAUUUUAGAUUUCUUUGUAAUGAAUUAUAUUUAUGUUAAUAAUAUUUUUCACUUCAAAGUUCUUUUGUCAUUAAAUUUUGAAUUCUAUGACUACAUAUUGUUAUUAAAAUUUAUGUGAGACUAUAAAAAUUGUCCUUAAAAUAAAUUUGUGACUAAAUUAAUUACCAAUUGUAUUUGUAAAAAUUGUCACAAAUGAUAACUACUUGAGACGAUUGUGUAAUGUCGCGAUAUGUAAAUUGUCAACGAUUGGUAAUUGUAUCAUUGAACCUCUAAAAUAACAAUUUUUAGUAAUUAUCGAGACUAUAUUUACAUACUCUUGAGACAAAUAUUAUAGUCAUUCUAAAUCACCUAUUGAGACAAAUGUUUUAGUCACUAUAAAUCACCUAUUGAGACAAAUAUUAUAGUCACUGUAAAUCACAUAUUGUGACAAAUAUGAAGUGUCAUUGAUUGCAUUUUUGAAUCUCUAAUUUGACCAUUUUGAACACUAUUUGUGACAAUUUUAACUUAAUUUUAAGACAAUGGUCUUUGUCACAAAACAUAUUUUUAACAUGACGAAAAUAAUUAUGGUCGCUAAAACCUUUUAAGACGGUCUUUCCGCGACUAACGUGUGACGAUUUAUUUAUCAUCAUAGAAAAUAUAAGGUGACUAAUAUGUUAUCUUUAGUGACUAAAUUUUUUGUAAUAAAAUAUCAUUUUUCUUGUAGUGGUCCCUCUUCCCUCACAGAUUAAACCAAUCUAUCUCAGAGUAAGUUUGCAUCAAAGGAGUAUCCUUACUAACUAAUAUAGGCUUGAUCAAUAGGGAUGACAAUAAUUUUUUUAUCUACGAACAUUAUUUUUUCAAAAUAUUAUAUCUUUAGACUUAACUAAAUAUUUUUUAACUAUAUAUGUAUAGUUUGAUUAAAUGGUGGAGAUUACAACAAAACAGAUGUGAAUUAGUAGUGAUGUUAAGUUCUAGAUCAAGACGAAAAUAAGGAAAAGGUAAGGGUGUAUUUUCAAAAUGAUUCUAUUGAAAGAUCUUUGAAAAUUACUUUCGUUAAGAGGUGGAUUCCACACUCUUGAGCCUUUGUCGUCCCAGUCAACUAUAAAGACACAUUAUUAUUGAGUGUGAACAUUCGAACUUAUAGAUCAUCAAAUUUUCAAACUUGUGAUCUUCGUUAAAUCUGCAAACCCUUUUUUUUUUAAAAAAGAAAAAGAAAACUGCAAAUAAUGAAACAAAAUUCUCUUCCUUGAUAGACUUACGCGGCUUGAACUUGCAAGUGCUGUCGGCAUUUUCAAACUUGUAAGACCCUUCAACUUGCUUUCCAAGAUAGCUAUAAUUAAUAAUGACAACCGAAGACGGCUACGUUUGCGGUACAAAAGUUGCACCAUAUCAGACGUUCUUUUUUGUUCUUAUCCGAAGGAACCGUUGGAUUCAAAGGAAAGUGAUCGGACAUUCAAUAGCUUCACACGUGGACAUUAUAGGAUACCGGUCAAAUCGGUUAGUGCUCCUCCACAUCAAACUCACAAGCAUGGCUAUCAUCGUAUCAGCUUGGAAACUUGUUACAAGUAACGAAGAGCAACAGAGUCCGCUCCUUUAGAGUCGGCAACAGAGUUUUAAUUAACGGCAUCUUCUCUCACAUUUUUUUUUAAAAAAAAUUGAAUUAUAUAACCCACCAAAACUAUAAAGAAUUGUUAGUUUUUCUUCAUUAAAAUUAAUAUAUUGCUCCUCAUAUUAAAAAAUCAAAAUUCAGAAUAAGAAUAAUUGAUACUGUUUAUUUACUAAAAUGAAAAUGAGAAUAAAAAUAAAAUAUAUGGAGCCUAUAUAUUUUUUAAAUUAAAAAAUAAGAACUUUUCAUGAGGAGUGUUGGGAAUCAAGUUCUUAUUAUUUAAACUCUCAAUUGUACCUUACCAAAAUUUCAUAAUUUCACUUUUGUUCUCAAUUAAAAUAUUAUUACAGUUAUUAUUCUUAUUUUUGUAGUUGUUGUUGUUGAUGAUGAUGAUUAUGAUGAUACAUGAUAAUAAAAUUAAUGAUAAUAAUAAUGAUAAUGAUAAUAAUAAUAAUGAUAUGAUAAUGAUGAUAAUAAUUUGAACAACAACAACAAUAAAUAAUAAUAAUAAUAAUGAAAAUAAUAACUAUAAUUUUAACAACAAUAAUAAUCAUUAAUAUUAUUAUUGUUAAAAUUAUUAUUAUUAUUAUUAUUAGAUAAUUAUUUUGAAUAAUAAUAAUCACAAGUCUAUUCUGAUUCCAGUUUAUUCCGAUUAUCGAUUAGAAAAUGUGUCAUUACUGUUUUAAUAAUAACUAAUAAUUCUCUUGACAUCAUAAUCGUAAUUCUUAUAGUAUUAUCCUUAUUUUAAAAUACACUACCAUGAGCUUGCAUCAUUUGAAAUGGUAGGUACUAGGUAGCAAUUGCUUACAUCAAAAUAUCUAGACUCACUCGGCAAAGUAUCCGAGGCCAAAACGCCAAAAGAUGGGACACCCACAUGUGCAUCUAAUUACAAAAUCCAAAGUUAAUGAAAAAGAAAAAAGAAAAAGUAUAAAUGAACGGUAUUGGCUGUAGGACAAGGGGAGGGGAAAAAGGACCAUUUUGUUUUCUUUGCUAAUUCACAAGGGGAAGGGAAAAAAAAGAAAAAGACAGUUUUGAUUAAAAAACACAGAAUAUUCAAUUCACAAGCCACCAAUGCUUGUGGACCAAUGGUCGAUAUAUGAAAGUUAGAGAUUCUGGAAAAAUGAGCAAAUAUUUUGAGUUGAUUAAUGGAUUUGUUUGUAAUGCAAUACAAGAUAGCAUUUUAAAGCUGGCAAGAAAGAAAGAAAUAAGUCAAUAAUUGAGAUAUUUAAAGAAGCUCAAGUGGUCAUGAAAUCUCUCCUUAAAAACUAUACAAGAUAAUGUUAAUGAUAAAGUUAGCCAACCAAGUCGUUCAAUCAUUGCUGGAAGCAAGCAGCCAUUGAAGUUGAUAGAAGCUAAUGCAUGAAAAAAGGUUCGUUACAUGAAGGAGAUAAUGAGAAAAUUGAUGAACACCUAUCAUCCAUGUUUUGUUUCAAUCAAAAGGUUUGAGUUUUAAGGCCGAUAUUUUGGACUGAAUCCCCCUGUCUGCUUCCAAAGGGGAGGAUGUGCAUGUAGUUGAUUGGGCCGAUGAUUAUGAUGGGUGGGAACUUUUAGCAUCUCAUGAAAGAGGAUGUGUAUGUUAUCGGUUGUAGGUACGGCAACAAAUUUUAUAUCCACAAACAAUAUUUUUCAAUAUAGUAUCUUAGGACUUAACUUAGCAUUUUUUAACCAUAUAUGUAUGGGAGCCCCUAUGUUACAUUAAAUGUACCAUACACAACUCACAAGAACCACACAAAUUGUGGGACCCACAUAAUUGUGUGGUUCUUAUCAGUUGUGUAUGGUACAUUCAAUGUAACAUAGCAAAAUCCUAUAUGUAUAGGUUGUUUGACCUCCUUUAAAUAGUGGAGAUUACAACAAAUGAACAGAUGCGGAUUAGUAGAGUUGUUGAGUUCAGAAGAUUGAAGUUAACAAAGAGUUCCUUGAUCUAGAGAAAAUUCGAAAGAGCGAAGUGUCUUCGAGAUCAAAAGACGAAAUAAGAAAAGGGUAAGGUUAUACUUUCAAAAUGAAUCUGUUGAUAGAUCUUUGAAGAUUACUUUCGUUAAGAGCUGGAUCCCACACUUGAGUCUUCGUCGUCUCAGUCAGUCAGCUAUAAAGACAAAUUAAUUUUGAGCGUGAAAGGACACAAUUCGACAGAUUUUACGCAAAUUUGUUUUGUUCUCAAAAUAGUCUGCUGCUCCCGGAUUGUCCUCAUCAUAUUGAACGAAUGAUGACGACGCUCUGUCCGUUUCUGGCUCUCUGCUUUUCACAUCACCAGACACCUCGUUUCUAACUGGGGUGCCACCAUCAUAUUUAACUGUUAUUGGUAACUCAAUAGCUAAUUCCAAUGUUUCAUCAAGCAGUUUAGAGAUAACCUCUCUCGCUGAACUCCCUGGAGUAACACAAUCCAGUUUUCUAGUGCAAUCAUCAAACAGUUGAACAGCUUCUGAAUUCCCUGGGGAUUGAUUACUAAUGAUAAAGACAACAUACGGUAGAGGACACAAAUUGUUAUUAAACAAUGGUGCACUUUUCAUUUUUCAACUGAGUACAGUAAAGCAAGAAUGGGUAAUUAGUUUUACCUGCUAAGCGAAAAUCUAGACUCCCGAAGGUAACCGAUCUUGGGUGAAGCAAAUAAAGAAGAAGGCGAAGUAAAAUUCACUGAGUUGAAUGAGCGAUCAUUGCGUAUGGACUUGAUUUGUUCAAUGGGUGAAAGACUGCUGAUAUAAUUAAAGACAGGAGAAUCCUGCAUGUUGACAAGCAUCAUUUUUAAUCAGCAUAGAGUCUUAAAAACCUAGUCAGUGGCAAAUGAUCAUGACAAGAAAUCUGAAGUAGAAACAGCAGAGCUCAACAAAUCACUAAGAGAAAAUAAGACCAAUAACCAAACAGAUGAAAGAAAAGCAAAAUAACCCAUCUCAAAUCACCACAUGCACAAUUUAAGGGGGUUGUGACAUGGGUUUAAACAUGACUUAACAAGUGCCACCAGUGAAUUCUCAGAGAUUGAAUUUUCAUACACAUGUCAAAUUUUCAAAUCCAACAAAUUGUUAUCUUUCUGAAGAUAUUAACUAUGCAUAGCAUGCUAUAAACGAAUCAUAUUAUUAGGGCCUUUGUUUGCUGUACACAGCAUAUGUACAGAGGAACAAAUCCAUGAGCUGAAAUCAUCAUAUUCCAAAAUAUUCUACCAAAUCAACACUACAAAAACCUAACGCUAAACAGAAUUGGAGCAAUUUACGAAAGCUAUUUGUCACACAAAGCACUAGUACCUCAGAACACAAUUUGCAAAAAAAGCAACAAAAAUGAAAAAUAACAAAUGCCCAGAUGAAAAAUCUGGCAACAAAAUGCUCAAAUCCAAACUACAACCGUCCACCUGCUUGUUUUGCCUUUUUUAAAAAUACACAAACACUUUUUUUUUCAGCACGCCACUUGAAGUUUACUUUUUGUUGCAUUCGUCCACUUCCGUUUAAUUUCCGUUAGUGAAUUUAACGGAAUGACCUUUUUACCCAUUAAAAUUAAAAUUUAACCCAAAAUAAAUAGAAAUUAGAGAUAAAUUGGAUGGAUUUAAUUUUUUUGAAAGGUGGAUGCUAGAAAUUGGAGGAAAAUAGUGUUUGUUUGUUACUAAAUUUAGAAAAUUUGUAUUUAUUUUUUUGGAGAAAAAUAGUGUUUAUUGCUUGCUAAAUUUAAAAAAUUUGUAUUUAUUUUUUUGUCUUUCAAAAAAUAAAUACAAAUUUUCUAAAUUUAGCAAGCAACAAACACUAUUUUCCUCCAAUUUCUAGCAUCCACCUUUGAAAAAAAUUAAAUUCAUCCAAUUUAUCUCUAAUUUCUAUUUAUUUUGGGUUAAAUUGUAAUUUUGAGGGGUAAAAAGGUCAUUUCAUUAACAUUCCGUUAAAUCCACUAACGGAAAUUAGACGGAAGUGGAUGAAUGCAACAAAAAACAAACUCAGGUGGCGCACUGAAAAAAAAAAAAAAGUGUUUGUAUAUUUUUGAAAAAGACAAAACAAACAAGUGGACGAAUGUAAAUUUCCCUAUUCCAAAAUAUUCUACCAAAUCAACACUACAAAAACCUAACGCUAAACAGAAUUGGAGCAAUUUACGAAAGCUAUUUGUCACACAAAGCACUAGUACCUCAGAACCCAAUUUGCAAAAAAGCAACAAAAAUGAAAAAUAACAAAUGCCCAGAUGAAAAAUCUGGCAAAAAAGUACUCAAAUCCAAACUACAACCCCAUAAGCUGAGUCGUUCUCUUCAAACUGAAUUAAAAAAAUUAAAAUGGGGAGAUCGACCUCAAACUUGGAAACAGAAGCGACAGCGAUCUGUUUCUUGUCUGGAGUGUCCAUUUCUAUAAUCUACUUUGUCCGUUUUCACUUUUCAGUCGCUCCACCACAAAGCCUCUUCACUCUGAAGCUGAAACUCACCACACACUUGCAAAACGAAAGCAUUUGAUUGAUUGAGAGGCGGGAAGGCGGGAAAACGAGAGAAAUUUGCUUCUUUUUUUUUUUAUUCGUUUGGUCAUACUCAUACAUGCACGGGCCCCAGCUUUACAAGCGUUAUUAUUACUAUUUGCAUUAUUUGAAGGACGCGUGUGCUAGGAUUAUACAAAGUUAUCUAAAAGUGUAAAGAGUAAAGUAUUGUUCUAAUUAAUUUUAAAAAAUAUUUUAUUAUUAACGUUUAAUGCAACAUGGCAAUUUUUUUUUCCUUGGCAACAAAGCAUUGUUCCAAAUAAUUAUUAUUGGAUCCAGAUCCUGUCCUAGGCAUUUUCUCUAUUAGUACUCCUAAACUUUUAGGGUAUGUUUGGCAUGUAGGAUUUGAUUGGACUAACUAUUAGGAUUGGACUAAAUUAGAAUGCAUUAGAUUGGAUUGGAUUAGAUUAUGUUAAAUUAAAUUUACAUGAAAUUAAAUAGUAUUUAUAUUAAUAUUUGAAUUUAAAUAUAAACUAUUUAUAGAUAUUUAAAUAAUACGGUUAUAGUAAGCACCACAGAAUACAAAGACACUUGGCAAAAGGAAGUCAAUCAAAUUCGAUGGCACAAAAUGAAACUAAUAAUGGCGAAAAUAAGAAAUUUUUCUUACUGGAGCAGUGAACCUUACCCUUCUCUGUAGUAGUCUUCUGGUGAAGUGAGUGCCAGAUCUGCAAAGCAAGAGAAAUCAGCAUCUGGAGUAUACAAAAGAUUAUCUAACCCCAGAGCUUGCCUCAAUUGCCUACAUGUUCAAAACAAGGACCUGUUAAAAAAUGGAAAUCUCUUCAAUGCAUUAGUAAAGGGAAGUGAAGUGAAGUGAAAGCUGAUUUCUUAGGCCUUUAAAGAGCAUCUUGUGUUUGAAUUCCUAUAACCUCACGAAAGAUUAGAGCAUCACCUUGACCGCUCUAGGUCUUGCAACUCAGUAACCCAACCAUUGUAUCUAAGCUGCACUGUCACAACAGGCAAUCCAACUAGCUCAUAAAUAUUGUUGAAAAAUUUAAUUUCCCUCCACGAUGAUGGAAGUAAUCGUUUAAAUCCAGGGACAUCACAUGCUGCCAUUAAAUAAGAAGUUGUAGGAAGUUGAAUAAAGGUAAAACAUUCACCUAAAUGAUUCAGGAGAACAAAAAAGCAGAAGUAGGAAUAAAUAAGGAAGAUUUAACGACAAACCAGCAACUUAUGCACCAGCUUGCAGAACCUUCUUGUCAGUGCCUGAAAUAGAACCAGAACUUCUAAAGACCAUAAGCAUUAAAUAAUAAACGCAAAGUACCUGCUUCUAAUAGAUGAUAUAAACAACUGAUUUACAAAUGUCUGGUCAUUGCAUUACCUCCAUCAGAGAGAAUAUCAAUAGACGAGUACAGAAAUAAAUAACUAAACUAGCUUUUGCCGCCUAAUUAGAGCCAUGUGAGAAACAAUUUACCUUAGACAUGGCAAGUCCUUUGACAUAUGUUUCUCCAUUAGCAGAUUUAUCAUAAAGUAUCUCUCUGCAUCCCCACCUAAGAUGGAACCUGUUCUAGCAAAAACAGACCCCGAGGUUAGGAAAAUCAGUAGGAGAAAACAAACAAGAGUAACAAAUCACCGCAAUGAUGUGAACCUCUAAAUACAAAUUCACCUGCCCUCUUUAUCUGUGAUUUAUCUUCUUAUGGGCCCACUCAAAUAAACGUCUGGAGAACCCUUGAGCAUCCGCAAUAGGGAAGCCUCAGUCUUAGUUGUAAACUGUGCGAAUAUAGUGAGCAUACAACGAGCACUGAUGUUAUCACGAUCAAUGAACCCAAGGGCAUAAGCAACAGGACCCCACAUUCUCAGAAUACUCGUCCGUGUACCACCUUUGGACAAAAACCAAUCAGAGAAGCUUAUCUGUAAGAAGAAAUGAAGUUUUAGGUAAGAUAACAAUUUGUAGGAGCAAGGAUCGAUAUUAAAACAAACUAGAAAAUAAGAUGUCAUUCUUACACUAUCCAAAUCUCGUAUGUCCUUCAAGGCUCCACCAGGAUCAACGAAUGCCUUUACAACAGGACUCAGAGCAAGAGCAAGAGCAUUUCUUGCUUUAUCAUAAGUCUGCACUUGAGCAAUACAUGAGGCAAAGUAUAUCAAAAGAGAAUCCAAAAGAGGCAAGAACUUUCAACAUGAAAGAAGAAAUACUGUCUUAUCAUACUGCUAACUAAUCAGAGUGCAAAAGAUUACAUCGACAUAAUCAAAAUGGAACAUAAAUCCAUAUGCACCACCUUAAGCUAAUUUGUAGACAAAAAUGCGUGAAUCCCAUGUAAGGGAGCUCCGACUGGAAACCGGAAAUCAAGUUCUGGAGUUAAAAAUCAAAAUCAUAAACUGUAUCAGAGAUAUUAUUGGACUAGACAAUCCAUAAACCAAUUUCAGAGUGUUCAACCACCAAACAUAACUAUCAGUAGUCUUAAGUGAUCAAGAAAUAACCAUACCACCAAUUUCAUCACGCUUAUUCACAAAUGUAUGAGUAUGAUCCUUCAUGAGUGAAUUUUUGUCCGCAUCGACCCGUAGACAUCCAUGAAAAACUAUCAGAUUAUAAACACAGGGUCGAUUUAAAGAGGAGCUAUGAUUCUGAUCCAUCAUUAUAUUUGAAGAACAUAUUCAUAUUUUCUUACGAGUAAACUAUAACCAGUUAUCAUCACUAUAGAUGGCAUGGUCAAGAGGAAUUAUAGUUCUUGUUUCAAGAAUCUCGAAUUGGCUAGUCUGCUUUUAUAAUCAUUCAAACACACGUAUCCACAACUACGCAAGCUUUACCUUUUUCAUCAAUCGGAACAGAUUAUUGUAGCAUCCAAAGAAAAUGUGCAGGCCGAUUUCAGUAUGGUUUCCAUGUUUAUCGAUAAAUGAACCCACUUUACCACCAAUGAAAGACCUUGAUUCAUCUAUAUCCACCUGGAAGAACAAGGGAAAAAAGAAAAAAUCUUCUAAUUUCUUUCACCAUCAACAAAAUCAGUAAAACACAUACUAAUUCAAAAUGAAAUAAACUUUGUGAAUUGAAAUAAUGCCUGCUCUAAAGAAAAUGAUAACUGCUAUUCAUUUUUCUGAACUGCUAAAAAAAAUAAAAGCUUCUGCUAUUUACUUCGAAAAAAUUGAGUAACUUCAAAUUUUGAGUUUAGGCAAGAGGAUGAAUGGUAAAAAUGAGACAUUUUAGGGGAAAAGAAAAUACUUGAGAGGCCAAUGAAACAUUCAAAAGAUUGAAAUCUAAAUGAGAAAAGCCUCAUGGCCUUGAUCCAACAAUUCCACUGUUGUUGACAUCCUAGCUCCAAUAAUCUGCUCCUAGCCUCAUGGCCUGGAAAUCUAAAUGAGCAAAGCCUCAUGGCCUUGAAAAAACCUUAGUUUUUUGUGUUGUGUGUGUUCACUUACUUGAUAAAAAUUAAACCUACGGUGUACCCCAGUCGCCGUGCCACCUGGCGCUAUUUUAGUGGCAUUCAUUGCUGUCAUGUCAGGAAUAUUCUUAUUUUCAUGCGUAUGGCAGGCGUUUCAAAAAUAUGAGUGGAGAGCAAGUUUGAGGCAUAUUCACGUGUUAGGCGUAGUGGAGUGGUCCCACGUACCUCUGCAAUUCCGUUGUAAUUUUGCAGGUAUGGCAGGAAAAGUUGGUGGUUCCAACUGUCAUAAUAUCAAACUUUUGGUUGAUUCGCUGGCGUGACAGGUGGCUGUCUCCUCUUUUGUAGCACAAGAUUUCCUCAUCGAUUCCUUAUUUUUUUACACGUAUUCAACCGAUCUUUUUUUGAGAUUCAGGGUCCAUCUAUCCCUUGACAUUUUUUACGAACCUUUUUCCUAACCUUUUUGUCCUUACUCGAUGUUCCCUAGGUAUUGAAUUUUGUGGGGUAGGUCGGGUACCAAGUUUUGUAGAGUAGGUUGGCUCCAUCGGGUAUCCCGAGUACCGAAUUUAUGGUGUAAGUUAGGUAUCUCGAGUAACAAGUUAUAGUGUAGACCAGGUAACCGAGCUUAUAGUGAAUGUCGGGUAUCGAGUUUAUUAUGUAGGUUGUGUAUCUUAGGUGUCGAGCUAAUAGUGUAGGUCGGGUAUCUCAGGUACCGAGUUUAUAGUGUAGCACGAGUAUCUUGGGUACCGAGCUAAUGGUGUAGGUCGGGUACCUGGGAUACCGAGUUUAUAGUGUGGGUCAGGUAUCUUGGGUACUGAGCUAAUGGUGCAGGUCGGAUACCCCCAGAGAAUAACUAAUAGUUACAUAACCUUUGUAGUUUGUAUCGACACGUAGCGCUUCAUUUUCAACACUCUGUUUAUCCACAAACAAGGGGUAUUCAAAAUUCAAUUAGAUCCGCUCAAUUCGUCCGAUCUAUAAAACUUCGAUCCAUGGAUUGGUAGAUCAAAUUGGAUUGAAAAUUUAAAAAUUCGCAGUCGAUGGAUUGGAUAUGAAUUUAUUUCUAUAAAUUCGUAAAAAUCCUUGAAUCCGUAAAAAAUAACAAGUAUUUAUUUAAAUUAAAGUAUAGCUAAAUUAACACAAUAUUAUAUCUUAUUCGAUAACAAUAUAAAAUAAAAAAAAUUAGAUAUUUAAAUAAUUAAAUAAGCAAAUAUACCUUCCAAAACAUUAAAAAUUCUAAAGCAAAACAAAAACCCUAUGCUAAACAAAACAUUUUGGCAUAUAACACCAAAUCUUUACCCCAUCGCACGCACAAGCCAUCACUGUUUCACUUCACCACUUGAGGUAAUUAAGCUUAAUUUCUUACUUUCUUUUCAAGUUCUUCAAGUUUCUUAAUUUCUUCCUAUUACAUCCAAGCUCUCAAGUUUCAAUAUUUAAAUUCAUAAUUUUAGUUAAUUUUCAUGUAUUGAUCUAAACAAAUGAAUUUUCUUUUUAGUGUGUUAUAUUUUAAAUUUUUGAAUAUAUUAUUCUAACUUUAUUUAAACAAUUAAUUUUUUUAAAUCUUGCUCAAUUUUGAAUUUAAUUGAUAGUAAGAUUAUUUUUACAUUAGAUUUUUUUAAUUUAAUAAAUUAUUUAUAUAUUAGAUUUUUUAAUUUAAUAAAUUAUUUAUAUAUUAGAUUUUUUAAUUUAAUUACUUCGUAGAUUGGACAAAAUUAAAAAAUUUUAAUUCGCAAAUGAAUCCGCUAAAUGAUGGAUUAGAUAUUGAUUGGGUUAAAUCUGCAUCCGAUCCGCAUACAUAUAGAUUGGAUUUAGAUUGAAUUUCACUAAUCUGUGGAUUGGAUUGGAUUGAAUUGAAAUUUUAUAAUCUCCCUUUCUUUUUUCGAUUAUUACACAAACGUUAGUGCUUGUGAAUUAGCACAAAAUGUUAGUGAGCACAAAAUGUCAUUAACGAUAAUGGAUGGAAUGACCAAACCAACCAACUAAAUUUUGAAAGGAGGGAAUGAUACAUAAUAGUUUAAUUUGAUUUUAUUUUAAUUGGGUGAUUAAUUAAUUUAUUAUCAAGUAAUUGUAUGUACUUAUUUAAUAGAUACCCUUAUCUUUGGACAAGGCUGAGAAAAAGGCCACGAUGGUGUGUUCACAUAUUUUUUAGGCCGACCGUUUCUAGCUUCGGCUUAAAUAAGGCUUUUGUAUUUUUGUGCCCUUUUUUUCUGAGUAUUUUCAUAUUUUGUGCUAAUUUACACCAACGAAAAUGUGUAGACACUUUUUUAGUAUGAUUUUUCCUUUUUUUUUUUUUCACUUUCAUAGUUACUGUUAAAAAAUCUGUUGAAACUCAGAACCUCCCAUGUGGACUCUAGAACGUGACAGUUUUAGAUAUCUGAGUCCAUAAUAUCAUUAGGAGUAACAAAAGGAAUAAAUUCAAUCAUAAUGAAAAAAUGUGCCAUCCUUAAGGCUUACCUAAUAUUACUAGAACCUAAAAGUGAAAGUUUUAAGAAAACAUGUGAUAAGUUUUUCUUGGAAUUUAUUCUUCUUUGUUUUAAUUUACGCGAGAGAUAGUUAAAAAGCGUAAAAUUUUAAAAUCCGUAACAAAACAAAAACUUACAUGGGUUGGGCGCACCAUGUGGUUCGUCUAAUAAUAUUUGAUACGUACAUAUUCAUUUUAAAAUUGGUGAAUCGUAGUAAAAAAUUUAUAUGUAAUAAUUGAAUGAGAUCCAUGGUUCACAAUUGCAAAUUAACGGUUGGUUGUAUAAUAAAAACCUUUAUGUACAUGGGUCCGCCUAACUUACAUUCAAUGUAAGUUACACUCAGCCCGUGUAAUUUCAUAUAGUCCCCCUAUACUCUAUACUAUUUAUAUUUUAUUCAUAAAUAUUAUAAAUUUUUUGAAAUAAAAAUUUUUAUUUAACCCCCUCUACUCAAUUUUAUUUUAUUAAAACCAUAGAGUAUGAAUUCGCCCCCAUAGUUUUAAAUUCUCAAAAUAAUCUCCAUUUAAUUAAAAAUAUAAUUAUUUUUAAAUGAAUUAUAAUUAUAAUUAUAAUUUUAUUAUAAUCAUAAAUAUUUUUUAAUAGAUUAUUGUUAUUAAAAUAAAAUUUCGUUUAGCCCCCUCUACUCAAUUUUAUUUUAUUAAAACCAUAGAGUAUGAAUUCGCCCCCAUAAUUUUAAAUUCUCAAAAUAACCUCCAUUUAAUUAAAAAUAUAAUUAUUUUUAAAUGAAUUAUAAUUAUAAUUAUAAUUUUAUUAUAAUCAUAAAUAUUUUUUUAAUAGAUUAUUGUUAUUAUUAAUAACAAGAAUAAAAAGCAUUAUAAAUUGUUAAUAAUAAUAAUAAUAAUAAUAAUAAUAAUUAAUGAUUAUCUAACUAAUAGUAAAUGUAUUGCUAAUGCUACCUUCGACUUUAAAUACUCAUUAUCGGGUUUCAAGAGAUCAAUGAAUGAUAAUUUCUGUCAGAAUUUUAAGCUUGACCCAAUAAAAAUAAUUUUGUAUUUAAAAAAUAGAAGCAAAAAAAAUGUGUUUACAUCCUCGAAUGUGUAACAACUUAGCAAAAAGCACUUAAAAAUGACCGUUUAAUAAUGAGAUGCCUACAAAAUCAUUGUUUAUCAAGGUAACAAAAAAAUUCUAAAAGUACUUGAAAUUAAAAUGUAUAGAAAUAUAAAAGAGUCUCCUACAUAAAUAUAGACUCAGUGUUUAUUCCAUUUUAUUAUAAUCAUAAAUAUGUUGAUUAUCAUUAAUUAUUAUUAUUAUUACUAACAAUUUAAUAAAAAUAUUAUUAAUUAUUGUUAAUAGAUUAAUUAAUUAUAAUAUUUUUUAUUAUCGUUAUUAAUAAUAACAAUAAUCUAUUAAAAAAUAUUUAUGAUUAUAAUAAAAUUAUAAUUAUAAUUAUAAUUCAUUUAACAAUAAUUAUAUUUUUAAUUAAAUGGAGGUUAUUUUUGAGAAUUUAAAAUUAUGGGGGCGAAUUCAUACUCUAUAGUUUUAAUAAAAUAAAAUUGAGUAUAAGGGGUUAAACGAAAUUUUACAUUUCAAACAAUUUAUAAUAUUUAUGAAUAAAAAAUAAAUAAUAUAAAGCAUAGGGGGCUAUAUAAAAUUACACAGGCUGAGCGUAACUUGCGUUGAACCUAAGUUAGGCAAACCCUUAUGUACAUACCAAAUUAGAAAACGUUAUAAGUAAAUUAAGAUUUUCAAAAUUUGACUCGUCUUACAUUACGUACAUCAAUAUAAUAUAAAUUUGUUAUAUAUAUAUAUAUAUAUAUAUAUAUAACCAAUGCUUUCAAAAACUUUAUACUUGUAUGUUUGAACAACUUUUUUUGUUUUCUAUUUAUAUACGGUAUCAUUUAUGUUUACAUAAAUUUUCAUAUGUACCCAAAUUAAGUAUUAAAUACACAGACACUUUGUUAAGACUCAUGCGUAAUUAAUCUUAAUAAUUUCUUAUACAAAUACAAUCCUUUAUCUAAGACCAGCAACGUCACUCAUCAUAAUUUUUCACCAAAUAUUGUAAAGCUGUUGUAGUAGUAUAGUUUUCAUGGACAUUGAAUUUCUAGUAUCAGACAAUGAUAUUAUAUUGAAUGUAAUGCUUCAAUGAAUUUUAUUACUAUAUACUAAAAUGCUCAACGAUCUUCAUUAAAAAAAAAAAAAAAUUGCAUGAUUAGAAUGAUUAAAGAAUAAUAAUAAUAAUAAUAGACCUUUGUUAAUAGUUACUACAAGUGGUCACUGCCUUGUCCAUCUUCCUUCUCUGUAUCAUCGUCCUCUUCCAAGCCGCUGUCAUCUGACCAAAAACUCGCCUACUUGUUUUAGGAGCAGGAGCAGGAGGAGGAAAUUGAGUUAGGGAUUUGGAGUGAGAGUGAAGGUGGAGAAACGCAAGAGAGGGAAAAAGCUGAUUGUUGAGAAAUAUAUAUACCUUUUGUAUGGUUGUGUUAAGGUCGCCCUUCCAAGCCCAACAUGCUUCACCCCGCCAACGUGCUUUACUCCGCCCCUUCACUUUGUGUAAUUUGGGUGUACUUAAUUUUCCUUCAGAGAAAAUCUUCAUAUCGGGGCAAUCAUCCACCACUAAUCUUUCUAAAGAUGGGAACUUGAAAGCACAAUUGCCAGAGCAGAAGCUUGUCAGGCGUUCUAAGUCUACAAGCUUCAACUCCUUCAAUUCUCUGAAAGUAAUAACCUCAUCUUUUGCUACAACAUCAUCCCCCUGUACUAUUUCUGUUAUCCUAUCGCAUGAUUUUAUCUUCAUAUAUCUAAGUCGCACCAGAGUCUUUGCAAUUAAGGAUGUUAAUACGAUUUUCAAGUUGUUGCAACGCGAUACCACCAUAUUUGUAAGAUUCUGAAAGGAUGUCGACGGUGGCACUAGAUUGACUAAAUGGUCACACCCCUUUACACGUAGAAUAACCCAGUUGUUCGUAACAGAGGACUCCCUUAUCAAAAUGUGCUCCAGAUGAAAUGCUUCUCUUAUUUCUACCCACAUCCCAUUUUCAACCUUCUCAUACGGCAACGAGGCACUAUAUCCUCCUAUUUGGAGGACUUUCAUUGUGUGAAGUCUCUGGAGGAAGUCACCAAGUGAUAAAAUAGUCCGCUCAUCACCCAAGUGAUAUUUAUUUGUCACUACGUGCUUUGCAUCAACUUUCAACUUUUCCAAAUUAGGGAAUACCUGGGAGAUCGAUCACAACCCCAAAAAAAAGAAAAAAAAGAAAUACAAGAUGAAUCAAUUGAUAAGAAAUAUAAGUUGCCACUAAUUUAUACAAUAUAUUUUAUUCAAUAAAUCUUAACCUUUAAAAAAAAUAGUAAUAAUAGUAUGCCUAACAUCUAGAAUAAUUAUGAAUGAAUACUAUACACUAAUCCGUAAGAGAGUUACGUUGCUGACAAUUUGAGUUUUAGUAAGAAACCAAGCGAUGAAGGCAAAGGCAAUAUAACUCUAAACUCUAUGAUAUAAACUCUCACAGUACAUACAUAAGAAUUGAAAAAUUGAUUAUAAAAUUCUUGUACGUACCCUUUCCGUGAAGAUACUAGUAGUUCUCACCAUGAAUUCAGGACAUUUAGAUAUCCGUAAUUCUUUCAAGGAUGGAAAUUCAAGAAUAUCAAGAUCUCCAGUGCAGAAGCUUGUGAACUUUUCAAGAUCAGACAUCUUCAGAUAUUGCAACUGAGGAAACAUUACAACAUUUUUCUUCCUUUCUUCUUGGUUGUCCAUAACUAUUAACUCUUCCAAGACAGGACAUCCGACUAUCUCAAUGCAUUGGAGUUGAACAAAGCUACUAACGGUAGAAGAUGAAAAUAGACAUCUUAAAUUCAUACAGCAGGACAGGGUCAAGCGCGUUAAAUUCUGAAUACCACAAGACAUGACUGCAACUUGGUUUUGCCAAAUCCUUUCAACAUUUAUUGAAAGCAAAUGCAACUUCUCUAACUCUGGUAACCGAACCUGCUCGAUCAAAAAAUUAACUCGUUAAUUACAAGCAACAAUGAUUUCUGUUGAUGGACAAAUCAAUAAAAUUACUCUUUCUCUGGUUAUAGUUCUUUUCAGUUUUUCAUACAAACAACCGUUAAUCAAGUUUUCCAAAUUAUUCCUUACUAAAUGUAUAGAUUUAGACGGCGGCUAAUAUAAUUCAUAUUGCAAAUAUUCUUUGAUUGUAACGAAUUUUGUAAUAUUAAAUUUUGGUUGAUUCGCAAUAGCACCUACUAUCCAGCGCGAGCAGUUCCUUGGGAUUUAACUACUGGCACCUCGAUUAUAUAAAAAUUUGGAAUAUUUUCAAAGGAAAUCACAUAAUUUCCCCUUGCAAAUAGUAAUUAUCAUUAAUUGCCGCGGGUUGACAUAUAAUUCUAAGAAAUUAGGCGAGAAGAGUCUCAUCAACAAUCAAUCAGCAGAUAUCACGUUUGGCAGAUCAUCAUGAUUUCCUCAGAUGCUAGAGAAUCAACGUGAUUUCCGCUCAUGCAGGAGCAGGAGUGGACACAUUAUCUUAGAGCAUCCCUCACUGAGAUCUUUUAAAAAAUUUAUAUUAUAAAGUGAACAACAUAUUAAGUAUAGAUUUAGACGGCGGCUAAUAUAAUUUAUAUGUAUUCUAAUGAAGUAUAUUAAAGAAAAUGACUAACCAUAAUUUCAAUCUACUUAUUAGUCUAUAUAUAUAUAUAUAUAUAUAAUAUUCAGUGAUUACAACAUAUUUAGUAUUCCAUAACAUGAUGUUUAUAAUAAUAAUUAUUGUGUCGAGUACCUUUUCUUUCUCUAAGAAUGUAUUUGUUACACCCUACUAUACUUCGGAUGAAAAUUUAGAAUAAUUAUGAAAUAUGAUUAUUAAUCACUCUUUGCCAUAUUUGCUACCAAACAAGAAUGCAACAAAGAAAAAAAAAACAAAAAUUAUAGAGAAUUAAUAAGACCAUUGACUUAUCAAUAACUGACCUUCUCAGCGAAAAGUGUAUUAGAAAUUUGGACAUUGUCCUCCAAAAUGAUUUCAUGUGACUGCAAAUCAUUAGCUGAUUCCUCCUGUCUCUGCUAACAUUGCAGGUGCAUUGAUUUUAGAGUGUAAGCUUAAUUGUGAGCACAACCUUAAUGCAUAGAUACAAGAUCUUUAAAAAUUAGUACAAUAAACUUAGCACUAAAUUAAAUUUGAUAUUUUUGAAUUCCAUGAUUAAGAUUUUUUUUUUAAAUGAAAAUUUAAUAGAGUUAAUUUAAAAAUAAAAAUUAAAUAUGAAAAAUUAGACUUGCAAUUAUGGAUUUAAUUUUGAUAAAUAAUGAAUGUUCUCUUAAUAUUUUUUUUAAAAGAUAAAAGAGCGUACAAAGCCCAAAUUCAUUUUUUUAGUCCCUUACUCUCCCAUGAUUCAAACUUGGGUGGUUGUAGGAGGACUGAAAAUAUAUAAGACAGUUAACUUUACUUUUUUUUUUUUCUUUUUUCUUUUUUGUUGAGAGAAAAGAGAAGAAGGAUAUUACAAAGCAUGAAGCUCGUGCAACACAAGGGCAAUUAUGGUUUUUUCCUUAAAUUAAAAUGGUAAGAUUCUGAAGCUAAAAGAUUAAAAUAUUAAUUAAAUUGCAAACAUUAAAGAUUUUUUUUUUCAAAUUGGUUGCUUUGACAAUGAGAAUAAUAUAAUAUUUGAAGACUUUUCAAAAUUAAUUACUGUGAUGCACUAGAAAUUUCUAGCUUUAGUCUAAUGUAUAAAUUGACAAAACGAUAUUAGAAUCCCAGGUGAAAAGAACCCUCUCAUACCAUUUUCUUAAAUUAGGAAUGAUCAUACCUCUGACUCUGCCGAACUGAGGGCGGGGUCUAAACCCAUCAUAAAGAGACGCUUGAGAUGGGAAGAGCCCACUUUGGCUAAUUCAUUACGAAAAUAAUCGACAUCUUGCUCUUGCAAUCCACUUAACUCAAGGUUUUCAAUUCUCUGCAGUUGCACGAUCAGCGAAUCCUUCAAGCGAAUCUUUUCAUAUAGCUCGAGACUGAAUUCACGACACCAAAUGCCGGUGCUCUCCCGACGGUCAUAAUCUGCAAUGCAUAUUUGGUACCUUUCCAGCUUCUCCAAGACCAGGCCUCUGGGCAGACUGCUGACGUCACGGACGUGUAAUUCCAAAGAGGUCAAGUUGGGCAAAUGCUUCAAUUCCUCAAGGCUUGCAUUCUUAACCCCUUCCACCUCCACCUCCCAAUCGGCAAAGUCAAAGAGUUCACUAGCUAUAUAUAGUUCUUCUAAAUGUGAUAAUUUUGACAGUAUAUUUGGUGGAAUAACUUGUAGUGCUGAACAAUCUCUCAAAUCAAGCAACUUUAGACAAGUCAAUUCACCUACUUCUACCGGCAACUUCUUAAUAUAAGAACCUCUUAAGCAAAGGAUUUCUAGUUUCUUCAAGCCUCCUACAACACUUAUAUCAGGCAAGCAGCAGCGACACAAACUCAGUGUUCGAAGGUUUGACAGGAGACCAAGUGAUGGAGGCAGUGACCGUAUGUAAGUCAAGUUUACAACUCUGACCUCGAUCAUCCUCUCGAAAAAGUUGUUUGGAAUUGUUAAUGGUAAAAAUACACCUCUAGCAGCACGUAGAAAAAGAAGUUCGAGUUGAGGACAUUCCAGUACUUCAGGAAGCAAAUUAGUCUUGAUAUCAUGUAAGACGAUUGAAGUGCAAUGCUUUAUUGCACUUCCGUCUGACCAUUCCCUGCAACCAUCAACCUGCUCAUUUGUAGCAGUAAACACAUUUCGUUCAGUAGAUGCAAU
rnacentral:lncRNA from 1 species